ACAGUGAAUACAUGAACUCCUCAAACUACGGUCAUUACCGGGAGUGGUCCCGACUAUUGUCGCUCCGGGGUUGCCGGAUCAUAACUCGUACUAGGUGACUAUAACUUGCAAGAUCGGAUCUAGAACAUGGGUAUAUGGUGAUAACAUAAACAGUUCAGAUCUGAAAUCAUGGCACCCGGUCCCAAAGUGACAAGCAUUAAGCAUGGCAAAGACAUAGCAACAUCAAUCUCAGAACAUAGUGGAUACAAGGGAUCAGGCCCUAAUAAAACUGACUCGAUUACAUGAUGAAUCUCAUCCAACUCCUCAUCGACCAGCGAGCCUACGAAGAAAUUACUCACUCCCGAUGGGGAGCCUCAUGGAGUUGACGAUGGAGGUGUGUUGGUGAUGAUGAAGAUCGAAGACCCCCCUCUCCGGAGCCCCAAACGGACUCCAGAUCUGGCCUCCUGAUGAAGAAUAGAAGACGGUGGCGACUCCGUAUCAUGAAACGCGAUAAUAAUUUCUCAUUAACUUUUUCUGAAAUAAUGUGAUUUUAUAGCGUCGGUUUCAGGGUCAUAGGGGCCACCAAGUGGGGACAACCCACCAGGGCACGCCCUGGUGGGUUGUGCGCACCCCCCCCCCUAAGGUGGCUCUUGGCUCCAGAAUUCUCUUUAUUGAUAUAAAAAAUCCUCGCAAAGUUUCGUUCCAUUCCGAGAACUUUUAUUUCUGCAUAAAAACAACACCAUGGUAGUUCUGCUAAAAACAGCGUUAGUCUGGGGUUAGUUUCAUUCAAAUCAUGCAAAUUAGAGUUCAAAACAAGAGGAAAAUCAUUAGAAAAAGUAGAUACAUUGGAGAUGUAUCAAUAUGCAGCUCGGUGCUUUGACGUCUUUCUGUAAAAUACUUCACGGUACCAUAGAAAAUACCCUCCACAGUCGUUGUAAGUGGCAAAAAGCCAUGUUUCCUCUGAGGACAAAGUUAUAUGUUUCAGCGAAAUUGGUAGUCAUGACACCGUACCUUGCUUCAUGUGUGUCAUGCAAUAGAGACCACGUCUCCAAAGGCUCAUGCUCUAUCCACUGAUCAAAGGUUUAAUCGUCCUUGUAAGCCUUCUCCUUCUACCAGGAGGGUCAAAUCCUGGCAAGACACAAAGCCCAACAGGCUCUUCCUCCACAUCAGUUGAUCCUGUUGCUAGCUAUGCAUCUAAUGCUUCAACAUGUGCCCUCACAGCUGCAUCUCUUGCAUCUCUCCUGUCCCUAACAUGUUUGAGUGUGCAAACAUUAAGGCUGUUACGUAUUAGAUCAUACUUCCAUUGUUGGUUCUUCUUGCAUAGUUUGUUGAAUAGAUUCAUAAGGUUCUUAUUUCUGAACUACGAGAAGAAAUUUGCCCCAAGAUGGCGCAUGCACCAAUGACUCUGUAGGUCCUGCCAUGGAGUUUGUUCAUCGGGACCAGGGUUCGACAAUGUCUUGAUCGCGUUGAGUACACAACAUGCUUGUCAUGAAGGAUGCACACAUUCGGCUUAUCAUGCACGACCGCUAUUUUCAACUGCCUGAAGAACCAUGUCCAACUCUCAAUAUUCUCGCUUUUCACAAAAGCAAAUGCAAGUGGGACGACUUGAUUUUGGCCACCUUGACCAAUGGUUGUGAGGAUCUGAUCCUUGUACUUGCGAGUGAGAAAAGUUCCAUCUACACAUUGUUGGAAAUAUGCCCUAGAGGCAAUAAUAAAAUGGUUAUUAUCAUAUUUCCUUGUUCAUGAUAAUCGUCUAUUGUUCAUGCUAUAAUUGUAUUAACAAGAAACAGUAAUACAUGUGUGAAUAAAUAGAUCACAAUGUGUCCCUAGCAAGCCUCUAGUUGGCUAGCUCGUUAAUCAAUAGAAGAUCAUGGUUUCCUGGUCAUGGGCAUUAGAUGUCAUUGAUAACAGGAUCACAUCAUUGGGAGAAUGAUGUGAUGGACAAGACCCAAUCCUAAGCAUAGCACUAGAUCGUAUUGUUCGUAUGCUAAAGCUUUUCUAAUGUCAAGUGUCUUUUCCUUCGACCGUGAGAUUGUGCAACUCCCGGAUACCGUAGGAAUGCUUUGGGUGUAUCAAACGUCACAACGUAACUGGGUGACUAUAAAGGUGCACUACGGGUACCUCUGAAGGUGUCUGUUGGGUUGGCACGAAUCGAGAUCGGGAUUUGUCACUCCGUGUGACGGAGAGGUAUCUCUGGGCCCACUCGGUAGAACAUCAUCAUGAGCUCAAUGAGAUUAAGAAGUUAGUCAUAGGAUGACGUGCUACGGAACCAGUAAAGAGACUUACCGGUAACGAGAUUGAACAAGGUAUAGGUAUACCGACGAUCGAAUCUCGGGCAAGUUUUAUACUGACAGACAAAGGGAAUUGUAUACGGGAUUGAUUGAAUCCUUGACAUCGUGGUUCAUCCGAUGAGAUCAUCGUGGAACAUGUGGGAGACACCAUGGGUAUCCAGAUCCCGCUGAUGGUUAUUGGUCGGAGAGCGUCUCGGUCAUGUCUGCAUGUUUCCCAAACCCGUAGGGUCUACACACUUAAGGUUCGAUGACGCUAGGGUUAUAGAAAAAUGUUAUACGAGGUUACCGAAAGUUUUUCGGAGUCCCGGAUGAGAUCCCGGACAUCACGUGGAGCUCCAAAAUGGGCCGGAGGUAAAGAUUGAUAUAUAGGAUGGAUGGUUUUGGACGCCGGAAAUGUUUCGGGCGUCACCGGUAGCGUACCGGGACCACCGAGACCUCCGGAAAUGGUCCCGGGGGUCCACCGGGAGGGGCCACCAGCCCCAAGAGCUAGCGUGGGCCAAAAGGUGGAAGGCAACCAGCCCAAAGUGAGAUGGUGCGCCUCCCACAAAAGGGCCCAAGGCGCAGGAGGUGGAGAGGGGGGAAACACUAGGCGGUGGUGGGCCUAAGGCCCACCUAGGGGUGCGCCACCCCCUCCCCCUGCCCUGGCCGCCGCACCUCCCAUCUGGGGGGCUGCCGCACCACCUAGGGUGGGAACCCUAGGGGUGGCACCCCCCUCCCCUCCUCCUAUAUAUGCCUAGGGGUUUGGGGCUAUUUUGCACACCGUUUCUUCUCUCCCUCGGCGCAGCCGUGCUCCUCUCCUUCCUCCUCCUCCCACAGUACUUGGCAAAGCCCUGCCGGGAGACCUCGUCUCUCCAUCGACACCAUGCUGUCGUGUUUUCGGAGAUCUUCCCCAACCUCUACCUCCUCCUUGCUAGAUCAAGGUGCGGGAGACGUCACCGGGCUGCACGUGUGUUGAACACGGAGGUGCCGUGGUUCGGCAGUAGAUCGGAAUCACACCACGUUCUGAUUCGCUGCGAGUAUGACUCCAUCAACCGCGUUCUAGCAACGCUUCCGCUUAGCGAUCUUCAAAGGUAUGAAGAUGCACUCACCCCUCUCUCGUUGCUGGUCUCUCCAUAGGAAGAUCUGAAUAUGGCGUAGGAUUUUUUUUGAAUUUAUGCUACGUUACCCAAUAGUGGUAUCAGAGCCAGGUUUUCUAUGCGUAGAUUCUAUGCACGAGUAGAACACAAGAGGUUGUGGGCGAUGAUUUGUCAAUUGCUUGCCGCUACUAGUCUUAUUAUUUUCCGGUGGUAUUGUGGGAUGAAGCGGCCUGGACCGACUUUAAACGUACGCUUACGUGAGACUGGUUCCACCGACAGACAUGCACACCGUGCAUAAAGGUGGCUAGCGGGUGUCUGUCUCUCCCACUCUAGUCGGAUUGGAUUUGAUGAAAAGGGUACUUAUGAAGGGUAAAUAGCUUUGGCAUAUCAUCGUUGUGGUUGUCACGUAGGUAAAAAGGCGUUUUUGCUAGAAACCCAAAUCAGCCACGUAAAACUUGCAACAACAAUUUGAGGACGUCUAACUUGCUUUUGCAGGGUUUGACAUGUGAUGUGAUAUGGCCAAAGUUGUGAUGUUGCAUGUGUGAUGUAUGAGAUGAUCAUGUUAUUGUAAUAGGAUUCACGACUUGCACGUCGAUGAGUAUGACAACCGGCCGGAGCCAUAGGAGUUGUCUUAAUUUAUUGUAUGAGAUGCAAUGCCAUGUGUUUACUACUUUUAUUUCAUUGCUAACGGUUAGCUAUAGUAGUAAUGAGAGUAGUAGUUGGCAUGACGACUUCACGGAGACACGAUGAUGGAGAUUAUGGUGUCACGCCGGUGACAAUGAUGAUCAUGCGAUGCCUGAAGAUGGAGAUCGAAAGAGCAAAGAUGAUAAUGGCCAUAUCAUGUCACUAUAUGAUUGCAUGUGAUGUUUAUCAUGUUUUUCAUCUUAUUGCUUAGAACGACGGUAGCAUAAUAAGAUGAUCCCUCUUAAAAAAAUCGAGAACGUAUUCCCCUAAGUGUGCACCGUUGCGAAGGAUCGUUGUCUCGAAGCACCACGUGAUGAUCGGGGGUGAUAGAUUCUAACGUUCGCAUACAACGGGUGUAAGCCAGAUUUACACACGCGAAACACUUAGGUUGACUCGACGAGCUUAGCAUGUACAGACAUGAACUCGAAAACAAGAGGCCAAAAGGUCGAACAUGAGUCGUAUGGUUGAAUACGAUCCGCAUGAAGUUGCUCACCAUGACGACAAGUUCGUCUCACGUGAUGAUCGGACACGGGUUAGUCAACAUGGAUCAUGUAUCACUUAGAUGACUAGAGGGAUGUCGAUUUAAAUGGGAGUUCAUACUUAAUUUGAUUAAAUGAACUUAAUUGUCAUGAACAUAGUCUAAAAGUUGUCUUUAUAAAUAUUGUAGAUGGCCAACGUCAACCUCAAUUUCAACGCAUUCCUAGAGAAAAACAAGAUGAAAGAUGAUGGUAGCAACUAUGCGGACUGGGUUCUCAACUUGAAGCUCAUCCUUGAAGCAGCUAAAAAGGCUUAUGUCCUUGAUGCGCCGCUAGGUGACCCUCCUGCUGCUGCAGCAGCCCAGGACAUUCUGGACGUCUGGCAAACGCGGAGUAAUGACUACUCUCUGGUUAGGUGUGGCAUGUUAUACAGUUUGGAAACGGGGCUCCAAAGGCGUUUUGAGCAACACGGUGCAUAUGAGAUGUUCCAAGAGCUGAAACUAGUUUUUCAAGCUCAUGCCCGUGUCAAGAGAUAUGAAGUCUCUGACAAGUUCUUUAGCUGUAAGAUGGAGGAGAACAGUUCUAUCAGUGAGCACAUACUCAAAAUGUCUGGGUUACACGGUCGUCUGACUUCACUUGGAGUUGAACUUCCGGAUGAUACUAUAAUUGACAGAAUCCUCCAGUCUCUCCCACCAAGCUACAAAGGUUUCGUGCUGAACUACAACAUGCAAGGGAUGGAGAAGACCAUUCCCGAGUUGUACUCGAUGCUCAAGUCUGCAGAAGUAGAAAUCAAGAAAGAGCAUCAAGUGUUGAUGGUCAACAAGACCACCAGUUUCAAGAAGGGCAAGGGUAAGAAGAACUUCAAGAAAGACGGCAAAGCCGUUGCCGCGCCUGGUAAGCCAGAUGUCGGGAAGAAGAAAAAGAAUGGACCCAAGCAUGAGACUGAGUGCUUCUAUUGCAAGGGAAAAGGUCACUGGAAGUGGAACUGCUCCAAGUACUUAGCGGACAAGAAGGCCGACGACGUUAAAGGUAUAUAUGAUAUACAUGUUAUUGAUGUGUACCUUACCAGCGCUUGUAGUAGCUCCUGGGUAUUUGAUACAUGUGAUGUUGCUCACAUUUGCAACUCAAAGCAGGAACUGCGGAAUAAGCGGAGACUGGCCAAGGACGAGGUGACGAUGCGCGUCGGGAAUGGCUCCAAGGUCGAUGUGAUCGCCGUCGGCAUGCUACCUCUACAUCUACCGUCGGGAUUAGUUUUAAACCUUAAUAAUUGUUAUUUAGUACCAGCUUUGAGCAUGAAUAUUGUAUCAGGGUCUUGCUUAAUGCGAGACGGCUACUCAUUUAAGUCAGAGAAUAAUGGUUGUUCUAUUUAUAUGAGUGAUAUGUUUUAUGGUCAUGCUCCGCUGGUGAAUGGUUUAUUCUUGAUGAAUCUCGAUCGCGAUGUUACACAUAUUCAUAGGUUAGUACCAAAAGAUGUAAAUUUGAUAAUGAUAGUCCCACAUACUUGUGGCACUGUCGCCUUGGUCAUAUCGGUGUUAAGCGCAUGAAGAAGCUCCAUACUGAUGGACUAUUAGAGUCUCUUGACUUUGAAUCAUUUGACACGUGCGAACCGUGCCUCAUGGGCAAGAUGACUAAGACUCCAUUCUCAGGAAUAAUGGAGAGAGCGAGCGACUUAUUGGAAAUAAUACAUAUUGAUGUGUGUGGUCCAAUGAACGUUGAAGCUCGCGGUGGCUACCGUUAUGUUCUCACUCUUACCGAUGAUUUGAGUAGGUAUGGGUAUAUCAACUUGAUGAAGCACAAAUCUGAGACGUUUGAAAAGUUCAAGGAAUUUUAGAGUGAGGUUGAGAAUCAACGUGACAGAAAAAUUAAGUGUCUACGAUCUGAUCGUGGAGGAGAAUAUUUGAGUCACGAGUUUGGCACACACCUAAGGAAGUGUGGAAUCGUUUCACAACUGACGCCGCCUGGCACACCGCAACUCAACGGAGUGUCUGAACGUCGUAAUCGCACUUUAUUAGAUAUGGUACGAUCUAUGAUGUCUCUUACCGACUUACCGCUAUCAUUUUGGGGAUACGCAUUAGAAACUGCAGCAUUCACUUUAAAUAGGGCACCGUCUAAAUCUGUUGAGACGACACCGUAUGAACUAUGGUUUGACAAGAAACCUAAGCUGUCGUUUCUUAAAGUUUGGGGCUGCGAUGCUUAUGUGAAGAAACUUCAACCAGAGAAGCUCGAACCCAAAGCGGAGAAAUGCGUAUUCAUAGGAUACCCCAAGGAAACUGGGUAUACCUUCUAUCUUAGAUCCGAAGGUAAAACCUUUGUUGCCAAGAACGGAUCCUUUCUAGAGAAAGAGUUUCUCUCAAAAGAAGUAAGUGGGAGGAAAGUAGAACUUGAUGAGGUAAUUACACCCGCUCUCAAACCGGAGAGUAGCGCAGCGCGGGAAAUUGUUCCUAUGGCGCCUAUGCCAACUGAAGAGGAAGUUAAUGAUGAUGAUCAUGAAGCUUCGGAUCAAGUUGCUACUGAACCGCGAAGGUCCACAAGGGUACGCUCCGCACCAGAGUGGUACGGCAACCCUGUGAUGGAAAUCAUGUUGUUAGACAACGGUGAACCUUCGAACUAUGAAGAAGCAAUGGCGGGCCCGGAUUCCAACAAAUGGCUUGAGGCUAUGAAAUCCGAGAUAGGAUCCAUGUAUGAGAACAAAGUAUGGACUUUGGUGGACUUGCCCGAUGAUCGGCGAGCCAUAGAAAAUAAAUGGAUCUUCAAGAAGAAGACUGAUGCAAACAGAAAUGUGACCGUUUAUAAGGCUCGACUUGUCGCAAAGGGUUUUCGACAAAUUCAAGGAGUUGACUACGAAGAGACUUUCUCUCUCGUAGCGAAGCUAAAGUCAGUCUGAAUCAUGUUAGCAAUUGCCGCUUUUCAUGAUUAUGAAAUUUGGCAAAUGGACGUCAAAACAGCAUUCCUUAACGGGAAUCUUAAGGAAGAGUUGUAUAUGAUGCAACCAGAAUGUUUUGUCGACCCUAAGGGUGCUAACAAAGUGUGCAAGCUCCAGCGCUCCAACUAUGAUCUGGUGCAAGCAUCUCGGAGUUGGAACAUUUCCUUUAAUGAGGUGAUUAAAGCGUUUGGGUUCAUACAGGUUUAUGGAGAAGCCUGUUUGUACAAGAAAGUGAGUGGGAGCUCUGUAGCUUUCCUCAUACUGUAUGUGGAUGACAUAUUAUUGAUGGGGAAUAAUAUAGAGAUGUUGGAGAGCAUAAAGGCCUAUUUGAAAAAGAGUUUUUCGAUGAAGGACCUUGGAGAAGCUGCAUACAUAUUAGGCAUCAAGAUCUAUAGAGAUAGAUCGAGACGCCUAAUAGGUCUUUCGCAAAGUACAUACCUUGACAAGAUAUUGAAGAAGUUCAAUAUGGAAAACUUAAAGAAGGGGUUCUUACCUGUUUUGAAGGUAUGAGAUUGAGUAAGACUCAGUCACCGACCACGGCAGCAGAUAGAGAGAAGAUGAGUAUUGUCCCCUAUGCUUCAGCCGUAGGCUCUCUAAUGUAUGACAUGUUGUGUACCAGACCUGAUAUAAACCUUGCCAUAAGUUUGGUAGGGAGGUACCAAAGUGAUCCCGGUAUGGAACACUGGACAGCGGUCAAGAAUAUCCUUAAGUACCUGAAGAGGACUAAGGAGAUGUUUCUCGUUUAUGGAGGUGACGAAGAGCUCGUCGUAAAGGGUUACGUCGAUGCUAGCUUCGACACAGAUCCGGAUGACUCUAAGUCACAGACCGGAUACGUGUAUGUUUUGAAUGGUGGGGCAGUGAGCUGGUGCAGCAGAAAGCAAGAAGCCGUGGCAGCAUCUACAUGUGAAGCGGACUACAUAGCUGCUUCAGAAAGGGCUCAUGAAGGAAUUUGGAUGAACGAGCUCAUCACCGACCUUGGAGUGGUCCCAAGCGCGUCGGGUCCAAUGACACUCUUCUAUGAUAACACUGGGGACAUUGCCAUAGCCAAGGAGCCCAGGUUUCACCGGAAGACCAAGCACAUCAAACGCCGCUACAACUCCAUCCAGGACCAUGUCCAGAGUGGAGUAAUAGAUAUUUGUAAAGUACACACGGAUCUGAAUGUUGCAGACCCGUUGACUAAACCUCUUCCUCGAGCAAAACAUGAUCAACACCAUAAUGCUAUGGGUGUUCGAUACAUCACAAUGUAACUAGAUUAUUGACUCUAGUGUAAGUGGGAGACUGUUGGAAAUAUGACCUAGAGGCAAUAAUAAAAUGGUUAUUAUCAUAUUUCCUUGUUCAUGAUAAUCGUCUAUUGUUCAUGCUAUAAUUGUAUUAACAGGAAACAGUAAUACAUGUGUGAAUAAAUAGAUCACAAUGUGUCCCUAGCAAGCCUCUAGUUGGCUAGCUCGUUAAUCAAUAGAUGAUCAUGGUUUUCUGAUCAUGGGCAUUAGAUGUCAUUGAUAACGGGAUCACAUCAUUGGGAGAAUGAUGUGAUGGACAAGACCAAUCCUAAGCAUAGCACUAGAUCGUAUUGUUCGUAUGUUAAAGCUUUUAUAAUGUCAAGUGUAUUUUCCUUCGACCGUGAGAUUGUGCAACUCUCGGAUACCAUAGGAGUGCUUUGGGUGUAUCAAACGUCACAAUGUAACUGGGUGACUAUAAAGGUGCACUACGGGUACCUCUGAAGGUGUCUGUUGGGUUGGCACGAAUCGAGAUCGGGAUUUGUCACUCCGUGUGACGGAGAGGUAUCUCUGGGCUCACUCGGUAGAACAUCAUCCUGAGCUCAAUGUGAUUAAGAAGUUAGACACACGAUGACGUGCUACGGAACCAGUAAAGAGACUUAUCGGUAACGAGAUUGAACAAGGUAUAGGUAUACCGACGAUCGAAUCUCGGGCAAGUUUUAUACCACACACAAAGGGAAUUGUAUACGGGAUUGAUUGAAUCCUUGACAUCGUGGUUCAUCCGAUGAGAUCAUCGUGGAACAUGUGGGAGCCACCAUGGGUAUCCAGAUCCCGCUGAUGGUUAUUGGCCGGAGAGCGUCUCGGUCAUGUCUGCAUGUUUCUCGAACCCGUAGGGUCUACACACUUAAGGUUUGAUGACGCUAGGGUUAUAGGGAAAUGUUAUACGAGGUUACCGAAAGUUGUUCGGAGUCCCGGAUGAGAUCCCGGACGUCACGAGGAGCUCUGGAAUGGUCCGGAGGUAAAGAUUGAUAUAUAGGAUGGAUGGUUUUGGACGUCGAAAAUGUUUCGGGCAUCACCGGUAGCGUACCGAGACCAUCGGGACCACCGGAAAUGGUCCCGGGGGUCCAGCGGGAGGGGCCACCAGCCCCAAGAGGUAGCAUGGGCCAAAAGGUGGAGGGCAACCAGCCCAAAGUGGGCUGGUGCACCUCCCACAAAAGGGCCCAAGGCGCAGGAGGUGGAGAGGGGGAAACCCUAGGCGCUGGUGGGCCUAAGGCCCACCUAGGGGUGCGCCACCCCCUCCCCCUGCCCUAGUCGCCGCACCUCCCAUUUGGGGGGGCUGCCGCACCACCUAGGGUGGGAACCCUAGGGGUGCCACCCCCCUCCCCUCCUCCUAUAUAUACCUAGGGGUUUGGGGCUAUUUUGCACACCGUUUCUUCUCUCCCUCGGCGCAACCCUGCUCCUCUCCUUCCUCCUCUUCCCAUGGUGCUUGGCGAAGCCCUGCCGGGAGACCUCGUCUCUCCAUCGACACCACACCGUCGUGCUGCCGGAGAUCUUCCCCAACCUCUCCCUCCUCCUUGCUGGAUCAAGGUGCAGGAGACGUCACCGUGCUGCACGUGUGUUGAACGCGGAGGUGCCGUGGUUCGGCACUAGAUCGGAAUCACACCACGAUGUGAAUCGCCGCGAGUACGACUCCAUCAACCGCGUUCUAUCAAUGCUUCCGCUUAGCAAUCUUCAAAGGUAUGAAGAUGCACUCAUCCCUCUCUCGUUGCUGGUCUCUCCAUAGGAAGAUCUGAAUAUGGCGUAGGAUUUUUUUUUGAAUUUAUGCUACGUUACCCAACACACAUAUCACCGGUUGACAAUGUCUGAAAGCUUCGAUGCAGACAUCGAAAGAGAAGAACAACCGAUGCAACACCCUCACAGUUGGGAACUCUCGGAUGAACAUGUCUUGGAUGUCGACAUAGGUGCCAGGAUUCCGGUUCUGCAGUGUGUGCACGAGCCAGACAACAGAGUCAUAUGCAUCAAAAUACGAACCAAAUCUGGUCUCAAGUGCCCUCUGCUUAGCCCUCCAAGCCUUUCCAUAAGAAAUUUUGUACUUGAACCUGAUGAAGACUUUUGUCUGGAUAGCCUUAACUUCCAUCGCUUUGCUCUCCACUAUCUUGUUGUAAAGCAACCGAGCAAUGACCGUGGAAGUAAGGUUAUGAUGAUCUUGAGGGAUACAUGGAAUAACACAAGUAUGAUGAACUAUGCCACUUAUGACCCAGCUUGUGCCAUACUUAGGGAGAUAGCCAUGCACCCUUGCGGGACAACCCUGGUUUCUGCGUACCAUUGUCAAGUUUUUCGGACUUGAAACAUCAGCUACAAAAACCCUUUGCAUGGACAUUGCCCAAUCAAUGAUUGCAUCCUUCAAAGCUUGUUUGUUUGGGUACAGGGCACGUGUCACAAUGUUGUCUUGAUGAUACUGCGCGGCAGAAUCAUGACCAUCGUUCACGAUCAUUGCAGAUGAGAAUUCCCGAUUCCAUGAUGCAGGAAUAGGCGCUUCAUGUGCGUUCUCUUCUUCGUCUGACUUAGCGGAAUCAUCGGCAAUAUCACCUUCUCUAUCUUCUUCAUGCAUCUCGUUUUGCAUGCGCCCGUUUAUCUCGUCAGCGUCCGCCUCGCAACUGACAUAAUUUCCUCCUUCUACCUAACUGCUCUGCCCUGCUUCGUAAACAUCAUCUCCAGCAUGGGACGCAUAAUUUUGCUGUGAAUCAUGCAUCCCUUCAAUGCUCUGGCCAUAAUCGUAACUAUAUUCGGCUUCAGUUGCACUAACCGGCUUCAGCACGGGCAGCAGUAAGGCGACAUGAUUACAUCCCCUACGCUCGCAAGCUUUUUCAUUAGGGCAACGAUCUGUGUCGGCGCGCCGGUGCAGACGUUUCGGCCAGUCAACGCCCCAGCGUAGGAUACAUGCACAUGUAACCGUCCGAUCCAGAAAAAAAAAUCCCCUCCUCGCUCUCACCGCCUCCCGCUAGCUUGCUCGUCGGCGUGCUCGCCAGGACGCUCGUCGGAGCCGCGUGCAAGCCAACAUGCUCGUUAGAACCGNNNNNNNNNNNNNNNNNNGCUCUCUGGAGCUGCUCGUCGGCGCGCUUGUCAGAGCCGCUCGCCGGAGCUGCUCGUCGGCUUGCUCGCCGGAGCUGCUCGUCGGCUUGUUCACCGGAGCUGCUCGUCCUUGCCGGAGCCGAUCGUCGGUACUUGUGUUGUUGUCAAGCUCGUUGCUUGUAGGAGAGGUUGCGGCGGUCAAAACUUUUUCCCCUGGUCGUCGCUCGUUGAAGCUUUUCACACAUACGGUUGAAGCUUUUUCUAGAACGGUUGUAACUUUUCUGAUUGUGCAGUGUAUGGUUGUAGCUUUCUCUUCCAAUGAUUGGAACUUUUUUCCUCUACGGUCGAAGCUUUUAUGUAAAGGGUUGCAACUAUUAUCUUUUAGCAGCGCUCGAUUAAUGCGCUCUCUAUUGUUUCAGUUGCAGCUUUUUUCAUCAACGGUUGAAACAUUUUAGGUCAACGGUUGCAGCAUUCCGUCAUGGCAAUGACCGUUUGUAGAUUUUAUAUGUAUGGUUGCAGCUAUUUUCAUCAACGGUUGUUGCAUUUUAUGUCAACGGUUGUAGCAUCGCGGGUCGGGAUCUGCGGGGGCGCAUCUCGCGGUCGAACUGGUCGGACAUAGUCGUGGACAUAAAGCUUUUUCAAACCAACAGUCGAAGCUUUUUCAAUGAUUGAAGCUUUUUCUCAUGGAUUGAAGCUUUUCAUUCCAUGCUCUUGAAGCUUUUUCAAUGGCCAAGAGAAGAGCUGGAGGAGGAAGAAUAGCGGUUGGUGGAUGGAUAAGGCAUUAGAUAUGUGGCUAGGAAAGAGUCUGUUGCACAUGGACUGGAUGGGUAAACGAGGACCACUUGAUUAAAAGUGAAUCCAACGUCCCGCGCGCGACCGGCGGAAGACUCAGCCGGCGCGCCGGGUAUAAACAAUUUCCUUUUCAUUAACAUGGAGAAUAUUUAGGUGGUUUUGAGCGAAAUAAUAGAUGGUUAGAUUUCAUCACGAACCAUUAAAACCCGGAGGUUGAUCGAAGACGGUUAGGUAUCAAAAUGGGUACACAACAAACGAAGAACAAACUCUUCCUUUCAUUAUCUCCCCUAAUAAUAAACCACGUAUCGCUUCUGUCGUCCGUCGCUAGCGUUUUUGCAGAAAAGUCCUUCUGUUCUUUCGAAAUCAACCCGCAGUCCUAUAGUAAGUGGAAAAAAACGUUUCAGGUCGUGACGCGGAUCUCGGCGGGGAACGACUGCAGAGGUUGCAUCUCUGGCCGAGCUAGGCCAUGGGGAGGGCGGCGGCGCGCGGAUCUCGGCGGGGAAUGGUUGCAUAGGUUGCAGCUCUGGCCGAGCUAGGCCAUGGGGAGGGCGGCGGCUCGCGGAUCUCGGCGGGCGACGGGCGGCGCGACGCUGGGCGAGGGGGCUUCGAUCUGAUUAGAGGAGAUCUUCGAGGACUACGAGGCGGUUGUGCCCUUCUACGCGCUGGCCGGACUGGGCGUCGCCGUCCACUGCGCCGUGCCGCCCCGUCCCCUCCGCCUCCGUCGACGCCGGUGAUGCGGGGCCGCCGCGAUGGACGCCCUGUCCCUCAUCGACGUCUCCGGCAAGGAGGACGACUUCCUCGUGGACCUGGCCUCGCCACCGCAGCACCCCAACCCGCCACCGCCGCCCCGCCCCGCUCCAGGUGAGUCAACCGGCUCGCCGUCCCCCGUGACCGUUCCUUCCAUUUCGGCGCGUGCGUGGGUCGCGCCUCCGAUCUGACGCGCAGUGCUACGUUUCCCCCCUCUUGCAGCGGCUUCGGCGGUGGCCGCCGAUUCGGAGCAGCCCGCCGCCGGAUCUCCUCCUCCUCCGGCGGGGCAGGCCGUGGACCCCGCGGAGCAGGCCCCGGAGCGGGCGCAGUCCCCGAAGAAGGCCAAGCCCAAGGGCGGCGUCAACCUCCGCAAGAGCCUCGCCUGGGACAAGGCCUUCUUCACCAGCGAAGGUCUGCGCGUCGCCUGGCACGAAAUCUCUGUUGUUCCGUGACUGUUGCGUGUCAUAAUACGCAUUGUAGGCUCAUGGAUACUGAUCUGGAUUGCUGCCACCAGUCCUGCCAGAUCCUAACGUUUCCCUUUCCAGCUCCGUAGUUGUCUUUUGUUAUAGCAGACCUGUUAUUAUCCUGAUGCGUUGAUUGAUAGCAGCUAACGCUUCCUCCUGGUCUGAGCAGGCGUUCUGGAUACCGAGGAAUUGGGCAUUGUGACAGCACUUUCCGCAAGUCGCAUGGUUCAAGGCUACUGCCAGGAAUAGCAGAGGAACUGAGGAGGUCAACCGAGUCCACUACCUCAACGCUGGACAGCGAAAGCUUUGUGCUGGAAAGCCUUGAGACAGAGCUGUUUGACAAUGUCCGUGCUUCGAUUCAGAGAACACUUGGAAAACCUGAUAAAGCUCCAGGCGUGGCUUUUGCUAGCUCAAAGACCCCUAGGGCAACAGCAAAGGCACCUCCUGUCACAGGUAGCAUGUUACAAACUCACAAGUUGAUGCGAAAAUGCUAAUUUCUUAUGUUGUAACUUCAGAAAGCACCGUCUGCUCUAUUUUUUAACUAAUGUGAUUGCCGUGUUGCUACUUUCCAGCGAGAAAUGGGGUUGAUCGGAUACCUCCUGUUUCCUGCAGUACUUGUUAAUGCUGCCUCAGAUAAGGCCUCCUGCUUCAACAAGCAAUGGGUCUGUUGGUGGUAGCAAGCAAAGGCCCAAGUCACCCUGAAAGAGCCUGCACCUGGAAGAGUGGUAUGUUACAUGCUUGUAAUUCCAGAAUAUCCAUGAACUUUCUGUAGUUAACUAGAGGUUUAGGAUUUGUGGGAUGCUUGCUACAUUCACCAGGAUGCUAUAAUUGUAGUGAACCAUUUCUUGCAUUUACCGAUAAUUAGCUUACUUGUGAAACCUUAUUGCGAAACUGCACAGAACUAAUUAAAAAAAGCUCCAGUUAGAUAAUUUUGUUAUCUUUUAGGGGGAACAAAGCUGGCCACUUGCUUGUAUAAGGGCAACGGAACGGCAGGUGGGACUUGACUGUUUAGUUGGUGCUACUGGCAUUGCUUGGUGGAAGGGCAUAUGUAAAAAAAUGUUUUCGCUUCUCCAACGUAUGGCGGAGGGCAUUUUGUAGAUAAGAUAUACCAGUAGCAAGUAAUUUGUGCUGUAGUCUUAGUGACGUGGCAUACGGUACGGGUGCCAACAGAAAGCGACCACAUCCGCAACGCAAGACCGCAACCGAGUUGCUUUUGCUGGCUGCCCCAAGCUUGGUCUCAAUUCUGGGAAAUACUUACUACGUAGCCGACUGGUCGUGCCUUAGAAACAAAGGCAGAGAAAGAGAUGAGCGUCACCUUAGCCGCGUGAGCAAAUCACACGGACGGAACCACAAAAUCACGGCAGCUACCGGCAGGCUUACGCCGCUGAUCCGGACCGGAGGCAACCACAACCUCACCUUGGGGCUGCCCCAACCGUGUGCACUCGAUUUAUAAGGUAUGAACAGGAUACAAAAUUAAAAUGUAGUUUGGAUUUGCCAGAUACCAAAAUUACACAAAAUCAUGAUUUAAAAACAUAAAUAAAAUAUAUACAAACAACAUAUCUCCCCUAAUAAUAAAGCACGGAACGCUUAUGUCGUCCGUCGUGGCAGUUUUGCAAAACUGUGAUAUUUUUGUCCCGUUGGAAUAUGAGAGCAUCACUUUAUUUUUGUUCAAUCACAGAAAAUGGAUCACGACUUUGAAUCAAUCAUUGUUGCUUGUAAUAUUAGUUGGAAACUAGAUAUAUGGAUUAGAGAAAUCCAGGUUAAGCAUUGAUCUAGAGAUUGGAUGUCCGAUCCACUAACUUAACUGUAAAACUGUGAUAUUUUUGUCCCGUUGCAACGCACGGGCACUUGUCCUAUCAAUACUAAUACUAAUAUUAAGUAAAACUAGUACAUUACAUACAUCCACCCGAUGUAGGAUUGAUCGAUGAGAUUCUUAUUUGACAGCAGCUAACGGCAGCAAAAAGAAAAACAGGGAACGAGAGCCCGUGAAAGAAAUAAAGCAUGCGCUUGCCUGGCGGACAUAGAUAAUCAAGCUGCCUUUCUUCAUGGAAUGUCUUGGCAAUUCGCUUCAACGCAGACAUCUAUGCACUCAGGGUCGUGUUUACCUAUCAAAUGAUGGCAGUGUACCUGGCAAUCAACAAUGCAGUUCCAGCACUCUUGGCUUGGGGACGGGUUGGCCUCGUCGCAUUCGGCCGCCGCCGGCUCGGCUAUGAGCAGCUGCCCGACGAAGAGGGCCAGCACAAACAUGGCUGCCAUCUUCGGCGAGGCGUAGGAGCUGGAACCCAUUGCAAUCGAUGGAUCGACUCGACCUAGAUAUGCAAUGCACUAUGUAUAUAUGCUUUUAAUCGAGGCUUGACAUGCGAUGAGAGUAGAGACGAGCCUCCUAUUUAUGGCCAUCUUGCUAGCUUAGGAUCUGAUCUUAAUCCAGAUCACCCAACUAAUCAAACUUACUUAUUGUGGUUAUGGAGGGAGUGGUGAGAUUAUUGACCAACUGUAGCAUAAUACUAUAGUACAAGCAUCUCAUAUGAAAUCCGAUUACUCAAGGAUCCUCUCGGUCCCCGACUUAUUCUGUCAACUCCCUUUACACAUUAGACUAGCAGCAUUUGUUGGUUAUGCGUGUUCCUCGUGCUCAGUUUAAAAUCGAGUGACAGGCUGUUGGCAAGUGGCCAUGAUUUGCACAUGCCUCAUGGAGUAGGAAGUAGGAACUACUCUCUCUGUCCUACAAUAAAUGACGUGUCGAUUUAGUAUAAAAUUUAUGUUAUUUAAUAUUGAACUUGCAAUGCAUAUUUUGAGAUGGAGGAAGUACUAUAUUAGCACGAUAAUGGAAUGGCGUGUUGCUGCGCCUCCAUAUUAAAGUAAGUAUUCAUAUAUGUUUUUUCAGAAAAGGAGGAUGCACAGCCGGCCUCUUCAUCUCGACGAUGCAUGCGGCCAUUUUAUUAAUUAUUCAUCAAGACCUUUACAAAGUAAUACAUCAUGUCGCUACAUCUAUCCCAUUGAUAAAGGGGUGUCAAAUGUCCAGGCCAAAUACCAAACAGACAUCGCACCAAACCCUAACAUCUAAAGCCGGAUGCCCCAUCCCAGUCACACGCCGGGAUUGGGUGACACACCGGUCCAACUCACCCCCAGUGGGCACCAACGUACACACUGCAAGGGAUAUCACCUCCGUCUUCCAUCGACCCAUAUUCAAAGCAGCAACGGACGCAUCUACCUUGUCAGGCCUCUCUGCCAUCGACGUCACCACAACGCUAGACAACGUCUUCCUCCUGCGCGAGUCCAUCGCCACGCAUCGAACGUUGAGCCUCCACUGCUCCACGCCGUCGAGAUCCACCGCCAUGCAUAUGUAGGUUGAAGCACCGCUCCAUCAAAGAUGUCGUCCACUUGUCCCUCGAACCCGCGUACACCUCCAAGAAAGACGCCCCCAAGGGGGAAACGACACAAGAGUGUCGCCGUCAUCUGAUCUGCUGAUCUAGGAUUUCCCCCGGAGGUAUUGGUGUUGGAAAUAUGCCCUAGAGGCAAUAAUAAAAUAGUUAUUACUAUAUUUCUUGUUUCAAGAGAAUCGUUUAUUAUCCAUGCUAUAAUUGUAUUGAAUGGAAACAUAAAUGCAUGUGUGGAUAUAUAGACAAGUGUUGUCACUUGAUAACGGGAUCACAUCAUUAGGAGAAUGAUGUGAUGGACAAAGACCCAAACUAUAAACGUAGCAUAUGAUUGUGUCAUUUUGUUGCUAUUGUUUUCUGCAUGUCAAGUAUACAUUCCUAUGACCAUGAGAUCAUGUAACUCACUGACACGAUAGGAAUAUCUUGUGUAUAUCAAACGUCGCAACGAUACUGGGUGACUAUAAAGAUGCUCUACAGGUAUCUCCGAAGGUGUCCGUUGAGUUAGCAUGGAUCAAGACUAGGAUUUGUCACUCCGUGUGACGGAGAGGUAUCUCGGGGCCACUCGGUAAUACAACAUCACAAACAAUCCUUGCAAGCAAUGUGACUAAAGAGUUAGCCACGGGAUCUUGUAUUACAGAGCGGGUAAAUAGACUUGCCGGUAACGAGAUUGAAAUAGGUAUGUCGAUACCGAUAAUCGAAUCUCGGGCAAGUAACAUACCGAAGGACAAAGGGAAUGAUAUACAGGAUUAUGUGAAUCAUUGACAUAGAGGUUCAAUCGAUAAGAUCUUCGUAGAAUAUGUAGGAUCCAAUAUGGACGUCCAGGUCCCACUAUUGGAUAAUGACCGAAGAGUGUCUCGGUCAUGUCUACAUAGUUCUCGAACCCGCAGGGCCUGCACACUUAAGGAUCGGUGACGUUUUAGGUAUAGUUGAAUUAUUGAUGUUGGUAACCGAAUGUUGUUCGGAGUCCCGUAUGGGAUCCUGGACGUCGCGAGUGUCUCCAGGAUGGUCCGUAAAUGAAGAUUGAUAUAUAGGAUUGUUGCAUUUGGCUUCCACAAAGAUUUCGGGCAUUAUCGAUAAAGUACUAGGAGUGAUGAAUGGGUUACGGGGUUUUACCGGGAGGGGCCACUGCUAGCAAUCCUCGGCAACGACACUAGAAGAGUGUUGUUGACGUGUUCCUGACUUGAUGCCUCCCCGGCAACGGAGCCAGAACUGCUCCCAGUUGCUCAACAAUUAGCAAUUGUCUUGCAAUGGCCCACCAACGCGUGGGUUCGCGGGAGUUUUCGAUGGUACAGUAUUCAACCCAAAUUUGUUGGUUCGCCCGACAGGAAGUGGAAGAAUAUUCUCAAGUAUUAGCAGCUGAAUGUGUCAGAUUCAACCACACCUGAAAGAUUAGUAUAUGCAAGCAAAGUAUCAGCAGCAAAGUAGUAUGAUAACAACCGUGCUAGAAAUGAUCUGUUGACGGCAGACUAUUCCUAACGAUUGUAUGAAUGGCGCCAGAAGUUGACCAUGGACGGGAAAUAUUCUUUCCCGUCAACGGCGCGAGAAAAAGUAUUGUAGCAGGUAGCAGCAGUGUAACGAAUAACAGCAGUGGCAAGGAACAGCAGUAGUGACAGCAGUAGCAAGUAGCAAUAGUAGUAACAGCAGCAGAGCAAAGCAAGUAACAGCAGCAGCAACAAUAGUAACAGCAGCAGAGCAAAACAAGCAACACCAGCAGUAACAGUAGUAAUAGCAGCAGAGCAAAACAAGUAACAACAGUAGUGGGACAAACUCGUAGGCAAUGGGUCGGUGAUUUGUUUGGAUGAUAUUCAUCAUGCAACAGCUAUAACACGGAGAGAUAUGUGGCUAGCUACCGUUCGUUAAUGUGAUGUAGGCAUGCAUUCCGUGUGUCGUCAUACGUGCUUAGGGAAAAGAACUUGCAUGACAUCUUUUGUCCAUCCCUCCCGUGGCAGCAGGGUCCAAAAGGAAACUACGGGAUAUUAAGGUUCUCCUUUUAAUAAAGAACCGGACCAAUGCAUUAGCACUUGGUGAACACAUGAACUCCUCAAACUAUGGUCAUCACCGGGAGUGGUUCCGGUUAUUGUCACUCCGGGGUUGUCGGAUCAUAACACAUAGUAGGUAACUACAACUUGCAAGAUCGGAUCUAAAACACACAUAUAUUGGUGGCAACAUAAUAAUUUCAGAUGUGAAAUCAUGGCACUCGGGCCCUAGUGACAAGCAUUAAGCAUGGCAAAGUAGUAGCAACAUCAAUCUCAGAACAUAGUGGAUACUAGGGAUCAAUCCCCGUCAAAACUAACUCGAUUACAUGAUAGAUCUCAUCCUACUCAUCACCGCCCAGCGAGCCUACGAAUAGAUUACUCACGAACGAUGAAGAGCUUCAUGGAAUUGGAGAGGGAAGAAGGUUGAUGAUGACGAUGGCGACGAUUUCCCCUCUUCGGAGCCCAAAACGGACUCGAGAUCUGCCCUCGAGAUGAAGAACAGGAAGUGGCGGCGCCUCCGUAUCACAAACGCGACGAAAUCUUCUCCCUUUAUUUUUUCUGGGACGAAAGUGAAUUUAUAGAGCUGAGUUUAGGGGCGGCAGAGCCACGCGGGCUCCACAAGCUUGGUAGCUACCACCAGGGGGCGGCGGCUACAGGGCUUGUGGCCCACUGGCCCAUCCCCUCCGGUGGAUCUUUGCGCGGGUAUUUUUCAUAUUUUCCAGAAAUAUUCUCGAUAAAUUUUCAGGACGUUCCGAGAACUUUCAUUUCUGCACAAAAACAACACCAAGGCAAUUCUGCUGAAAACAGCAUCAGUCCAGGUUAGUUCCAUUCAAAUCAUGCAAAUUAGAGUCCAAAACAAGGGCAAAAGAGUUUGGAAAAGUAGAUACGAUGGAGACGUAUCAGCCACCCACCCAGUAGAGAACCUAAUAGGCCCAUGGGUGGCGCACCAGCCCUUAAUGGGCUGGUGAGGCCAGCCCAAUAAGGCUAUUUCGACCAAGGAAAAAAUAAAGAAGGAAAAGAAAAAAGGAGGUGGACAAGAUAGGAAGGAGUCCUCCACCAAACCGAAUUGGAGGAGGACUCCUCCCUCCUUGCCUCGGCCGAAGGAGGCAAGCCACCAUCCCCUUGGUUCCUCCUAUAUAUAGUGGAGGGUUUUAGGGUUUUUUGCACCUCAAGCCUUUGUGCAACCCUCUCUCCCUCCACUACUUUGUGACAACUCGUAGCUAGAUCGGUACCGCACGGCGAAGCCCUGCCGGAGUAGCUCCACCAUCAUCACCGCCACACCGUCGUGCUGCCGGAGAAUUCAGCUACCUCUCCGUCUCUCUUGCUGGAUCAAGAAGGCGAAGAUCGUCAUCGAGGUGUACGUGUGCUGACCGCGGAGGUGACGUCCGUUCGGUGCUAGAUCGGGACGGAUCAUGGGGCGUGUUGGAAAUAUGCCCUAGAGGCAAUAAUAAAUUAGUUAUUAUUAUAUUUCUUUGUUCAUGAUAAUCGUUUAUUGUCCAUGCUAUAAUUGUAUUGAUUGGAAACACAGUGCAUGUGUGGAUACAUAGACAAAACACUGUCCCUAGUAAGCCUCUAGUUGACUAGCUCGUUGAUCAAAGAUGGUCAAGGUUUCCUGACCAUAGGCAAGUGUUGUCACUUUAUAAUGGGAUCACAUCAUUAGGAGAAUCAUGUGAUGGACAAGACCCAAACUAAUAGACGUAGCAUGUUGAUCGUGUUAUUUUGUUGCUACUGUUUUCUGCGUGUCAAGUAUUUGUUCCUAUGACCAUGAGAUCAUAUAACUCACUGACACCGGAGGAAUGCUUUGUGUGUAUCAAACGUCGCAACGUAACUGGGUGACUAUAAAGAUGCUCUACAGGUAUCUCCGAAGGUGUUAGUUGAGUUAGUAUGGAUCGAGACUGGGAUUUGUCACUCCGUGUGACGGAGAGGUAUCUCGGGGCCCACUCGGUAAUACAACAUCACACACAAGCCUUGCAAGCAUUGUGACUUAGUGUAAGUUGCGGGAUCUUGUAUUACGGAACGAUUAAAGAGACUAGCCGGUAAACGAGAUUGAAAUAGGUAUGCGGAUACUGACGAUCGAAUCUCGGGCAAGUAACAUACCGAAGGACAAAGGGAAUGACAUACGGGAUUAUAUGAAUCCUUGGCACUGAGGUUCAAACGAUAAGAUCUUUGUAGAAUAUGUAGGAUCCAAUAUGGGCAUCCAGGUCCCGCUAUUGGAUAUUGAUCGAGGAGCCACUCGGGUCAUGUCUACAUAGUUCUCGAACCCGCAGGGUCUGCACACUUAAGGUUCGACGUUGUUUUAUGCGUAUUUGAGUUAUAUGGUUGGUUACCGAAUGUUGUUCGGAGUCCCGGAUGAGAUCACGGACGUCACGAGGGUUUCCAGAAUGGUCCGGAAACGAAGAUUGAUAUAUAGGAUGACCUCAUUUGGUUACCGGAAGGUUUUCGUGCAUUACCGGAAAAGUUUCGGGCUCAUCGGUAGUGUACUGGGAGUGCCGGGAGGGUGCCGGGAACCAUCAGGAGGGGUGUCACGCCCCAAGGGGUCUCAUGGGCUAUGGGAAGAGAUAAACCAGCCCCUAGUGGGCUGGAAUAAGUUCCCACUAAGGCCCAUAAGGUUUGAGAAGGAAAAAACACAAGGUGGAAAGAGUUUCCAAGUGGGAAGGUGGAAUCCUACUCCAAGUAGGAUUGGAGUAGGUUUUGAGGCUGCCUCCUCCCCUCCCUCCCUCCUAUAUAUAGUGGGGUUUUAGGGCUGAUUUUAGACAACUUUUGCCACGGCAGCCCGACCACAUACCUCCACGGUUUUACCUCUCUAGAUCGCGUUUCUGCGAAGCUCGGGCGGAGCCCUGCUGAGAUUAGAUCACCACCAACCUCCGGAGCGCCGUCACGCUGCCGGAGAACUCAUCUAUCUCUCCGUCUCUCUUGCUGGAUCAAGAAGGCCGAGAUCAUCGUCGAGCUGUACGUGUGCUGAACGCGGAGGUGCCGUCCGUUCGGCACUAGAUCGGAGAGGAUCAUGGGACGGAUCGCGGGACGGUUCGUGGGACGGUUCGCGGGGCGGAUCGAGGGACGUGAGGACGUUCCACAACAUCAACCGCGUUUCUUAACGCUUCUUCUGUGUGAUCUACAAGGGUACGUAGAUCGGAAAUCCCCUCUCGUAGAUGGACAUUACCAUGAUAGGUCUUCGUGCGCGUAGGAAAGUUUUUGUUUCCCAUGCGACGUUCUCCAACAGUGGCAUCAUGAGCUAGGUUCAUGCGUAGAUGUAAUCUCGAGUAGAACACAAAAGUUUUUGUGGGCGGUGAUGUGCGUUUUGCUGCCCUCCUUAGUCUUUUCUUGAUUCCGCGGUAUUGUUGGAUCGAAGCGGCUCGGACCGACAUUACUCGUACGCUUACGAGAGACUGGUUUCAUCGCUACGAGUAACUCCGUUGCUCAAAGAUGACCGGCGAGUGUCGGUUUCUCCAACUUUAGUUGAAUCGGAUUUGACCGGGGAGGUCCUUGGAUGAGGUUAAAUAGCAAUUCAUAUAUCUCCGUUGUGGUGUUUGCGUAAGUAAGAUGCGAUCCUACUAGAUACCCAUGGUCACCACGUAAAACAUGCAACAACAAUUAGAGGACGUCUAACUUGUUUUUGCAGGGUAUGCUUCUGAUGUGAUAUGGCCAACGAUGUGAUGUGAUAUAUUGGAUGUAUGAGAUGAUCAUGUUGUAAUAGUUAAUAUCGACUUGCACGUCGAUGGUACGGCAACCGGCAGGAGCCAUAGGGUUGUCUUUAAGCUAACGUUUGUGCUUGCAGAUGUGUUUACUAUAUUGCUAGGACGUAGCUUUAGUAGUAAUAGCAUGAGUAGCACGACAACCCCGAUGGCAACACGUUGAUGGAGAUCAUGAUGAUGGAGAUCAUGGUGUGACGCCGGUGACAAGAAGAUCGUGACGGUGCUUUGGUGAUGGAGAUCAAGAAGCACAUGAUGAUGGCCAUAUCAUCUCACUUAUGAAUUGCAUGUGAUGUUAAUCCUUUAUGCACAUUAUCUUGCUUAGAACGACGGUAGCAUUAUGAGGUGAUCUCUCACUAAAAUUUCAAGACAAAAUUGUGUUCUCCCCGACUGUGCACCGUUGCGACAGUUCUUCGUUUCGAGACACCACGUGAUGAUCGGGUGUGAUAGACUCAACGUUCACAUACAACGGGUGCAAAACAGUUGCACACGCGGAACACUCGGGUUAAGCUUGACGAGCCUAGGAUGUACAGACAUGGCCUCUGAACACAUGAGACCGAAAGGUCGAGCAUGAAUCGUAUAGUUGAUAUGAUUAGCAUAGAGAUGCUUACCACUGAAACUAUUCUCGACUCACGUGAUGAUCGGACUUGAGAUAGUGGAUUUGGAUCAUGUACCACUCAAAUGACUAGAGAGAUGUACUUUUUGAGUGGGAGUUCUUAAGUAAUAUGAUUAAUUGAACUAAUUGUCAUGAACAUAGUCUAAUGGUCUUUGCGAAUUACGAUGUAGCUUGCGCUAUAGCUCUACUGUUUUUAAUAUGUUCCUAGAGAAAAUUUAGUUGAAAGUUGAUAGUAGCAAACUUUGCGGACUUAGUCUGUAAAACUAAGGAUUGUCCUCGUUGCUGCGCAGAAGGCUUAUGUCCUUAAUGCACCACUCAGUCUGCUGCACCUCGAGCGUCGUCUGUGGAUGUUGUGAACAUCUGACAUACACGUUUUUGAUGACUACACGAUAGUUCGGUGCAAAAUACUUAAUGGCUUAGAAGCGUGGCACCGAAGACGUUUUGAAACGUCACGGAACAUGAGUGAUGUUCUAAAGAGAUGAAAUUGUGAUUUCAUGCUUGUGCCCUUGUUAAGAGGUAUGAGACCUCUUACAAGAUUCUUUGUCCAUGAAGUAAAGGAGAAGAACUCAAUCGUUGAGAGUGUGCUCAGAUUGUCUGAGUACGAAAAUCGCUUGAAUCAAGUGGGAGUUAAUCUUCCAGAUGAGAUAGUGAUGGUUCUCCAAAGUCACUGCCACCAAGCCGUGAGAGCUUCGUGAUGAACUAUAACAUAUCAAGGAUAGAUACAAUGAUCCUUGAGAGAUUCGUGAUGUAUGACACUACGAAAGUAGAAAUCAAGAAGGAGCAUCAAUGGUUGAUGGUUAGUAAAACCACCAAGUUUCAUAAAAGGCAAGGGCUAGAAGGGAUACUUCGUGAAACAGCAAAGCAGUUGCUGCCCUAAUGAAGAGACCCCAGAUUAAACCCAAGCCCGGGACUAAGUGCUUCUGUUAUGAGGGGAACGGUCACUGAGGCGGAGCAACUCUAGAUACUUGGUAGAUAAGAAGGCUGGCAAAAGUCGAAAGAAGUAUAUUUGAUAUACAUGAUGUUGAUGUGUACUUUACUAGUACUCCUAGUAGCACGAGGGUAUUGGAUACCGGUUCGGUUGCUAAGUGAUUAGUAACACGAAAUGAAAGCUACGGCAUAAACGGAGACUAGCUAAAGGCGAGGUGACGAUACGUGUUGGAAGUGUUUCCAAGGUUGAUAUGAUCAAACAUCGCACGCUCCCUCUACCGUCGGGAUUGGUGUUAAACCUAAAUAAUUGUUAUUUGGUGCUUGCGUUAAGCAUGAACAUGAUUGGAUCGUGUUUAUUGCAAUACGAUUAUUCAUUUAAAGAGAAUAAUGGUUACUCUAUUUGCUUGAAUAAUCACCUUCAAUGGUUUAUUGAAUCUCGAUUGUAGUGUUACACAUGUUCAUGAUAUUGGUGCCAAAAGAUACGAGGUAAUGAUGAUAGUACCACUUGUGGCACUGCCGCUUGAGUCAUGUUGGUGUAAAAUGCAUGAAGAAGCUCCAUGCUGAUGGAUCGUUUGGACUCACUUGAUUUUGAAUCACUUGAGAUAUGCAAAACAUGCCACAUGAAAUAAGUAGAGUAACUUGUUGGGAGUAAUGCAUUUUUUAUGUGUGCAGUCCAAUAAGUGCUAAGGCAGGCAGUGGAUAUCAUUAUGUUCUUACUUCACUCACGAUUUGAGUAGAUACAGGAGUAUUUACUUGAUGAAUCACAAGUCUGAAAUGUUGAAAAGUUCAAAGCUAUUUUAGAGUGAAGAUCGUCGUGACAAGAGGAUAAACAGUCUACGAUAUGAUCAUAGAGAUGAAUAUCUGAGUUACGAGUUUUGGUACGCAGUUAAGACAAUGUGGAAAUUGUUUCGCAGUUCAUGCCACCUGGAACACAAUAGUGUGAUGAUGUGUCUGAACGUCUUAGCCACGCCCUAUUUGAUAUGGUGCAUACUAUGAUGUCUCUUAUCGAAUUACCACUAUCGUUUAUGGGUUAUGCAUUAGAGACAACCACAUUCACUUUAAAUAGGGCACCGCGUAUUUCCGUUGAGAUGACACAGUAUAGACUAAGGUUUAGAGAAAUCUAAGCUGUCGUUUCUUGAAAGUUUGGAGCUGCGAUGCUUAUGUGAAAAAGUUUCAGUUUGAUAAGCUCGAACCCAAAGCGGAUAAAUGCAUCUUCAUAAGAUAUCCAAAACAGUUGGAUACAUCUCCUAUCUCAGAUCCGGAAGCAAAGUGUUUGUUUCUAGAAACGGGUUCUUUCUUGAGGAAAGGUUUCUCUCGAAAGAAUUGACUGGGAGGGUGAUAGAACUUGAUGAGGUUAUUGAACCAUCACUUCGACUAGUGUGUAGCAGGGCACAGGAAGUUGUUCCUGUGGCGCCUACACCAAUUGAAGUGGAAGCUGAUGAUGGUGAUCAUUGAGCUUCGGAUCAAGUUACUACAAACCUCGUAGGUCGACAAGGUCGCGUACUACUACAGAGUGGUAUGGUAACCCUGUCUUGGAGGUCAUGUUGUUGAACAAUAAUGAACCUACGAGCUGUGGAGAAGCGAUGGUGGGCCCGGAUUCCGACAAAUGGCUGGAGGCCAUGAAAUCCAAGAGAGGAUCCAUGUAUGAAAACAAAGUGUAGACUUUGGAAGAACUACUUGAUGGCCAUAGGACUAUUGAGUAAAGAUAGAUCUUUAAAAGGAAGACAGACGACGAUGGUGAUAAGUCACUAUUAAGAAAAGCUCGACUUGUCGCAAAGAUGUUUCCGACAUGAUCAAACAGUUGACUAUGGUGAGAAUUUCUCACUCGUAGCGAUGCUAAAAGUCUGUUAGAAUUAUGUUAGUAGUUGUUGCAUUAUUUUUGAAAUAUUGCACAUAGGAUGUCAAAACAUUGUUUCCUCGACGGUUUCCUUGAGCAAACAUUGUAUGUGAUACAACCAGAAGGUUUUGUCGAUCCUAAAGAUACUAACAAGUAUGCAAGCUCCAGCGUGUUGGAAUUAUGCCCUAGAGGCAAUAAUAAAUGUAUAGUUAUUAUUNNNNNNNNNNNNNNNNNNNNNNNNNNNNNNNNNNNNNNNNNNNNNNNNNNNNNNNNNNNNNNNNNNNNNNNNNNNNNNNNNNNNNNNNNNNNNNNNNNNNCGUAAGCGUACGAGUAAUGUCGGUCCAAGCCGCUUCAAUCCAACAAUGCCGCGGAAUCAAGAAAAGACUAAGGAGGGAAGCAAAACGCACAUCACCGCCCACAAAGCCUUUUGUGUUCUACUCGAGAAGACAUCUACGCAUGAACCUAGCUCAUGAUGCCACUGUUGGGGAACGUCGCAUGGGAAACAAAAAUUUUCCUACGCGCACGAAGACCUAUCAUGGUGAUGUCCAUCUACGAGAGGGGAUGAGUGAUCUACGUACCCUUGUAGAUCGUACAACAGAACCGUUAGAGAACGCGGUUGAUGUAGUGGAACGUCCUCACGUCCCUCGAUCCGCCCCGCGAACAAUCCCGCGAUCAGUCCCACGAUCUAGUACCGAACGGACGGCACCUCCGCGUUCAGCACACGUACAGCUCGACGAUGAUCUCGGCCUUCUUGAUCCAGCAAGAGAGACGGAGAGGUAGAAGAGUUCUCCGGCAGCGUGACGGCGCUCCGGAGGUUGGUGAUGAUCUUGUCUCAGCAGGGCUCCGCCCGAGCUCCGCAGAAACACGAUCUAGAGGAAAAACUAUGGAGGUAUGUGGUCGGGCAGCCGUGAGAAAGUCGUCUCAAAUCAGCCCUAAAACCUCCGUAUAUAUAGGUGGGAGAGGGAGGGAAGAGGCAGCCUCAAACCCUCAAGGGUUGGCCGAAAUUGGAGGUGGAGGAGUCCUACUCCAAUCCUACUUGGAGUAGGAUUCCACCUUCCCACUUGGAAACUCUUUCCACCUUGUGUUUUUUCCUUCUCAAACCUUAUGGGCCUUAGUGGGAACUUAUUCCAGCCCACUAGGGGCUGGUUUAUCUCUUCCCAUAGCCCAUGAGACCCCUUGGGGCGUGACACCCCUCCUGAUGGUUCCCGGCACCCUCCCGGCACUCGAUGGUCCCCGGCACCCCUCCCGGCACUCCCGGUACACUACCGAUGAGCCCGAAACUUUUCCGGUGACCAAAACAGGACUUCCUAUAUAUCAAUAUUUACCUCCGGACCAUUCCGGAGCUCCUCGUGACGUCCUGGAUCUCAUCCGGGACUCCGAACAACAUUCGGUAACCAACCAUAUAACNNNNNNNNNNNNNNNNNNNNNNNNNNNNNNNNNNNNNNNNNNNNNNNNNNNNNNNNNNNNNNNNNNNNNNNNNNNNNNNNNNNNNNNNNNNNNNNNNNNNNNNNNNNNNNNNNNNNNNNNNNNNNNNNNNNNNNNNNNNNNNNNNNNNNNNNNNNNNNNNNNNNNNNNNNNNNNNNNNNNNNNNNNNNNNNNNNNNNNNNNNNNNNNNNNNNNNNNNNNNNNNNNNNNNNNNNNNNNNNNNNNNNNNNNNNNNNNNNNNNNNNNNNNNNNNNNNNNNNNNNNNNNNNNNNNNNNNNNNNNNNNNNNNNNNNNNNNNNNNNNNNNNNNNNNNNNNNNNNNNNNNNNNNNNNNNNNNNNNNNNNNNNNNNNNNNNNNNNNNNNNNNNNNNNNNNNNNNNNNNNNNNNNNNNNNNNNNNNNNNNNNNNNNNNNNNNNNNNNNNNNNNNNNNNNNNNNNNNNNNNNNNNNNNNNNNNNNNNNNNNNNNNNNNNNNNNNNNNNNNNNNNNNNNNNNNNNNNNNNNNNNNNNNNNNNNNNNNNNNNNNNNNNNNNNNNNNNNNNNNNNNNNNNNNNNNNNNNNNNNNNNNNNNNNNNNNNNNNNNNNNNNNNNNNNNNNNNNNNNNNNNNNNNNNNNNNNNNNNNNNNNNNNNNNNNNNNNNNNNNNNNNNNNNNNNNNNNNNNNNNNNNNNNNNNNNNNNNNNNNNNNNNNNNNNNNNNNNNNNNNNNNNNNNNNNNNNNNNNNNNNNNNNNNNNNNNNNNNNNNNNNNNNNNNNNNNNNNNNNNNNNNNNNNNNNNNNNNNNNNNNNNNNNNNNNNNNNNNNNNNNNNNNNNNNNNNNNNNNNNNNNNNNNNNNNNNNNNNNNNNNNNNNNNNNNNNNNNNNNNNNNNNNNNNNNNNNNNNNNNNNNNNNNNNNNNNNNNNNNNNNNNNNNNNNNNNNNNNNNNNNNNNNNNNNNNNNNNNNNNNNNNNNNNNNNNNNNNNNNNNNNNNNNNNNNNNNNNNNNNNNNNNNNNNCAACAUUCGGUAACCAACCAUAUAACUCAAGUACGCAUAAAACAACGUCGAACCUUAAGUGUGCAGACCCUGCGGGUUCGAGAACUAUGUAGACAUGACCCGAGAGACUCCUCGGUCAAUAUCCAAUAGCGGGACCUGGAUGCCCAUAUUGGAUCCUACAUAUUCUACGAAGAUCUUAUCGUUUGAACCUCAGUGCCAAGGAUUCAUAUAAUCCCGUAUGUCAUUCCCUUUGUCCUUCGGUAUGUUACUUGCCCGAGAUUCGAUCGUUAGUAUCCGCAUACCUAUUUCAAUCUCGUUUACCGGCAAGUCUCUUUACUCGUUCCGUAAUACAAGAUCCCGCAACUUACAUUAAGUUACAUUGCUUGCAAGGCUUGUGUGUGAUGUUGUAUUACCGAGUGGGCCCCGAGAUACCUCUCCGUCACACGGAGUGACAAAUCCCAGUCUCGAUCCAUACUAACUCAACGAACACCUUCGGAGAUACCUGUAGAGCAUCUUUAUAGUCACCCAGUUACGUUGCGACGUUUGAUACACACAAAGCAUUCCUCCGGUGUGNNNNNNNNNNNNNNNNNNNNNNNNNNNNNNNNNNNNNNNNNNNNNNNNNNNNNNNNNNNNNNNNNNNNNNNNNNNNNNNNNNNNNNNNNNNNNNNNNNNNNNNNNNNNNNNNNNNNNNNNNNNNNNNNNNNNNNNNNNNNNNNNNNNNNNNNNNNNNNNNNNNNNNNNNNNNNNNNNNNNNNNNNNNNNNNNNNNNNNNNNNNNNNNNNNNNNNNNNNNNNNNNNNNNNNNNNNNNNNNNNNNNNNNNNNNNNNNNNNNNNNNNNNNNNNNNNNNNNNNNNNNNNNNNNNNNNNNNNNNNNNNNNNNNNNNNNNNNNNNNNNNNNNNNNNNNNNNNNNNNNNNNNNNNNNNNNNNNNNNNNNNNNNNNNNNNNNNNNNNNNNNNNNNNNNNNNNNNNNNNNNNNNNNNNNNNNNNNNNNNNNNNNNNNNNNNNNNNNNNNNNNNNNNNNNNNNNNNNNNNNNNNNNNNNNNNNNNNNNNNNNNNNNNNNNNNNNNNNNNNNNNNNNNNNNNNNNNNNNNNNNNNNNNNNNNNNNNNNNNNNNNNNNNNNNNNNNNNNNNNNNNNNNNNNNNNNNNNNNNNNNNNNNNNNNNNNNNNNNNNNNNNNNNNNNNNNNNNNNNNNNNNNNNNNNNNNNNNNNNNNNNNNNNNNNNNNNNNNNNNNNNNNNNNNNNNNNNNNNNNNNNNNNNNNNNNNNNNNNNNNNNNNNNNNNNNNNNNNNNNNNNNNNNNNNNNNNNNNNNNNNNNNNNNNNNNNNNNNNNNNNNNNNNNNNNNNNNNNNNNNNNNNNNNNNNNNNNNNNNNNNNNNNNNNNNNNNNNNNNNNNNNNNNNNNNNNNNNNNNNNNNNNNNNNNNNNNNNNNNNNNNNNNNNNNNNNNNNNNNNNNNNNNNNNNNNNNNNNNNNNNNNNNNNNNNNNNNNNNNNNNNNNNNNNNNNNNNNNNNNNNNNNNNNNNNNNNNNNNNNNNNNNNNNNNNNNNNNNNNNNNNNNNNNNNNNNNNNNNNNNNNNNNNNNNNNNNNNNNNNNNNNNNNNNNNNNNNNNNNNNNNNNNNNNNNNNNNNNNNNNNNNNNNNNNNNNNNNNNNNNNNNNNNNNNNNNNNNNNNNNNNNNNNNNNNNNNNNNNNNNNNNNNNNNNNNNNNNNNNNNNNNNNNNNNNNNNNNNNNNNNNNNNNNNNNNNNNNNNNNNNNNNNNNNNNNNNNNNNNNNNNNNNNNNNNNNNNNNNNNNNNNNNNNNNNNNNNNNNNNNNNNNNNNNNNNNNNNNNNNNNNNNNNNNNNNNNNNNNNNNNNNNNNNNNNNNNNNNNNNNNNNNNNNNNNNNNNNNNNNNNNNNNNNNNNNNNNNNNNNNNNNNNNNNNNNNNNNNNNNNNNNNNNNNNNNNNNNNNNNNNNNNNNNNNNNNNNNNNNNNNNNNNNNNNNNNNNNNNNNNNNNNNNNNNNNNNNNNNNNNNNNNNNNNNNNNNNNNNNNNNNNNNNNNNNNNNNNNNNNNNNNNNNNNNNNNNNNNNNNNNNNNNNNNNNNNNNNNNNNNNNNNNNNNNNNNNNNNNNNNNNNNNNNNNNNNNNNNNNNNNNNNNNNNNNNNNNNNNNNNNNNNNNNNNNNNNNNNNNNNNNNNNNNNNNNNNNNNNNNNNNNNNNNNNNNNNNNNNNNNNNNNNNNNNNNNNNNNNNNNNNNNNNNNNNNNNNNNNNNNNNNNNNNNNNNNNNNNNNNNNNNNNNNNNNNNNNNNNNNNNNNNNNNNNNNNNNNNNNNNNNNNNNNNNNNNNNNNNNNNNNNNNNNNNNNNNNNNNNNNNNNNNNNNNNNNNNNNNNNNNNNNNNNNNNNNNNNNNNNNNNNNNNNNNNNNNNNNNNNNNNNNNNNNNNNNNNNNNNNNNNNNNNNNNNNNNNNNNNNNNNNNNNNNNNNNNNNNNNNNNNNNNNNNNNNNNNNNNNNNNNNNNNNNNCAACAUUCGGUAACCAACCAUAUAACUCAAGUACGCAUAAAACAACGUCGAACCUUAAGUGUGCAGACCCUGCGGGUUCGAGAACUAUGUAGACAUGACCCGAGUGGCUCCUCGAUCAAUAUCCAAUAGCGGGACCUGGAUGCCCAUAUUGGAUCCUACAUAUUCUACGAAGAUCUUAUCGUUUGAACCUCAGUGCCAAGGAUUCAUAUAAUCCCGUAUGUCAUUCCCUUUGUCCUUCGGUAUGUUACUUGCCCGAGAUUCGAUCGUUAGUAUCCGCAUACCUAUUUCAAUCUCGUUUACCGGCAAGUCUCUUUACUCGUUCCGUAAUACAAGAUCCCGCAACUUACAUUAAGUUACAUUGCUUGCAAGGCUUGUGUGUGAUGUUGUAUUACCGAGUGGGCCCCGAGAUACCUCUCCGUCACACGGAGUGACAAAUCCCAGUCUCGAUCCAUACUAACUCAACGAACACCUUCGGAGAUACCUGUAGAGCAUCUUUAUAGUCACCCAGUUACGUUGCGACGUUUGAUACACACAAAGCAUUCCUCCGGUGUGAGUGAGUUAUAUGAUCUCAUGGUCAUAGGAAUAAAUACUUGACACGCAGAAAACAGUAGCAACAAAAUGACACGAUCAACAUGCUACGUCUAUUAGUUUGGGUCUAGUCCAUCACAUGAUUCUCCUAAUGAUGUGAUCCCGUUAUCAAGUGACAACACUUGCCUAUGGCCAGGAAACCUUGACCAUCUUUGAACAACGAGCUAGUCAACUAGAGGCUUACUAGGGAUAGUGUUUUGUCUAUGUAUCCACACAAGUAUUGUGUUUCCAAUCAAUACAAUUAUAGCAUGGAUAAUAAACGAUUAUCAUGAACUAAGAAAUAUAAUAAUAACUAAUUUAUUAUUGCCUCUAGGGCAUAUUUCCAACAGUCGCGCCACUGACCCAUGGACUGCAGUGGAAGCCAAUGAGUUGCUCAAGCGAGGUGAUAGCCCUUUGUGCCGUUGUCGAGGUAGUCGAGACCGUGGAUGGUGUAGCCGUGGUCGAGGUAGCUGUGAAAAGAAUAUUGUGGUCGAUGUCGAGUCAGGGUAGCCGGUGACGAGGAAGUCAUCGUGGAGUCGUGGGUGCAAGGAGGCGUCGAGUAAGUCAUAGGCGCGAUGUCGAAGUAGUGAUGCGCCAGAAAGAGGGCGUUGUUCACGAUGAGUCGCGUCGGGUUUGCCAAGCCCGGGGACACAUAAUGGACGAAGGCACACAUCGGUGUUGCCAGCACCGGGCAUGUGUAGACGAACGAAGUCGAUGUUGGCAAUGCACCGCUCGAGGCUUGCGAGGACUAGGAGCACAUCGGGGACGAAGGCACAUGUUGUUGCCAGCAUCGGGCAUGCGUAGACGGGGACCUGCACACAAUUUGUACGCCACGUUGAGGGGUCUAGGACAAAAGGACUCGGUGAUGGUUGUGACGCAAAUCAGCGGGAGGCCGAAGUCGCGUGCUGUUGUCGGAGUAGAUGACGAUGACACUUAGGAUGAGAUGGUGCUGGACAAACAUAAAUGGGGUGGAGUGGUGGGGCAGCUCGGGCGGGCGACUUGCCGCAGCGCCAAAGAAACGGGGCGACGCGGCUAGGGUGGGCGAGUCGUAGUGGCACCGAAGAGGAGGGGUGGAUGCGGCCUAAUGGCGGCCGCUAGUUAGGAGUGUGGCAUCGAUGCUCGAAGUUCGCGAGGAAGAACUUGACAGCAUGACGAAGACCGACGCGGACGGUGACUUUCCCGUGCUGAGGGAGUCGUCAUGGCGCAUGCCACAUAGAAGUUGACACACGCGGACGACGGAGUGGGCCACAUGUCGCGGCGCUAUAGCCCGAAGGGGCCACGCAGUGACAGCGCGCAGGUCGGGGAAACGACGGGAAGACUUCGGGGCGGCGGCAUGGACCGUGAGCCACGACGUGACAACCCAAAGGGGAGGCGCAACGGUUGAGGGCGGGUCGGUGCAGCCAUGGGGAUGGCCUCGGGCGAUGGCGGGGACCGCGUGUCGCGACACUACAGCCCGAAAGGCCGACACAAUGGCAACGCACGAGCCGGUGCAGCCGCGAGGAGAACCACGGGGCGGCGGUACUGCGGCUCGAUGGGGCGACGCACCGGCAACCCGUUGCUUGAUCGAUGGAGGGACGCGCUUUACUAGGGACAGUCUUCACGGGACAUGCGGAUGCGUGUGCAACCGACGGGCCAGGUCGGGUGCCCGACGUGGAUGAGGCUGAUCGCAGGUGAGCGGGUGAUCAAUCCAAUCGCGAACGUGGGCGGGAACGUCGCUCGGUGGAGGCGGGGUGGCGGAUAAGUCUGAGAUGAAACCGGAGCGAGCAACGACCUUCGCCGUGAGAUGACGUGUGUACGAGCCCAACGCGGUCGGAGCCAGCAGCCGAUCCGAUGCAUCCGAUGAGGCUGAUGAAGCCAACAGCCAGCAGACGACGUUCCCUACGCGGACGGAGCCGGCAGCCGACGAGGCGAUGAAGCCGGCCCCGGCAGCCGGCCCAAGGCAGUCGGUUGGGCAACUGUACGAUGCGACGAAGGAGGGUGGUGAUGAAAAGGUCCCGGUCGGAGUAGGGCGACAUGAAAGAAGGAGCACAAGCGACAGCCGUAAGGGGAAGCCACGUAGCCCGAGGCCGACCGAUUGGAGAAGAGACCGGGUGGUUGCACCGAUGUCGAAGUAGAGGCGCGCGGUCGACAACGGCGACAGAUGACGCAAAUCGAUCUUAGAUUGCAAAACCAAAAUGAAGAUGUCGAUCAAAGUGACCAGCGGGAGAGAGAAGACCCGGAUCAAAAGAUUGGGGAAAAGACUCUCGAGGGCAGCCGGUAAACACGACCGACGGACGAAUCCUAGGUACGGGCGACAGGACCCCUGGUGACGGUCAUGGAGGAUGACCGCCCCGGGGGCGGCGUGGAGCGGAAGCAGCGGACGGCGGCUAGGGUUGAAUCGGUUAGGUUGAUACCAUGUUAGAAGAGAUAGAGGGAUUGGUGCGGAAUAUGAUAGAUGUUGUAUUGAGACUAAUGGAUGAGUAUAUAUAGAAAUACAGACUUGAAGGACAAGAAGCGUGUCCUACCUAGAGAUAAGGUAAGAAUGGGAUUACAAAUCUGAAAGUACCAAAUACAUAUACAUCAAAUAUAUCUCUAAGAGCAUCUAUAACCGGACGCCUCAAAUGACCCUCAUUGCCCACGGACGUGUCCGAUCAGUGACCGGACAGGAGAGAGAAGAAAAAGAAGUGACCCAACCGGAACCCUCGUAUCAUUCAUAUACGCCCGGGUUGUCCUUGAUCCCUCGUAUACAUCUCAAAUAUAGGGAGUAUAUGAGGGCUCGCGGGCGCGUCCGGGCAUUCCGUCACGUAGGAUGCGAUUCCAUCUUGAACCACAUUUUUCUUUUCUUUAUUCAUUUUUUUCUCUUCCUCUUCGUCAAUCACAUGUAAGUGAUCGAACACAUGAAAAAAAAGAGUAAAAAGUGUGAAGAACAUGUCCGAUCACUAACUAGGAGGGUCCGCAGACAUUUAGAAAGUCAUAUUUGUUAUAUCUGUUUGUAGAUGCUCUAACAUGAUAGUACCAUGGUAGAACCAUACGUUGAUGAGACAUUCUGAUGUGGACCGUAUAGUUGUGAGACAUGAGUCAGCCAUGACUCCAUUCCCUGAAGUCUGUGUCCGCGUAUGUUUAUGCUUUCGUAAUUAGAAGCAUAUAGUAACAACAGGUGCAUCAAAAGAUAACGUAUAUAUUUUAUUUUAUUUUGAAACAACUAGGCUGCUCGUCGGUUUCUAUUAUAGAAACCGCCAUAAAGUAUGUGGGUUUGCAUGCAUUGACCGAGUCACACAUCACGGGCACGCCGGUGUAAUAUUGACAUCAUAUUCGGGUGGCGACUGGUGCCGCUGAACAGCCAAGCAAAACCUAAGUGUCAUCCCACCACGGGCGGUGAAAAAGUCGAAAACUUUGGGCUGAAAUCAAUUUGAUACUGCCUCCAAUUAUGUGAUCCCUCCAGUCCAGGCGUACGUGCGAAGAAGUCUAAGAGCAAUUCUAGCACACCCCGCAAAACGACCGGUUCAUAAAAAAUCCGACGACUAUACAGAUUUAAACUCAUUUUCCUGCCAAAGCAAACACUGCAAAAGCGGCCUGACCUGGAUUUUUUUGCAGUGGUCCAUAAACGCGACCCUCGACCGAUAUAACUGCGGGUUCGACCGUUGGAUCCGGGUCGAAACUCUAUCCCUCCGCCGCCGCGAAAAGCCCCCCCCCCUCCCGUCCGCCUCAUCGUCGGCGCCUCCAAUCCGCCGCUGCGCGCCUCCAUUACGCCGCGUAGCCGCUCCAAUCCACCGCCGCGCAUGGCCAGCUCCGGUAGUCGUAGGGACGACGACCCCGAGAGGGCUCGUCGCGUCAUAUCCGACGCCGCCCGUAAGCGUGCCGCCCGCCGGUACACGCGAUGGGCCUGACGCCGCCGCCGUCGCUCCUCCGUCGUGAGACAGAGGAGUACGACCGCGCGCGCGGCCGCCUCUUCUCCAGCAGCAGCUCAAUCGAGGCGUCGAGCUCCCGCUCGUCCUCCUCCAUCCCACCGGUGAAGAGGGAGCUCAAAAAGCUCCCAUCGGUGAAGAUGGAGCCGGAAGCCGAGGCGGUGCCGGAGCGACGUGCCGGGGCCGUCGUUGGACCGGAGGACUUCCUCCCUCCGGAGGAGGCGGAUAGCCUCCUGCCCGUGCUGCUGGCGCCGAGUGCACGAGAGACGGAAGAGGACCAGCAGCGCCGCCGGAGGGAGGAGGAGAUCGACACCGUGCUCUACGAGCAGGGUGUCGCGUCGGCCAUCGUCUUCGGCCACAAGGUGGAGGAGUGGCGCCGCGAAGCUACUGCGCAGAAGCGCAUCUACGUCGAGCUCUCCUCCGACGAGGACGACGAGGACGACGACUGAAUGUAGGCUAUCUACUAUUGCACGAGCUCGACUCCGGAGAGCUCCAUUUUGCGUAGUGCGGUAGUAUAGGUAGUAGCUCGAGUAGGUGAUGCCCCCUCUAGUACUGAAUGUAGUGUUGUAUGAUCAUGAAUGUAGUGUCGUAUGAUCAUGACUGUGGUCCUGAACAUGCCCGCGAAUGUUUAUUUUUUAAAUUAUGCAGUUUUAUUAUGCGAAUUCUGUUCUGCAGCGCAACUUUUCGUCCCUCAAAACCCCACUUCGUCGAACUGCAAAACGCGUUUGCAGGUCGUGAUUAUACAGGGUCUGCUAGAGUUGCUCUAACUAGACCAUCCGCAUCCACCCGUACGUACUCCGAGUGCCGAAUCUAGCAGGGGGCUUCGAUAGGCUCGAGNNNNNNNNNNNNNNNNNNNNUGAGGCCCCCGCCCCCCCCCCCCCCCCCCCUCUUUCAAAAAUAGGAAAAGAAAAAUUACUUUUAUUUUAUAUAUUUUUUGUUUUUAUUUGGAUCAAAGAAUUAAGAAUUAUUAACUUUUUAUACACACAUUGUAACUUUGAGCUUCCCCUUCAUGUUCUUCCAAGAUUCGCCAUUGCGUACUCCGUGGGCUCGACAGGUAACAGGAGAGAUUGACUUGUAAAUCACUCGAAAAUGAUGACCGAACAAGCAAAUUUAAUUUAUUAACGAACCACCUAACCGGUUUGGCCACCACUCUAUCUCCCACCAUUGCCAUUCCCACGCUAAGCAUCCAGCAAGUACGUACGUCGUCCUCAACGCUUUCGGUCGCACCGUCACCUUCUUCUAGCUCUAGCUAAAGCUUCCUCGCCCCUGCCGGCCGGUGCGCGAACCACAUCAUCCUCCACAACUUAUCUCCAUCCAUCACUAUCACCAUCCACAGUUUAUCGCUCCAUCUCCGUACCGCAAAGAACCCGGCCUACUCGAGCACUAUACAGAUCAUCUUGAUCGAUAAGUAAUCCAUCUCAUCUUGAUCGAUAAGUAAGUAAGUAAGUUACCACCAGACAUGACACAACAGCUUUUCAUCUACCUUUGAUGUACAAUCGUGUUUGUUGUUUUCUCGUGUAAGAAAAUGUGAUGGAACGAACGAACGAACACCUCGCAAGUUCAGAGACCGGGACAAGGUACGUAGGUAAGCUUCUCAUCCUGCUUGGGACAUGUCAUCCUGCUUUGGACGUGGACACGUAUGGUGAGAUUAAUUCCGCGGUUUCCACUGGAUGGCUGGCGAGAGUGCGUGUCCGGGCCCGCCGGCGACGGCGAGAAGCACGAGCACACAUCCACACACCGGAGAGACCGAGAGCGCCUGGUCACCGGCCGUCGCCGCGCGGCUUCGGGGAUAGGAUCCAGUGCUGGCCAUGGGGGCGGACGGUGAGGCCCUUGACCCUGGCGAAGAGCGUGACGGCGCGCCGGACGCCGCGGUCGUCGGCGGCCGUGAAGUAGUCGUGGCCGAACAUGACGCCGCCGGGGCGCAGCACGGCCCAUGCCAGGUUGAUGUCCGCCCACGCCGAGUGGAAGUCGUGGCCGGCGUCCACCUCGAUGAGGUCCGCGUAGACGCCCCACCGGCACAGCGCCCCGAGCGUGGACGCCGUGGAGAAGGGCAGCGGCAGCACCGUGGCCGCGGCCUCGGGCCCCGCGGCGAGCACGUUGGCCAUGAACUGUGGCAGCAGCAGAGCGUCGCCGUGGCGCUGCUGCGGGACGUCGCGGCGGAAGCGGCCGCGGAAGGCCGGCCAGCCGCGGAAGUCGUCCACGCAGAGGAUGGCCGGGAACAGCGAGAGGUUCCUGGCCACGGCCGCCAUGUGCAGCGCCGAUGCGCCCAGGAACGCGCCCAGCUCCACGAUCACGUCCGGCCGCACCUCCUCGAUCAGCUCCGCGAACACCGCCCCCGUCGACCCCCACCCGCGCGGCCGCGCCGCCGCCGGGUGCAGCAGCGCCGCGGUGUGCGCCGGCGGGAAGCUCGCGUACGGGCUCUCGCCGUCGAACAGCUUAUCAAGAAGCGUCUUCACCACGUCCUCGGCCGGCACCGGCUGCCCGCACUCGUCCCCGAACCUGAACAGGUCGUGCGGCGGCGAGCGCGGGUAGCUCGUGCCCGUGCCGUUCGACGAGGCGGGGACGCUGGAGGAGGCAGCGGUGAGGUGCGCGGCGUGCGGCCGUAUGACAGUCUGCGACGGCUUGGGCGUGGGCGGGCGGGCGGACGACGAGACGAUGCCGAGCGAGUAGCCAACAGAGAAGACGAUGAGGAAGGCGGUGACCCGCGGGAGGUGCGGCCGGAGCCUGGCCGGCACGCCAGACGCCGCCGCUGCCGCCGGAGGCGCACGCGGCUUCAUGAUCACGCACGCACGCCGGCACGCGGCUCUUCUUGUUGGAUGUCCGGGCUAUCAACCGGGAAAAAUCUCAACUUUCGAUCAGGAUCCUGGAGGUUGGUUGGGGAUACCGCAUUUAUAGAUGGAUAGAUGGCGGGAGCCGAGCCGAGGGGCUGUUAGCUUGGCGCUCUGUGCUCCCCUUGUUUCGGGGGGGAAGAGAGAUGAGAUAUCAGAUAUGCACCAACGAAACGAGAGGAGUACAAGACUGGGAGAAAGUUUCGACCUUGUCGUGUUGGUGAGGGGUGACUGCUCUGCUCUGCUUUGACGACGGGUUGGUGAGUUGUGGGUGGUGAAUCUGAUCGCGGUUGGUUUGGGAGCAUCGGAAAAACAUCAGGUAGUGGAAUUUCGUGCAUGCGGGAGAGAAUGUCAGGAGGCCUUUCCGUGGCAGGAGGAUAGUGUCAGUGUGGAUACUCUGGCACUCACUGACUGUAGCCUGGUCCCUGGAGAAUCUGGUUCGGCCACGUACUGUCCCGGUGAAGGUGCAACUAACUCUCAUGUGUGGCGCCAAUGGGGUUGUGUGUGUGUGUGUGGGGGGGGGGNNNNNNNNNNNNNNNNNGGNNNNNNNNNNNNNNNNNNNNNNNNNNNNNNNNNNNNNNNNNNNNNNNNNNNNNNNNNNNNNNNNNNNNNNNNNNNNNNNNNNNNNNNNNNNNNNNNNNNNNNNNNNNNNNNNNNNNNNNNNNNNNNNNNNNNNNNNNNNNNNNNNNNNNNNNNNNNNNNNNNNNNNNNNNNNNNNNNNNNNNNNNNNNNNNNNNNNNNNNNNNNNNNNNNNNNNNNNNNNNNNNNNNNNNNNNNNNNNNNNNNNNNNNNNNNAGAAAGGGGAGGGGGAGGGGGAGGGGGGGCCGCGGCUGACCUUGACGCAGUCGGUCUCGCUGAGGCACUUGACGAGCUCCAUGGCUAGCCCCUUGCACGACUUGGACAUCGUCCUCCUCCACCUCCGACUCUCGAUCGCUCGGCUGCGGCACGGCUUGCGGGGAGGGGAGGGGAGGGGAGGGGAAAGAAGCGAGACGGCGGCGUGUCUCUCCUCCCCCCGGCGGCCGGCGCAACAGGUCGGGUGGGAGAUGGCUUUGGUUGGGCCUUCGUGGACCGUUUCCCGGCCUGAUUCAGGUAACUGGUCUUCCACGGUCCACAUAGCAGAAGAUUGUCUAAAAAAACAUAGCAGAGUAAAGUUCUCAAGCCCCUAAAAAAAGAUAGAAUUAUCAAAAGGAGCAACGGCGAGCAAUCCGUACACUAGGCUACACUAAAUCGAAUCGGGCCAAGGGGCGGCGGCACGGGGAGGCGCGGGGAGGAGAAAGGGGGCGAGAGAAANNNNNNNNNNNNNNNNNNNNNNAGAAAGGGGAGGGGGAGGGGGAGGGGGGGCCGCGGCUGACCUUGACGCAGUCGGUCUCGCUGAGGCACUUGACGAGCUCCAUGGCUAGCCCCUUGCACGACUUGGACAUCGUCCUCCUCCACCUCCGANNNNNNNNNNNNNNNNNNNNNNNNNNNNNNNNNNNNNNNNNNNNNNNNNNNNNNNNNNNNNNNNNNNNNNNNNNNNNNNNNNNNNNNNNNNNNNNNNNNNCAGUGUUGUUGUUACGAUACGGACACUCCCUACGCGGGUGACCAGCACACCUACAUACGCGGCAUCGUCUUGGUUCUCCCAACUGGCUGUGGUCCAUGUCAUUGCGAUGACGCCUAGACUGACGCCGUCCCUUGCUGAUUCACAUCAAUGCGGGAUCUGGAACCCAUGUGGUGCCUUCUGGCCAUAAUUGCUUGUAGUUCGUAUCAAUGCCCCAUGCCCAAAACUCACCGUUCCAAGUGUUGUACAAAUUGUGCAUGUUGAAGUAUGUUGAUACGUACGGCUCGACACUAAUUUGUUGAUCUGCACCUGCCCGCAAUACGUGACUACAAGGAUAUCCCAGAAGCUUGGGCUUGUUGCAAGUGCACUCACACGAGGUUGCGCCAAGCGUCACAACUUGUUUUUUUGCUCCCCUGUGGUGACCCUUCACAAACUUUGCUCGCACACUAACUUCCCAUUUAUUCCUAAGUGCAUCUACCUGCCUGCACCCAUGUCUUUGCGACUUCUUUGCUUUGUCAUCAAGAUGUCUUUGCAUCUUCUCAGACCAGGUCUUGUUCAAAUCAACUAGCGCCUUGGCAACGGUGACUCUAUCUGCAAAGUAUGACACAGUCCGGUUCCAAGUUUCAUCAAUUAGUGCUGUGAUAGGUAGUGCCCUCACCCCUUUAAGAACACCAUUGUACACCUCGGACAUGUUGCUUGUCAUUAUACCGUAUCUAGCGCUAGUGUCAUGAGACUGCACCCACUUGUACAAAUUGGGACAAUUCUUAUUAAUCCACUGGCUCAAAUUUAUUGCUGUUCGACGACCCCUCCGGUCUUCUCUCGUCGGGAGGGAUGCGCGCUCGAUCUGACCAUUGAUACCUGCCCAGAUAGCAUUCAUUUUUGCUGUAGUUUUCUGCAUGCACAUCCUCUUGAAUAGCUUGAACCAAUCUUUGUUUUUGAAUUUCGAAUAAAAAUUAGCUUCCAAAUGCCUCAUGCACCACCUUGUCUCCAGAUCGGGCCACCCCAAUCUGGAUCUUGUGAAGCCUUAAUUAUCUCAAGCGCGCUUAAUAGUCCGGUGUUGCGAUCAGAGAUGAUGCAAACCCCUUCCCGAUCUUUGAUGACACCCAUCUUCAGGCAACACAGGAACCAUAGCCAACUAUGUUUGUUUUCGCUCUCCACUAGUGCAUAGGCAAUAGGAAGAAGUUGAUUGUUUGCAUCAGCUGCCAUCGCCACUAAGAGUGUGCCCUUGUACUUUCCUGUGAGAAAUGUACCAUCAAUUGAUACAACGGGACGACAAUGCUUGAAUGCUUGUAUAGUCUGGGCGAAUGCCCAGAAUAAGCGGUCCAGGAUUUGCUCGUCCGGGUUCAAUGGAUUUGGACGUUCUUUCCGGAAAACUUGAGUCCCCCUAUUAGCAACUGAAAUCUGAUGCAACAUUCUAGGGGCAAAAGAGUACGCCUCCUCAUAGGUUCCAUACAACCUCUGAAAUAUCUUUUCCUUUGCAUGACGAGCCUUGCUAUAGCUGACAGGGAAACCAAUCAGAUCAGAUGCAGUUGCACGCAAAGCCCUAAUACUAAUAUUAAGACUUUGCUGCACAAUGGUUUGCAUCACCUGUGACACAUAUUCUGCAGUCACGUUGCGGUGCUCUGAAAGAGUGCCGGUUUGCUCACAACCAUGUUGCUCUAUUUUUGUGACAUGCCAUGGCUGACAUACCCCAGGCUUCUGGCGAGCAAUAACUCUUCCGCGGCAACCCGCUUCGCGAUGGAUGCAUAUGAGCUUCAACUCCUUUUUAUCAGACUGCUUCACUCUAUGUUGCCUGUGUAUAGCAAUUGCAUAGCUAUGUAUUGCUUGUUUAGCAGAUUUCUUAUCUGGGAAAAUCUGUCCAACGGCCAGACUCCCCGCGUCUAGGCCAGCAACAGAGUGAAAUUCAUUGGUGAUGCUCAUAACCUGUAAAAACUCUGGGUUGAUUGCUGCAGCGACCGCAUUCUCAGGAGGAACAACUUCAUCAUCAUCUGAUUCCGAAGACGCAGAAGAAUGACCAUCAUCGUCAUCAUCUAGCGCCUCCGGCAAUCCCUCGACAUGUUCGCUCAUGUCAACGACCGCAGACCAAUAUCCCGUGUCAUACACUUGAUGGCCACCUAUUGGUUCCGUUGGGCCGGCGUCGGGGGCUACAGUUAUGGCCAUAUGUUCGCCACCGCUUGGUUCCGAUGGGCCGGCGUCGGGGGCUACAGUUAUGGCCAACUCGGCCUCACCGGCACCGCUAGUGCACUCGGCGACAUCACUGGCAGAAAUGAACUCCACAUAAACCAUGGGUUGUCCAUACAUGGAGUUAUUGGGAUUUCUUGCAAAACCCAUGUACGACGCCCAUGCUCUUCCACCGGUAACCCGUCGCAAAACCCAACGAUUUCCUCCCUCAACCACGAAAGCCUCCAGGGUCAUUUUUUUUCCAUUCAUCGCUGAACCAAACACCGAUCGGAUGCACCUUCUAACUGCCGCAUACUCUACAUUAACCAUGUCUUUCACUACAACCGUAGUCAUCCCGCACCUAGACACAUCCACACCAGAAGGACCCUCACGUACGAUGUGCCCAUAAAACACUAACAAAUUUUCCAUAGUACCUAACGAGCAGCCAUAUUUACAUCGUUAGUCCAUUAAAAAUCAUAUUUUUAGAUUUACAUUGUAAUAACAACAUCCAUUACUUAUCUUUUUUACAUAUAACAAUUUAACAACAUCCAUUACAUCUACGCAUAAUAAUUUAUAUUGUAUCAUUUAUCGUCACACUACAUCUAUAAAAUAAAUAGAAGAUGAAUUACAAUAUGUCAUUCAUACCUCUGGUUUAAAUAAGGAUAUCCUUCCGAAUAUAAUAUAUCACGAGAAUAAUAUCAGCGAAUUCCACCUAUUUUCAUAUGAACAAAAAUAUUACACACAUAAUUAUUUUCGUGCUAGCAAAAGUCUAAAAAUACAUACUGCAUGCAUAUAUAUGUUCCAAGNNNNNNNNNNGCAUAUAUAUAUAUAUAUAUAUAUAUAUAUCACGAAUCAUAUUUCUACGGGGUUGGCAAAUUAUCAAAUAAACAAAUAUAUUACACACGCGUCUUGCAUGUAAUAAUACUAAUGGAGCUAACAUAUUAUUACAUGUUUUUUACAAAAAUGCUAGUUACAUAGGCAUUUUUCCGGCUCCUUUCUAAAUACCAGUUGCAUGCAAACACGAACAAAUCAUCGGUAAUAUAUGAACAUAGUCGACCUAUUAUCACAUGAACACAAAUAUGAACAAAGUCUCAUACCUUGAUCUUCAACUUAGUAGUUCAUAUCGCAUGACAAAAUAGUUCCACAAAAGUGAUAAUACGCUCCCUAAGACAAAAGAAAACACAUACUUAGAAACUAAUCAAACAAAAUAAAAACAUCAUGCAUGCAAACACGACCAACAGAAAUGGAAAGCUCUUACCUUGAUCUAUCUUUUCUUCAACUACAACGUCUUCAAAAUAGUUCCACAAAAGUGAUAAUACACUCCCUAAGACAAAAGAAAACACAUACUUAGAAACUAAUCAAACAAAAUAAAAACAUCAUGCAUGCAAACACGACCAACAGAAAUGGAAAGCUCUUACCUUGAUCUAUCUUUUCUUCAACUACAACGUCUUCAAAAUCUCACUUUAAUCCGUCCUAAAUCGCCACAUAAACAUUCAUACGGAGUAGCUCUUGUGAGAAAGAGAAGAGAGUGAGAAAGAGAAGAGAGUGAGAAAGAGGAGUGACACGGGAGGCAACGGCAGGACAAGAGAGUGAGAGAGGAGGCAGCGACGCGGUUCGCUUAUAAAGAAGAAGUUUCGCACUGUUUCGUCGGUGGAGAGCGGGAAAAAUUCCCACUGUUCCGGCCGGCCGCGCGGGAAAAAUUCGAGCGGGAAAGGAGCCUGGGAAUCAGCGCAAUCAGCAACAGUGCCGGCCGCGCGGAAAAAGUGCACCUGGCCGCCUGCUCCCGAGGCGGCAGGGCCCACCCGGCCUUGUCCGUUACGGACAGGAGUGGGCGGGAACGGGAUCCCGCGCUGGCCGCCAGGGGCGGUGGCGGCAGGCCCCACGGCCGCCUCGUGCGGUGGCGGCAGGUGCCACGUGCCGCCUGGCGCGCCUGCCGCCGCCCGGGGUGGGGGUCUUUUUUGUCGUUUGCACUCGCAGGUGGUCUCUUUUGACAAUCCCACUCGACAGGGGGUCCUUUUGGACAAAAAUUCCAUAUAAAACGGUGCAUCGAUGACGACAUGGCGUUGGGAUUGAAUGAACGGAUCCUUCUAAUCAGAACCAAAGAAAGGCAAUUUUAAUUAGAGGCCUUAGACUAUCUAUAGUGAGGGUAAUGUAGGUAGUAACAUAGUUGCAACCUAAAUAAAAAAAUGUGAUGUGGUAAUUAAUUAAUAAGAAGAGAAAAAAAUUGAGUAACUUAGCUAGUUACUCAUCAGGUUGUCCAUAGUGGGGUAUCAUAACUAGUAUCAUAGUCUUGGGACAAACAAACAUGUUAAUGUGGUAAGUAAUUAAAAAAGAACGGGGUUAGAGUAACAUAGGUAGAUACCGUAUCAUGUUAAAUGAUAUGCUACUAUAUGUCAUGCAUGUUAAUAAAUGAGAUUAUCUAUGAUAGUACUAGUUUAUGAUACUAUGCAUUAUAAAGGUAGUAUCAUACAAUAGUAUCAUAUGCAUGAUACUACUGUAUGUUACUCUCCAGUAUGAGCAGUCUCAUAGUACUAGUACUAGGAGUAACAUAACACAUGCCAAGGUAAGAUGAGUCUAUAAACUAAUAAAUGCAAAACUCAAUGUCACUAUCCUACGUUACAUAUAUUCAUUAUAAAGUUAGUAACUUAGAUUAGUAACAUAUACAUACAUGUUACUACUGUAUGUUACUUUUUUUGGUGAAUAGCCUAAAGCGAUGACCAAACUAUGAUACAACAAGAUACGCCAUGCUUCUCAAGAAAGAUAGAGAACGUCUGUUGGAUGAAGAGCCUGGAAGGCCCGGACUAAGCGGCAGGAAACAUGUGAUCCACUCUAAACCCUAGACCAAUUGAACAAAACAUGUAAAGCAGUUAACAAGUAAAAAGAAAAAGCUACCCACAGGAACUACUAAUUACAUGCGUCUCCUCCAUAUGAGCGGUAAAUAAAAUAUGAAAACACCAGAGAAAAGGAACCUUUACGGAGUUAGUAUUCUAGUUAUGAGGUUUUACAUUCUCCAAUGUUAAAAUGGUAUGCCAAUGAUAAAAACACUAAAAUAAACAUGACAUUUUCUUUUUGCUACUUCCUUCGUUUCCUAUUAUAACAUUGUAGACAUAUUAGUGUGAAUUAGAUACGAAUUCAUCUUUUUUUAAGAAAAGAAGGAUUACCUCCAGCCUCUGCAUGAGCCCGAUGCAUACGACCCCUAGAUACAAAUUCAUCUAGACGCUCCUUGUGUAUAGAUUUAUUUAUUUUGUUUCGUAUUUAAUUUAAGUAUCCAUAGUGUCUUAUAUUAGAGAACGGAAGGAGUAGAUGUUUUGACAAUACUAACACCAUAUAUUGUCCAGGAGCACAUGCUCUGGUUACUACUUUGAAUUACCGCUGCUAUCCUACACUGUUAAAGAUCGUGCUAGCAUUCGUGCUGUUUGUUUACAUCCUUAAUCAGUAUCCACACAUAUAUGAAUACCGACUAAGCCAUAUUUGGCCCACCUUUAGGAGCCCGACGCCUGGUCGCCUCAUGCUAGGGCGACUCGGGCAGAGAUCCAGCCCGCUCCCGGGCCGCCUUCACCCUGUCCUCCCCUCCGUCGCCAUUGAAUGAAACCGUCAGGCGAAGCCCUGGCCGACUGAUGGCGGCGGCGGAGGAUCACUUUCUUCCCACGUCCAGAUCUGGUGAGGCAGGUCACCCAUCGACGCUGGGGCGCCUCGCCCUGAUCUGUGGCGCGACGGCUUGCCUCCGGCGAUGGCUCAAGGCGGCGGCGACGGCGUGGUGGGCGGAGGCGACGUGGAUGAUCUCGUGGUACAGGCUGCUGGGCGCGUCCACGUGGUCACGGCGGCCAUGGUGGCUGUGGCCGGCGGCGCGCGGUUCGGCGACGGCGGAACGUGGCCGGUGGCGGCGGCUAUGUUCCGCCUGGAUCCCAGGGCAACGACCUUGGACGGUGGCGGUAGGUGGAGCUCCGGCUGUCCGCGGCAGCAUGGCAUGGUGCAGUCCCCAUCCAAGGCGGAUCUGCGCCGACGAUCUUGUGGUCUUUUACUAUGGAUUUGUUCGGAUCAGAAACGGCGACGAGCACGCGCGAUCCAUCCCUACGGCUCUUGCGGUCUGGCGAGGUGGGGUGGGAGCCCUUCUCCCAGGCUCCAGUGUUGGCACACUCGGGCAGUUGCUAAUGCGCCAGGGCUCUUACGGUGGCAGUGCUGUCGUGGAUGGUCGCCGGAUUUAGGCGGCUAGAUCUGAGGCUUUGAAGAUGGUCGGGGCGGUGCACAGGUUGUCGGGUGGAUUUUUUUGGGACGGAUCCAGGUGAAAACCUUGUCUUCGGCCCAUGGUCGGAGCCGGUGAUGACAUCGCCCUUAUCGUUGUUUCCUUCAUGAAGGCAUCAUCGAGGUGAAGCUCCCAACUCCACCCAAUUGUUGGUGAAUGUUGCAUGGAAAACAAAGUUUUUUCUACGCACACGAAGACCUAUCAUGGUGAUGGUCAUCUAUGAGAGGGAGAUCGGAUCUACAUACCCUUGUAGAUUGCUAAGUGGGAAGCGUUAAUAAAUGCGGUUGAUGUACUGGAACAUCUUCCGCGAUUCAAAUCGCAGCCGUCAUUAGCUUCCUCUUCAACUGGUGUUGCGUCGACAUAAAUUUCUUUCUACCCUGCGCCACCAUCUUGUUGAAGCAGAGGUUCCGAAACCUCAUCAAGUUCUAUCUUCCUCCCACUCAAUUCUUUCGAGAGAAAUUCUUUCUUAAAAAGAGCUCCGCUCUUAGCGACAAACACUUUGCCAUCGGAUCUGAGAUAGAAGGUAUACCCAACUGUCUCUUUUGGGUAACCUAUGAAGACACACUUUUCCGCUUUGGGUUCUAGCUUUUCAGGCUGAAGCUUUUUUGACGUAAGCAUCACAUUCCCAAACUGUAAGAAACGAAUACUUUGGCUUCUUGCCAUACCAUAACUCAUAUGGUGUCGUCUCAACGGAUUUUUACGGUGCCCUAUUUAAAGUGAAUGCAACUGUCUCCAAUGCAUAGCCUCAAAAUGAUAAUGGCAAAUCGGUAAGAGGCAUCAUAGAACGCACCAUAUCUAAUAAAGUACCAUUACAACGUUCGGACACACCAUUGCGCUGUGGUAUUCCAGGCGGUGUCAAUUGUGAAACAAUUCCACAUUGUCUUAAGUGAGCACCAAACUCGUAACUCAGAUAUUCACCUCCUCGAUCAAAUCGUUGGAACUUGGUCUUCUUGCUACGAUGAUUUUCAACUUCACUCUGAAAUUGUUUGAACUUUUCAAACAUUUAAGACUUGUGCUUCAUCAAGUAUAUAUAACCGUACCUACUCAAGUCGUCAGUGAAGGUGAGAAAAUAACAAUAUCCGCUGUGCGCCUCUAUGCUCAUUGGUCCGCACACAUCAGUAUGUAUGAUCUCCAACAAGUCACUUGCAGGCUCCAUUGACCCAGAGAACGGAGUCUUAGUCAUCUUGCACAUGAGACAUGGUUCACAUGUGUCAAGUGAUUCAAAAUCAAGUGACUCCAAAAGUCCAUCAGUAUGGAGUUUCUUCAUACGCUUUACACCAAUAUGACCUAAGUGGCAGUGCCACAAGAAAAUGGCGCUAUCAUUGUUAGCUCUACAUCUUUUGGUCUCAAUGCUAUGGACAUGAGUGUCAUCACAAUCGAGAUUCAAUAUGAACAAACCCCUCACAUUGGGUGCAUGAUCAUAAAAGAUAUUACACAUAUAAAUAGAACAACCAUUAUUCUCUGACUUACAUGAGUAACCGUCUCGCAAUAAACAAGAUCGAGAUAUAAUGUUCAUGCUCAACGGAGGCAGUAAAUAACAAUUAUUUAAGUUCAUCACUAAUCCCGAUGGUAACUGAAGUGAGAGCGUGCCGACGGUGAUCGCAUCAACCUUGGAACCAUUUCCCACGCGCAUCGUCACUUCAUCCUUCGCCAGCCUUCGUUUAUUCCGCAGUUCUUGUUUUGAGUUGCAAAUGUUAGCAACAGAACCGAUACCAAAUAAUGAGGCACUACUACGAGAGCUGGUGAGGUACAUAUCAAUAACAUGUAUAUCAAAUAUACCUUGUUUGGCGUUGGCCGCCUUCUUAUCGGCCAGAUACUUGGGGCAGUUGCGCUUCCAGUGACCAGUCCCUUUGUAACAAUAGCACUCAGUUUCCGGCUUAGGUCUAGCCUUGGGUUUCUUCGUCGGAGGAGCAACAGCUUUGUCACUCUUCUUGGAGUUACCCUUCUUGCAUGUGCGUUUUUCUUGAACUAGUGGUCUUAUUGACCAUCAACACUUGAUGUUCUUUCUGGAUUUUUGACUCAGCGACUUUCAGCAUCGCAAAUAACUCGCUGGGUGACUUAUUCAUCCCUUGCAUGUUAUAGUUCAACACGAAGCUGUUAUAGCUAGGUGCCAGUGAUUGAAGAAUUCUGUGAGUGAUAACUUCUUGCGGGAGUUCAAUCCCUAGCUCAGCUAGAUGGUUAGAGUACCCAAACAUUCUGAGCACUUGUUCACUGAUAGACGAAUUCUCCUCCAUUUUUCAAACAUAGAACUUAUCAGAGGUCUCAUACCUCUCGAUCCGGGCAUUUUUCUCAAAGAUAAACUUGAACUUCUGGAACAUCUCAUAUGCUCCAUGACGUUCAAAAUGUUUUUGAAGUCCCGGUUCUAAGCUAUACAAAACUGCACAUUGAACUAGUGAGUAGUCAUCCUUACGCGCUUGACAAGCGUUCAAAACAUCUUGGGUCGCCGUAGCGGAUGGUGCAUCACCUAGCGCAGCAUCAAGCACAUAUUGCUUUUGGCCAGUUGUGAGGAUAAGCCUCAGAUUUUGAGCCCAGUCAACAAAGUUGCUUCCAUCAUCUUUCAGUUUAGCUUUCUCUAGGAACGUAUUAAAAUUCAGGGUUGCUACUGCGCGAGCCAUUGAGCUACAGCAUAAAAUUCUGCAAAGAUUACUUAGACUAUGUUCAAGACAAUUGAGUUUAGUUAAUCAUAUUACUAAUAAACUCUCACUCAAAUAGACAUCCCUCUAGUCAUUCGAGUGUCGCAUGAUCCACAUUCACUAGCUCAUGUCCGAUCAUCGCGUGAGUUGUGUAUAGUUUCAGUGGUGAACAUCUCCAUGUUGAUCAUAUCAACUAUAUGAUUCAUGCUCGACCUUUCGGUCUCUUGUGUUCUCAGGGCAUGUUUGGACAUGCUAGGUCGUGAUGACCCACAAUUAUAGGGGAUCAAUCGUAGUCCUUUCGAUAAGUAAGAGUGUCGAACCCAACGAGGAGCAGAAGGCUCUGAUAAACGGAUUUCAGCAAGGUAAUAACUGCAAGCACUGAAAGUAGUGGUACCAAGUGAUUGUGUAGCGAGGUGAAACGUAGCAAGCAAAGAGUAACAAGUAACAAGUAGUAGCAACGGUGCAGCAAGUGACCCAAUCCCUUUUGUAGCAAGGGACAAGCCUGAACAAAGUCUUAUAGGAGGAAAAACGCUCCCGAGGACACACCGGAAUUUCUGUCAUGCUAGUUUCAUCAUGUUCAUAUGAUUCGCGUUCGUUACUUUGAUAGUUUGAUAUGUGGGUGGACCGGCGCUUGGGUACUGCCCUUACUUGGACAAGCAUCCCACUUAUGAUUAACCUCUCUCUCAAGCAUCCGCAACUACAAAAGAAGAAUUAAGACAAAGUCUAACCAUAACAUUAAACUAGUGGAUCCAAAUCGGCCCCUCACGAAGCAACGCAUAGACUGGGGUUUAAGCUUCUGUCACUCCAGCAACCCAUCAUGUACUUACUACUUCCCAAUGCCUUCCUCUAGGCCCAAAUAUGGUGAAGUGUUAUGUAGUCGACGUUCACAUAACACCACUAGAGGAAAAACAACAUACAUCAUAUCAAAAUACCGAACGAAUAUCAAAUUCACAUGACUAUUAUUAACAUGACUUAUCCCAUGUCCUCAGGAACAAAAGUAACUACUCACAAGACAUAACCAUAAUCAUGACCAGAGGUGUAAUGAAUAGCAUCAAGGAUCUGAACAUAAACUCUUCCACCAAGUAAUCCAACUAGCAUCAACUACAAAGAGUAAUCAACACUACUAGCAACCUUACAAGUACCAAUCGGAGUUGCGAGACGAAGAUUGGUUACAAGAGAUGAACUAGGGAUUGGAGAGGAGAUGGUGCUGAUGAAGAUGUUGAUGAAGAUGCCUCCCCUCCGACGAGACGAGUGUUGGUGAUGACGAUGGCGACGAUUUCCCCCUCCGGGAGGGAAGUUUCCCCGGCAGGAUCGUCCUGCCGGAGCUCUAGAUUGGAUCUGCUCAAGUUCCGUCUCGUGGCGGCGGCGAAACCACGAAAAAGCUCCCUAUUGAUUUUUUCCAGACCAGGACGCUUCAUAUAGCAAAAGAGGGGGGCUAGUGGGCCGUCAGGCAGCCCACAAGCCUGCCCUGCGCCACUAGGGGGGGGUGGUGGUGGCGGUGGGCAAGCUUGUGGAGCCCUGGUGGCCCCCUGCCGUAGUUCUUUCGCCCAGUAUUUUUAAUAUAUUCCAGAAAAAAUCCACGUAACUUUUCAGGGCAUUUGGAGAUGUGCAGAAUAGUGGACUAGGAUUUGCUCCUUUUCUAGUCCAGAAUUCCAACUGUCUGAAUUCUCCCACUUCAAAUAAACCUUGCAAAAUAAGAGAGAAAAGGCAUAAAUAUGGUACCACAAGUAAUAUAACAGCCCAAAAAGCAAUAAAUAUCAACAUGAAAGCAUGAUGCAAAAUGGACGUAUCAACUCCCCCAAGCUUAGACCUCGCUUGUCCUCAAGCGAAAACCAAGUUCCAUAAACAUGUCCACAUGUUGAGGGACAAAGGUGUCGAUAGAACAUAAUACAGACAUGAGGGCAUCAUGAUCACACAUAGGACAACAAUACAUCAUAAAGAUUCUUAAGGGAAAGUAACAAUUCCUUCACAAAGCAAAGCAUGAAGUAAAAACCUUACCGAGAAGUAACCAACAAUAGUCCAUAGUCAUUGAAGCAAUUGCAAUUUAUCACAACAUCAGAAAGAGUCAAAUAAGAGCUUGUAAGGCAAACCCACAUACUCAAUCAUCUCUUUUGUUUUCCACAAUUGUUACAACUCACAUGGUACUCAUGGUGUCAAAGUUUCAGCUGGACACAGAGGAAGAUAGGGGCUUAUAGUUUUGCCUCCCAACGGUUUACCUCAAGGGUAAAGUCAACAACAAUAAAGCAUAAGUACUCAACUCCAAGUUGAUAUAUGAAUAUAGAUCUUUCCCAAGCAUGCGACGGUAGCCAAGACAAAGACAAAAAUAGGGAAUUGGUGAUGAUCACCAUGACUCUUACAAGGGUAAAAAGUAAAGGUACAAGAUAGGCCCUUCGCAGAGGGAAGCAGAGGUUGUCAUGCGCUUUUGAGGUUUGAAUGCGUGUCCUCUUACUGUGGAGGAACGUCACUUUAUAUUGCCUCCUGUGAUAAAGAACUUUAUUAGGCAGUCUGUCGCUUUUAUGUCUUCCUCAUCACAGGUUCGUACAAAGCUUAUUUUCCACACACUAAUAGAUCAUACAUAUUAGAGAGCAAUUUUUAUUGCUUGCACCGAUGACAACUUACUUGAAGGAUCUUGUUCAAUCCAUAGGUAGGUAUGGUGGACUCUCAUGGCAAAAUUGGGUUGGAGGUUUAUAGAUGCACAAGUAGUAUCUCUACUUGGUGCGGAGUUUUGGCUAAUAUGAGGUGGAAGCAAUCGUCACAUGCUAAGGGAUCUCUAAUCAUAUAACAUUGUUUGGAACCAAGCAAACACAAUUCAUUAUGUUGUCUUCCUUGUCCAACAUCUAUUCCUAGGCAUGUAAUAGUUUGGUGAGUGCUCACAAUUGCAAAAAGUGUCUAAGAUGAUGUAUUUAUAUGCGAACCUCUCUUUCCUUAUUACUUCUUAUUAAUUGCAACAAUGACUGAGGUCUAUGUUGAUUUAUUCUCAACAAGUUUCAAUCAUCAUACGUGUCAUAAGUGAAGUUAUCACUUUCCAUAAGAUCGUCUCAUGAUCUUUCAUGCUAUCGUUCUUUUCAUACUCUUGAUCAUGGCACAACGCAAAGCCCUUGACUAAGAAACUCUUUAUUAUAUAGCUCGUAAGCUCGAAUACAUCGAGGGAGAGACAAAAGCAAAAGACUCAAACUAAAAACUAAAGACUUAUUCCUAAAAAAAGAAGAAAUAAAAACUAAAAAGGAAAGAACUAAAACAAAGGUAAAAGCAAAAGAUAUAAAGGUGAUACGGUACCAGGGCAACUCCUCCAAGCUUGGCAGAAGCCAAGGGGAUUGCCCAUACCAAUGCUUAGUUGCCUUCCUUUGGUGGUGAUGGUGGUGUUGUUGGAGCAGUCUUGAGCUUGUCUAAUUUCCACUUGAGCAAAAAGUUCUGCUCCCUUAGAUCAUCAUUUUCCUCCUCAAGUUUCAAAACUCUAUGGCAAAGCUCCUGCUUACUCUCCUGCAAGAAAUGAGAAGGGAUAAACAAGGUCUUAGGCUUCUUCCUAUGGUCAGGGAGGCUUGACUUCUUGAACUCCACAUGGGUGUUUGCAGGUUGAGGUAGAGGAGCCUCCUUUUCAUCGGAACUCGUUUGCUCCUUCCCUUUGGGCUCAUAGUCCUCUUCCUCAUCAGUGGUCCAGCCAUAUUGUUCCAAGUCCCCAUAGACCUUGGGGUUAGCAAGGUAGUCAGCCACAUAGCUCUCUCCCUCUGAAUCUUGAGAAGACAUCUUGACCUAGAUCUGCGGCAGAACAAGCUCGAAACGAAAACAGAGGAAAACUGUGCGAUACGGAGGUCAAAACCUUCGGGCGACUAUAUAUUGAUUUUUUUUCUGGGCCAGAAGAAAUCCUCCGCAAGAAAACGGAGUCCGGGAGGCACACGAGGUGCCCACAAGCUUGCCCUCCGCCACCAGGGGGGUAGGGGGCGGUGGCAGGGCUUGUGGCUGCCUCGUUCGCUCUCCGGACUGCUUUUUAUUUUUCUAAUUUUCCAAAAAUUCCAAAAUGGAAGAAAUUUCCUAUUGGAAAAGUAUCGGAGUCCAAUUUCUUACUGAAACAGAUACAUCUUCAUUUUCAAGGUCUGAAACAGGCUGAUAAACAUCCCUUAUGUACUCCUCUGGAGUUAUGACAUUGAUGAUAUUGGUCUCAACAUUUAUGGGAGUACCAGAGAUGUAAUGCUUGAUUCUUUGCCCAUUUACCACUCCAGAAAAAUUUCCUUCCAUGUUAUUGAUUUUGAUGGCACCGGAACGAUAUACUUCCUCGACAACAUAGGGACCUUCCCAUUUAGAGAGAAGCUUGCCUGCAAAGAAUCUCAAACGAGAAUUGUAUAGCAAGACAUAAUCACCUACAUUGAACUCUCGUUUUUGUAUUUGUUUGUCGUGCCAUCUCUUAACCUUUUCCUUGAACAACCUGGCAUUCUCGUAUGCCUGGGCUCUCCAUUCAUCUAACGAGCUGAUAUCAAACAACCGCUUCUCACCGGCAAGUUUGAAAUCAAAGUUGAGCUCUUUGAUUGCCCAAUAAGCUUUGUGUUCCAGCUCAAGAGGUAAAUGACAGGCCUUACCGUAAACCAUUUUAUACGGUGACAUGCCCAUGGGAUUCUUAUAAGCAGUCCUAUAAGCCCAUAGUGCAUCGUCAAGUUUGCUAGACUAGUUCUUUCGAGAUCUAUUGACGGUCUUUUGUAAGAUCAACUUGAUCUCCCUAUUACUCAACUCCACUUGACCACUAGACUGAGGAUGAUAAGGACAUGCAACUCUAUGGUUGACAUCAUACUUAGCUAGCAUCUUGCGGAAAACACCAUGAAUUAAGUGUGAACCGCCGUCAGUCAUCAAGUAUCCAGGGACUCCAAAUCUUGGGAAUAUGACUUCUUUAAGCAUCUUAAUAGAGGUGUAGUGAUCAAAAUUUUUAGUGGGGAUAGCUUCUACCCACUUAGUAACGUAAUCGACAACAACUAAGAUGUGAGUGUACCCAUUGGAACUCGGGAAGGGUCCCAUAUAAUCAAAUCCCCAGACAUCAAAUGGUUCAAUGACAAGUGAAUAGUUCAUAGGCAUCUCUUGACGCUUACUGAUGUUCCCUAUUCUUUGGCAUUCGUCACAAGACAAGACAAACUUACGAGCAUCCUUGAAGAGAGUGGGCCAAUAGAAACCUGAUUGCAAUACCUUAUGGGCAGUUCUAUCUCUAGCAUGGUGUCCUCCGUAGGCUUCGGAAUGACACUUCUGCAGGAUCUGUCCCUAUUCAUGUUCAGGCACACAACGUCUAAUAACACCAUCUACUCCUUCCUUAUAAAGGUGAGGAUCAUCCCAAAAGUAGUGUCUCAAAUCAAAGAAGAACUUCUUCUUUUGUUGAUAGGUGAAACUGGAUGGUAUGUAUUUGGCUACGAUAUAGUUUGCAUAAUCAGCAUACCACGAUGCACUAAGUGAAGUGCGGAUGACAUUUAAUUGCUCAUCAGGAAAGAUGUCAUCAAUUGGUAGUGGGUCAUCAAGGACAUUCUCUAGCCUAGACAAGUUAUCUGCUACAGGGUUAUCAGCACCCUUUCGGUCAAUGAAGUGCAAAUCAAAUUCCUGUAGCAGGAGAACCCAUCUAAUCAGCCUAGGCUUAGCGUCCUUCUUCUCCAUGAGGUACUUAAUAGCAGCAUGAUCAGAGUGAAUAGUGACUUUGGAGUCAACUAUGUAAGAUCUGAACUUUUCACAUGCAAACACGAGUGCUAAAAAUUCCUUCUCCGUAGUGGCAUAGUUUCUUUGGGCACUGUCUAGAGUUUUACUAGCGUAGUGAAUGACAUUCAACUUCUUGUCAACUCUUUGUCCUAGAACAGCACCAACAGCAUAAUCAGUAGCGUCGCACAUGAUUUCAAAGGGCAAGUUCCAGUUAGGUGGUUGAACAAUAGGUGCAGUUAUCAAAGACUUCUUAUGUAUUUCAAAGGCUUCCUCACAAUCCUCAUCAAAAACAAAAGGAACACCCUUCUACAAGAGGUUGGUAAGAGGCCUAGAAAUCUUAGAGAAGUCUUUAAUGAACCUUCUAUAGAAACCAGCAUGACCUAGGAAACUUCGUAUACCUCUGAUAUCUGUGGGGCAAGGCAUUUUCUCAAUUGCAUCAACCUUAGCCUUAUCAACUUCAAUGCCUCUCUCAGAAAUUUUGUGUCCUAAGACGAUACCUUCAUUAACCAUAAAGUAGCACUUCUCCCAAGACGAGGUUGGUUUCUUCGCAUCUCUGUAAGACUUGAUCAAGGUUGCUGAGGAAAUCAUCAAUAGAAGAUCCGUAAACGGAGAAGUCAUCCAUGAAAACCUCGACGAUCUUUUCACAAAAGUCAGAGAAUAUAGCCAUCAUACAUCUUUGGAAGGUGGCAGGUGCAUUACAUAAGCCAAAAGGCAUACGUCUAUAGGCAAAGGUACCGAAAGGGCAAGUGAAACUGGUUUUCUCUUGAUCAGAUUGUGCAACAGGUAUCUGCGAGAAACCUGAAUAACCGUCUAGAAAGCAGAAGUGUGUGUGUUUUGAUAGCCUUUCUAGCAUUUGGUCGAUGAACGACAAAGGAUAAUGAUCUUUCCUGGUUGCCUUGUUCAGUUUCCGGAAGUCUAUCACCAUUCUAUAGCCGGUAAUAAUCCUUUGUGGGAUUAGUUCAUCCUUAUCAUUAGGAACGACGGUGAUACCCCCUUCUUAGGUACGCAAUGUACUGGACUUACCCAAUCACUAUGAGCCACAGGAUAAAUGAUUCCUGCUUCCAGAAGCUUUAAUAUUUCUUUUCUAACGACCUCUUUCAUCUUAGGAUUUAAUCUCCUUUGAUGAUCAACAACUGGUUUAAAGUCAGGAUCGGUUUUAAUCUUGUGCUGACAUAGAGUAGGACUAAUACCCUUAAGAUCAUCAAGAGUAUAUCCAAUAGCAGCACGGUGCUUCCUGAGAGUUUUUAGUAACUUCUUCUCUUCACGCUCUGAGAGGAGAGCACUAAUAAUGACAGGAUAUAUCUCCUUCUCAUCAAGAUAGGCAUACUUAAGAGUAUCAGGCAACUGUUUAAGCUCGAACACAUGAUCACCCUUUGGUGGGGGAGGAUCCCCAAGCAGUUCAACAGGCAAAUUAUUCUUGAGAAUAGGAUAUUGUUCUAAGACAAUUUUAUCUAUCUCAUCUCUCUCCUCCAUAUGCAUAUCAUCUCCUCCAUAUGCAUAUCAUUUUCAUGCUCAAGCAGAUAUUGCUCUAAAGGAUCCGUAGGAGGUACGACAAUAGAGGCAAGAGCAAUGAUUUCAUCUCUACGAGACGACUCUCUUUCAUGGGUUUGUCUUCCAAACUUGGAGAAGUUAAAUUCAUGAGACACACCCUCGAAACUUACUGUGACAGUCUGCUUAAUGCAAUCAAUGUGAGCAUUGACAGUGUUGAGAAAGGGUCUACCGAAUAUGAUGGGACAAAAACUAUCUUGUGCAGUACCAAGGACGAGGAAAUCAGCAGGAUACUUCGUCUUACCAGACAAGACUUCUACGUCUCUCACAAUUCCCACACGACAGAUAGUGUCUCUAUUAGCUAGCAUAAUAGUGACAUCAAUGGGUUCUAACUCAGCAGGUGCAAUCUCAUCUUUGAUAUCAUCAUAUAGAGAACGGGGUAUUGCACUAACACUAGCUCCCAUAUCACAUAAACCAUGGUAACAGUGAUCUCCUAUCAUAACAGAAACAACGGGCAGGCCAACUACAGGUCCGUGUUUGUAUUUCGCGUGAGGUUUAGCAAUUCUAGCGGAGUCCUCACAGAAUUUGAUAACAUGCCCAUCUAUGUCUUCGGCUAAGAGAUCUUUGAUAAUAGCAACACUAGGUUCAACUCUAAUCUCCUCAGGGGGUGCAAGUGGUCUAAUGUAACCCCUACGUAUCAUAGUUGGAGCUUUAGAAUAAUCCUUUAUCCUAGCAGGGUAUGGUGGUUUCUCAGUGUAAGCACAAGGAACAACAGGAUCACUAAAAGCUAUGAUUUUAUCCUCAACUAGAUUGGUUUUGGCUAUGUUGCUUUCUACAGGAGGAUGAUAUUUAAACCACUUCUCUUUGGGAAGAUCAACAUGAGCAGCAAAAGAUUCACAUAGGGAAGCUACUAUCUCAGAGUCAAGUCCAUACUUAGCGCUGAAAUCUCUAGAAGUGUUUGCGUCAACAAAAGAUUUAACGCAAUCAAACUGGAAAUUCAUACCUGACUCCUUACCUUCCUCCAGCUCCCAAUCUUCAGAGUUGCGUUUGAUUCUCUCCAAUAAAUUCCAUUUGUGAUCAAUACCCUUCUUCAUAAAAGAACCGGCACAAGAAGUGUCAAGCAUGGUACGAUCUUCAUGAGAAAGCCGAGCAUAAAAGUUUUGAGUGAUGAUUUCUCUCAAGAGCUUAUGAUUGGGGCAUGAAUAUAGCAUGGAUUCAAGCCUCCUCCAAGCUUGAGCUAUGCUUUCCCUGUCACGAGGCCAAAAGUUAUAAAUAAAGUUCCGAUCACGAUGUACUAAAUGCAUAGGAUAGAACUUUUGAUGAAAUUCCAAUUUCAACCGAUUGUAGCCCCAUGAUCCAGUAUCAUCACAUAGCCUAUACCAUGUCAACGCCUUAUCCUUCAAAGAUAAAGGAAAGACUUUCUUCUUUACCUCAUCCUUGGGCAAACCUGCAAGCUUAAAUAAACCACAAACUUCAUCUACAUAAAUUAGAUGCAAGUCUGGAUGUGAAGAUCCAUCUCGUGUGAAAGGAUAGCCAGCAGUUUCUCAAGCAUACCCAAAGGAAUUUCAUAAAAGAUAUUUUCAGUAGGUACCUCAGGUUGAGGAGCAACUCCUCGUGCUUCCGUUCAUGGUGAAGAUACCCCAAACAAACUCCUCAAAGAAACAGUUUCCAUAGUGACAAGUGACAAUAAAUUUUGGCACAAUAUAUAAAUGUUUCCUUACCAAUUUCCACUUACCAAAGGCGCUUCACUCCCCGGCAACGGGGCCAGAAAAGAGUCUUGAUGACCCACAAGUAUAGGGGAUCAAUCAUAGUCCUUUCGAUAAGUAAGAGUGUCGAACCCAACGAGGAGCAGAAGGCUCUGAUAAACGGAUUUCAGCAAGGUAAUAACUGCAAGCACUGAAAGUAGUGGUACCAAGUGAUUGUGUAGCGAGGUGAAACGUAGCAAGCAAAGAGUAACAAGUAACAAGUAGUAGCAACGGUGCAGCAAGUGACCCAAUCCCUUUUGUAGCAAGGGACAAGCCUGAACAAAGUCUUAUAGGAGGAAAAACGCUCCCGAGGACACACCGGAAUUUCUGUCAUGCUAGUUUCAUCAUGUUCAUAUGAUUCGCGUUCGUUACUUUGAUAGUUUGAUAUGUGGGUGGACCGGCACUUGGGUACUGCCCUUACUUGGAAAAGCAUCCCACUUAUGAUUAACCUCUCUCGCAAGCAUCCACAACUACAAAAGAAGAAUUAAGACAAAGUCUAACCAUAGCCUUAAACUAGUGGAUCCAAAUCAGCCCCUCACGAAGCAACACAUAGACUGGGGUUUAAGCUGCUGUCACUCCAGCAACCCAUCAUCUACUUACUACUUCCCAAUGCCUUCCUCUAGGCCCAAAUGUGGUGAAGUGUUAUGUAGUCGAUGUUCACAUAACACCACUAGAGGAAAAACAACAUACAACAUAUCAAAAUACCGAACGAAUAUCAAAUUCACAUGACUAUUAUUAACAUGACUUAUCCCAUGUCCUCAGGAACAAAAGUAACUACUCACAAGACAUAACCAUAAUCAUGACCAGAGGUGUAAUGAAUAGCAUCAAGGAUCUGAACAUAAACUCUUCCACCAAGUAAUCCAACUAGCAUCAACUACAAAGAGUAAUCAACACUACUAGCAACCUUACAAGUACCAAUCGGAGUUGCGAAACGAAGAUUGGUUACAAGAGAUGAACUAGGGAUUGGAGAGGAGAUGGUGCUGAUGAAGAUGCCUCCCCUCCGACGAGAGGAGUGUUGGUGAUGACGAUGGCGACGAUUUCCCCCUCCGGGAGGGAAGUUUCCCCGGCAGGAUCGUCCUUACGGAGCUCUAGAUUGGAUGUGCUCAAGUUCCGCCUCGUGGUGGCGGCGAAACCAUGAAAAAGCUCCCUAUUGAUUUUUUUCCAGACCAGGACGCUUCAUAUAGCAAAAGAGAGGGGCUAGUGGGCCGUCAGGAAGCCCACAAGCCUGCCCUGCGCCACGAAGGGGGGUGGUGGCGGUGGGCAAGCUUGUGGAGCCCUGGUGGCCCCCCUCCGGUAGUUCUUUCGCCCAGUAUUUUUAAUAUAUUCCAGAAAAAAUCCACGUAACUUUUCAGGGCAUUUGGAGAUGUGCAGAAUAGUGGACUAGGAUUUGCUCCUUUUCUAGUCCAGAAUUCCAACUGUCUGAAUUCUCCCACUUCAAAUAAACCUUGCAAAAUAAGAGAGAAAAGGCAUAAAUAUGGUACCACAAGUAAUAUAACAGCCCAAAAAGCAAUAAAUAUCAACAUGAAAGCAUGAUGCAAUAUGGACGUAUCAGGUCGUCAAGUUUAACCCGAGUAUUUCGCAUGUGCAACUGUUUUGCACCCGUUGUAUGCGAACUUUGAGUCUAUCACACCCGAUCAUCAUGUGGUGUCUCGAAACGACGAACUGUCGCAACGGUGCAUAGUCGGGGUAAACACAAUUUUAUCUUGAAAUUUUAGUGAGGGAUCACCUUAUAAUGCUACCGUCGUUCUAAACAAAAUAAGGUGCAUAAAAGGAUUAAUAUCACAUGCAAAUCAUAACUGACAUGAUAUUGCCAUGAACUUGUGCUUCUUGAUCUCCAUCACCAAAGCACCGACAUGAUCUCCAUCGUCACCGGCGCCACACCAUGAUCUCCAUCAUUGUGCUGCCAUCGAGGUUGUCGCGCUAUCUAUGUUGUUACUACUAAAGCUACUGCCUAGCGAUAUAGCAAGAGCAUCUACAAGCGCAAAAUAAUUAAGGACAACCCUAUGGCUCUUGCGGGUUGUCGUAGCAUCGAUGUGCAAGUCGGUAUUUAACUAUUACAACAUGAUCAUCUGAUACAUCCAAUAUAUCAUAUCAUGUCUUUGGCCAUAUCACAUCACAUGCAUAGCCUGCAAAAACAAAUUAGACGUCCUCUAAUUUGUUGUUGCAUGUUUUACGUGGCUGCUAAGGGUAUCUAGUAUGAUCGCAUCUUACUUAUGCAAAGCCACAACGAUGGUAUGCAAAUUGCUAUUUAACCUUCUCCAAGGACCGCCUCGGUCAAAUCCGAUUCGACUAAACUUGAAGAAUAGGCACCCGUCAGUCAUCUUUAUGCAACAAGUUGUAUGUUAGUCGAUGAAACCGGUCUCUCGUAAGCGUACGAGUAAUGUUGGUUCAGGCCGCUUCAAUCCAACAAUACCGCUGAAUCAAGAAAAGACUAAGGAGGGCAGCAAAUUGAACAUCAACGCCCACAAAAUCUUUUGUGUUCUACUCGACAUAUCAUCUACGCAUGAACCUAGCUCAUGAUGCCACUGUUGGUGAACGUUGCAUGGGAAACAAAAAAAUUCCUAUGCACACGAAGACCUAUCAUGGUGAUGAUCAUCUAUGAGAGGGAGAUCAGAUCUACAUACCCUUGUAGAUCGCUAAGUGGGAAGCGUUAAUAAACGCGAUUGAUGUAGUGGAACGUCUUCCGUGAUUCAAAUCACCGUCGUCCUGUUGGAGAACGUCGCAUGGGAAACAAAAAUUUUCCUACGCGCAUGAAGACCUAUCAUGGUGAUGUCCAUCUACGAGAGGGGAUUUCCGAUCUACGUACCCUUGUAGAUCGCACAGCAGAAGCGUUAAGAAACGCGGUUGAUGUAGUGGAACGUCCUCACGUCCCUCGAUCUGCCCUGCGAACCGUCCCACGAUCCGUCCCGCAAUCCGUCCCACGAUCCGCUCCGAUCUAGUGCCGAACGGACGGCACCUCCGCGUUCAGCACACGUACAGCUCGACGAUGAUCUCGGCCUUCUUGAUCCAGCAAGAGAGACGGAGAGGUAGAUGAGUUCUCCGGCAGCAUGACGGCGCUCCGGAGGUUGGUGGUGAUCUAAUCUCAGCAGGGCUCCGCCCGAGCUUCGCAGAAACGCGAUAUAGAGAGGUAAAACCGUGGAGGUAUGUGGUCGGGCUGCCGUGGCAAAAGUUGUCUCAAAUCAGCCCUAAAACCCCACUAUAUAUAGGAGGGAGGGAGGGGAGGAGGAAGCCUCAAAACCUAAAGGUUUGGCCGAAAUUGGAGGUGGAGGAGUCCUACUCGAGUCCUACUUGGAGUAGGAUUCCACCUUCCCACUUGGAAACUCUUUCCACCUUGUGUUUUUUCCUUCUCAAACCUUAUGGGCCUUAGUGGGAACUUAUUCCAGCCCACUAGGGGCUGGUUUAUCUCUUCCCAUAGCCCAUGAGACCCCUUGGGGCGUGACACCCCUCCUGAUGGUUCCCGGCACCCUCCCGGCACUCCCAGUACACUACCGAUGAGCCCGAAACUUUUCCGGUAAUGCACGAAAACCUUCCGGUAACCAAAUGAGGUCAUCCUAUAUAUCAAUCUUCGUUUUCGGACCAUUCUGGAAACCCUCGUGACGUCCGUGAUCUCAUUCGAGACUCCGAGCAACAUUCGGUAACCAACCAUAUAACUCAAGUACGCAUAAAACAACGUCGAACCUUAAGUGUGCAGACCCUGCGGGCUNNNNNNNNNNNNNNNNNNNNNNNNNNNNNNNNNNNNNNNNNNNNNNNNNNNNNNNNNNNNNNNNNNNNNNNNNNNNNNNNNNNNNNNNNNNNNNNNNNNNGGUCGGGCAGCCGUGAGAAAGUCGUCUCAAAUCUGCCCUAAAAGCCCCAUAUAUAUAGGAGGGAGGGGGACCUUGCCUUGGGGUCCAAGGGACCCUCAAGGGGUCGGCCGAGCCAAGGGGGGGAGGACUCCCCCCCCCCAAACCGAGUUGGACUUGGUUUGGUGGGAGGAGUCCCCCUCCCUUCCCACUUCCUCCCUCUUUUUUUUUCUUUUCCUUUGAUUUUCUUUUCUUGGCGCAUAGGCCCCCUUGGGGCUGUUCCACCAGCCCACUAAGGGCUGGUGUGUCUCCCCAAAGCCUAUGGGCUUCCCCGGGGUGGGUUGCCCCCCCCCCUCCGGUGAACUCCCGGAACCCAUUCGUCAUUCCCGGUACAUUCCCGGUAACUCCGAAAACCUUCCGGUAAUCAAAUGAGGUCAUCCUAUAUAUCAAUCUUCAUUUCCAGACCAUUCCGGAAACCCUCGUGACGUCCGUGAUCUCAUUCGAGACUCCGAACAACAUUCGGUAACCAACCAUAUAACUCAAAUACGCAUAAAACAACGUCGAACCUUAAGUGUGCAGACCCUGCGGGUUCGAGAACUAUGUAGACAUGACCCGAGAGACUCCUCGGUCAAUAUCCAAUAGCGGGACCUGGAUGCCCAUAUUGGAUCCUACAUAUUCUACGAAGAUCUUAUCGUUUGAACCUCAGUGCCAAGGAUUCGUAUAAUCCCGUAUGUCAUUCCCUUUGUCCUUCGGUAUGUUACUUGCUCGAGAUUCGAUCGUCAGUAUCCGCAUACCUAUUUCAAUCUCGUUUACCGGCAAGUCUCUUUACUCGUUCCAUAAUACAAGAUCCCGCAACUUACACUAAGUUACAUUGCUUGCAAGGCUUGUGUGUGAUGUUGUAUUACCGAGUGGGCCCCGAGAUACCUCUCCGUCACACGGAGUGACAAAUCCCAGUCUCGAUCCAUACUAACUCAACUAACACCUUCGGAGAUACCUGUAGAGCAUCUUUAUAGUCACCCAGUUACGUUGCGACGUUUGAUACACACAAAGCAUUCCUCCGGUGUCAGUGAGUUAUAUGAUCUCAUGGUCAUAGGAAUAAAUACUUGACACGCAGAAAACAGUAGCAACAAAAUGACACGAUCAACAUGCUACGUCUAUUAGUUUGGGUCUAGUCCAUCACGUGAUUCUCCCAAUGACGUGAUCCAGUUAUCAAGCAACAACACCUUGUUCAUAAUCAGAAGACACUGACUAUCAUCGAUCAACUGGCUAGCCAACUAGAGGCAUGCUAGGGACGGUGUUUUGUCUAUGUAUCCACACAUGUAAAUGAGUCUUCAUUCAAUACAAUUAUAGCAUGGAUAAUNNNNNNNNNNNNNNNNNNNNNNNNNNNNNNNNNNNNNNNNNNNNNNNNNNNNNNNNNNNNNNNNNNNNNNNNNNNNNNNNNNNNNNNNNNNNNNNNNNNNGGUUCCGGGAGUUCACCUGGGGGGCAACCCACCCCGGGGAAGCCCAUAGGCUUUGGGGAGACACACCAGCCCUUAGUGGGCUGGUGGGACAGCCCCAAGGGGCCUAUGCGCCAAGAAAAGAAAAUCAAAGGAAAAGAAAAAAAAAAGAAGAGGGAGGAAGUGCGAAGGGAUGGGGACUCCUCCCACCAAACCAAGUCCAACUCGGUUUGGGGGGGAGUCCUCCCCCCCUUGUCUCGACCGAUCCCUUGAGGGUCCCUUGGACCCCAAGGCAAGGUCCCCCUCCCUCCUCCUAUAUAUAUAGGGCUUUUAGGGCAGAUUUGAGACGACUUUCUCACGGCUGCCCGACCACAUACCUCCAUAGUUUUUCCUCUAGAUCGCGUUUCCGAGGAGCUCGGGCGGAGCCCUGCUGAGACAAAAUCAUCACCAACCUCCGGAGCGCCGUCACACUGCCGGAGAACUCUUCUACCUCUCCGUCUCUCUUGCUGGAUCAAGAAGGCCAAGAUCAUCGUCGAGCUGUACGUGUGCUGAACGCGGAGGUGCCGUCCGUUCGGUACUAGAUCGUGGGACUGAUCGCGGGAUUGUUCGCGGGGCGGAUCGAGGGACGUGAGGACGUUCCACUACAUCAACCGCGUUCUCUAACGGUUCUGUUGUACGAUCUACAAGGGUACGUAGAUCACUCAUCCCCUCUCGUAGAUGGACAUCACCAUGAUAGGUCUUCGUGCGCGUAGGAAAAUUUUUGUUUCCCAUGCGACGUUCCCCAACAGUGGCAUCAUGAGCUAGGUUCAUGCGUAGAUGUCUUCUCGAGUAGAACACAAAAGGUUUUGUGGGCGGUGAUGUGCGUUUUGCUGCCCUCCUUAGUCUUUUCUUGAUUCCGCGGUAUUGUUGGAUUGAAGCGGCUUGGACCGACAUUACUCGUACGCUUACGAGAGACUGGUUUCAUCGUUACGAGUAACCCCCUUUGCUCAAAGAUGACUGGCAAGUGACGGUUUCUCCAACUUUAGUUGAAUCGGAUUUGACCGAGGAGGUCCUUGGAUGAGGUUAAAUAGCAACUCAUAUAUCUCCGUUGUGGUGUUUGCGUAAGUAAGAUGCGAUCCUACUAGAUACCCUUGGUCACCACGUAAAACAUGCAACAACAAAAUUAGAGGACGUCUAACUUGUUUUUGCAGGGUAUGAUUGUGAUGUGAUAUGGCCAAUGAUGUGAUGUGAUAUAUUGGAUGUAUGAGAUGAUCAUGUUGUAAUAGAAAUAUCGACUUGCACGUCGAUGGUACGGCAACCGGCAGGAGCCAUAGGGUUGUCUUUAUACUAACGUUUGUGCUUGCAGAUGCGUUUACUAUUUUGCUAGGAUGUAGCUUUAGUAGUAAUAGCAUGAGUAGCACGACAGCCCCGAUGGCAACACGUUGAUGGAUGAUCAUGGUGUGGCGCCGGUGACAAGAAGAUCGUGCCAGUGCUUUGGUGAUGGAGAUCAAGAAGCACGAGAUGAUGGCCAUAUCUUGUCACUUAUGAAUUGCAUGUGAUGUUAAUCCUUUUAUGCACCUUAUUUUGCUUAGAACGACGGUAGCAUUAUGAGGUGAUCUCUCACUAAAAUUUCAAGACGAAAUUGUGUUCUCCCCGACUGUGCACCGUUGCUACAGUUCGUCGUUUGGAGACACCACGUGAUGAUCGGGUGUGAUAGACUCAACGUUCACAUACAACGGGUGCAAAACAGUUGCGCACGCGGAACACUCGGGUUAAGCUUGACGAGCCUAGCAUGUGCAGACAUGGCCUCGGAACACAUGAGACCGAAAGGUCGAUCAUGAAUCAUAUAGUUGAUAUGAUUAGCAUAGGGAUGCUUACCACUGAAACUACUCUCGACUCACGUGAUGAUCGGACUUGGGAUAGUGUAAGUGGAUCAUGAACCACUCAAAUGACUGGAGAGAUGUACUUUUUGAGUGGGAGUUUAGCAUAUAAUUUGAUUAAGUUGAACUCUAAUUAUCUUGAACAUAGUCUAAGUCCACUUUGAAUAUAUUUGUGUUGUAGAUCAUGGCUCACGCAAGUGUCAUCCUGAAUUUUAAUACGUUCCUAGAGAAAGCUAAGUUGAAAUAUGAUGGAAGCAACUUUGUAGACUGGGCUCGUAAUCUUAAGCUAAUCUUACAAGCUGGAAAGAAGGAUUAUGUCCUUAAUGCUGCGCUAGGAGAUGAACCACCCGCUACGGCUGAUCAGGAUGUUAAGAACGCUUGGUUAGCGCGUAAGGAGGACUACUCAAUAGUUCAAUAUGCAGUAUUGUAUGGCUUGGAACCAGGACUUCAACGUCGCUUUGAGCGUCAUGGAGCAUUUGAGAUGUUCCAGGAGUUGAAGUUUAUCUUUCAGAAGAACGCCCGGAUCGAGAGGUGAGACCUCCGAUAAAUUCUAUGCUUGCAAGAUGGAGGAAAACUCGUCUGUCAGUGAACAUGUGCUCAAAAUGUCUGGGUACUCAAACCGUCUAGCUGAACUGGGGAUUGAACUCCCGCAAGAAGCUAUCACUGACAGAAUCCUUCAAUCACUGCCGCCAAGCUAUAAAGGCUUUGUGUUGAACUACAACAUGCAAGGGAUGAACAAGUCUCCCGGCGAGUUGUUUGCGAUGCUGAAAGUCGCAGAGUCUGAACUCCGUAAAGAGCAUCAAAGUGUUGAUGGUGAGCAAGACCACUAGUUUCAAGAGAAACGGCAAAGGCAAGAAGGGCAAUUCGAAGAAGAGCGGCAAGCCUGUUGCCAAUCCGCCGAAGAAACCCAAGGCUGGACCUAAGCCUGAAACAGAGUGCUUCUAUUGCAAGGGUAUGGGUCACUGGAAGCGCAAUUGCCCCAAGUAUCUGGCAGAUAAGAAGGCGGGCAAAGAAAAAUCAGGUAUAUUUGAUAUACAUGUUAUUGAUGUGUACUUAACCGGCUCUCGUAGUAGUGCCUGGGUAUUCAAUACCGGUUCUGUUGCUCACAUUUGCAACUCGAAGCAGGAACUGCGGAAUAGACAAAGGUUGGCAAAAGACGAAGUGACGAUGCGCGUAGGAAACGGUUCCAAGGUUGAUGCAAUCGCCGUCGGCACAGUGUCACUUCAACUACCAUCGGGAUUAGUGAUGAACUUAAAUCAUUGUUAUUUAGUGCUUGCGUUGAGCAUGAACAUUAUAUCUGGAUCUUGUUUAUUGCGAGACGGUUACUCUUUUAAGUCUGAGAAUAAUAGUUGUUCUAUUUCUAUGAGUAACAUCUUUUAUGGUCAUGCACCGAAUGUGAGAGGAUUGUUCAUAUUGAAUCUUGAUAGUGAUACGCGUAUACAUAACAUUGAGACCAAAAGAGUUAGAGUAAACAAUGAUAGCGCCAUAUUUUUGUGGCACUGCCGCUUGGGUCAUAUUGGUGUAAAGCGCAUGAAGAAACUCCAUGCUGAUGGACUUUUGGAGUCACUUGACUUUGAUUCACUUGACACGUGCGAACCAUGCCUCAUGGGCAAGAUGACUAAAACUCCGUUCCCCGGAACAAUGGAGCGUGCAAGUGACUUAUUGGAAAUCAUACAUACCGAUGUGUGUGGUCCAAUGAGCGUGGAGGCACGCGGCGGAUAUCGUUAUUUCCUCACCUUCACUGACGAUUUAAGUAGAUAUGGUUAUGUCUACUUGAUGAAGCACAAGUCUGAAACAUUUGAAAAGUUCAAGCAAUUUCAGAGUGAAGUGGAAAAUCAUCGUAACAAGAAGAUCAAGUUCCUACGGUCUGAUCGUGGGGGUAAAUAUCUGAGUUUCGAGUUUGGUGCUCACUUAAGACAAUGUGGAAUUGUUUCACAGUUAACACCGCCUGGAACACCACAGCGUAAUGGUGUGUCCGAACGUCGUAAUCGUACUUUGUUAGAGAUGGUGCGAUCUAUGAUGUCUCUUACUGAUUUGCCGUUAUCAUUUUGGGGUUAUGCAUUAGAAACAGCUGCAUUCACUUUAAAUAGGGCACCAUCAAAAUCCGUUGAGACGACACCAUACGAACUGUGGUAUGGCAAGAGGCCAAAGUUGUCGUUUCUUAAAGUUUGGGGAUGUGAUGCUUAUGUCAAAAAGCUUCAGCCUGAAAAGCUGGAACCCAAAGCGGAAAAGUGCGUCUUCAUAGGUUACCCAAAAGAGACAGUUGGGUACACCUUCUAUCUCAAAUCCGAGGGCAAAGUGUUUGUUGCUAAGAACGGAACUUUCCUCGAGAAGGAGUUUCUCUCGAGAGAAUUGAGUGGGAGGAAGAUAGAACUUGACGAGGUUGUCGAACCUCUCAUCCCUCUGGAUGGUGGCGCAGGGCAAGGGGAAACCUCUGUCAUUGCGACGCCGGUUGAGGAGGAAGUUAAUGAUGAUGAUCAUGAAAUUCCAGUUCAAGUUUCUGUUGAACCACGCAGGUCGACGAGAUCACGCACUGCUCCAGAGUGGUACGGUAAUCCCGUCUUAUCAAUCAUGUUGUUAGACAACAAUGAACCUGCAAAUUAUGAAGAAGCAAUGGUGGGCCCAGAUUCCAACAAAUGGCUAGAAGCCAUGAAAUCCGAGAUAGGAUCCAUGUAUGAGAGCAAAGUGUGGACUUUGGAGAUACUACCUGAGGGCCGCAAGGCUAUUCAGAACAAAUGGAUCUUUAAGAAGAAGACGGACGCUGGCGGUAAUGUGACCGUUUAUAAAGCUCGACUUGUGGCAAAGGGUUUUUCACAAGUUCCAGGAGUUGACUACGAUGAGACCUUCUCACCCGUAGCGAUGCUUAAGUCCGUCAGAAUCAUGUUAGCAAUAGCUGCAUUUUUCGAUUAUGAAAUCUGGCAGAUGGAUGUCAAAACGGCGUUCCUUAAGGAAGAGUUGUAUAUGAUGCAACCCGAAGGUUUUGUCGAUCCUAAAAAUGCUGACAAGGUGUGCAAGCUCCAGCGAUCCAUUUAUGGACUGGUGCAAGCAUCUCGGAGUUGGAACAAACGCUUUGAUGAGGUGAUCAAAGCAUUUGGGUUUAUACAAGUGGUUGGAGAAUCUUGUAUUUACAAGAAAGUGAGUGGGAGCUCUGUGGCGUUUCUGAUAUUAUAUGUGGAUGACAUAUUACUGAUUGGAAACAACGUAGAGCUUUUGGAAAGCAUAAAAGGUUACUUGAAUAAAAGUUUCUCUAUGAAGGACCUAGGAGAAGCUGCUUACAUUCUAGGCAUUAAGAUCUAUAGGGAUAGAUCAAAGCGCCUGAUAGGACUUUCACAAAGCACAUACCUUGAUAAAGUUUUGAAGAGGUUCAAAAUGGAACAGUCCAAGAAAGGGUUCUUGCCAGUGUUAUAAGGUACGAGAUUGAGUAAAACUCAGUGCCCAGGAACUGAUGAAGAUAAAGAGCAUAUGCGCUCCGUCCCCUAUGCUUCAGCCAUAGGCUCUAUCAUGUAUGCAAUGUUGUGCACUAGACCGGAUGUUAGCCUGGCCAUAAGUAUGACAGGCAGGUUCCAGAAUAAUCCAGGAGUGGAUCACUGGACGGCGGUCAAGAAUAUCCUGAAGUACCUGAAAAGGACUAAGGAGAUGUUUCUCGUGUAUGGAGGUGACGAAGAGCUCGCCGUAAAAGGUUACGUCGAUGCAAGCUUUGACACAGAUCCGGACGACUCUAAGUCGCAAACCGGAUACGUAUUUAUUCUUAAUGGGGGUGCAGUAAGCUGGUGCAGUUCCAAGCAAAGCGCCGUAGCAGAUUCUACAUGUGAAGCGGAGUACAUGGCUGCCUCGGAGGCGGCUAAGGAGGGUGUCUGGAUGAAGCAGUUCAUGACGGAUCUUGGAGUGGUGCCAAGUGCACUGGAUCCAAUAACCUUGUUCUGUGACAACACUGGUGCCAUUGCCUUAGCAAAGGAACCAAGGUUUCACAAGAAGACCAGACACAUCAAACGACGCUUCAACCUCAUCCGCGACUACGUCGAGGAGGAGGACGUAAAUAUAUGCAAAGUGCACACGGAUCUGAAUGUAGCAGACCCGCUGACUAAACCUCUUCCACGGCCAAAACAUGAUCGACACCAGAACUGUAUGGGUGUUAGAUUUAUUACAAUGUAAUUCACAUGGUGAUGUGAGGGCUAGAUUAUUGACUCUAGUGCAAGUGGGAGACUGUUGGAAUUAUGCCCUAGAGGCAAUAAUAAAUGUAUAGUUAUUAUUAUAAUUCCUGUAUCAAGAUAAUAGUUUNNNNNNNNNNNNNNNNNNNNNNNNNNNNNNNNNNNNNNNNNNNNNNNNNNNNNNNNNNNNNNNNNNNNNNNNNNNNNNNNNNNNNNNNNNNNNNNNNNNNGGUGAACUCCCGGAACCCAUUCGUCAUUCCCGGUACAUUCCCGGUAACUCCGAAAACCUUCCGGUAAUCAAAUGAGGUCAUCCUAUAUAUCAAUCUUCGUUUCCGGACCAUUCCGGAAACCCUCGUGACGUCCGUGAUCUCAUUCGAGACUCCGAACAACAUUCGGUAACCAACCAUAUAACUCAAAUACGCAUAAAACAACGUCGAACCUUAAGUGUGCAGACCCUGCGGGUUCGAGAACUAUGUAGACAUGACCCGAGAGACUCCUCGGUCAAUAUCCAAUAGCGGGACCUGGAUGCCCAUAUUGGAUCCUACAUAUUCUACGAAGAUCUUAUCGUUUGAACCUCAGUGCCAAGGAUUCGUAUAAUCCCGUAUGUCAUUCCCUUUGUCCUUCGGUAUGUUACUUGCUCGAGAUUCGAUCGUCAGNNNNNNNNNNNNNNNNNNNNNNNNNNNNNNNNNNNNNNNNNNNNNNNNNNNNNNNNNNNNNNNNNNNNNNNNNNNNNNNNNNNNNNNNNNNNNNNNNNNNNNNNNNNNNNNNNNNNNNNNNNNNNNNNNNNNNNNNNNNNNNNNNNNNNNNNNNNNNNNNNNNNNNNNNNNNNNNNNNNNNNNNNNNNNNNNNNNNNNNNNNNNNNNNNNNNNNNNNNNNNNNNNNNNNNNNNNNNNNNNNNNNNNNNNNNNNNNNNNNNNNNNNNNNNNNNNNNNNNNNNNNNNNNNNNNNNNNNNNNNNNNNNNNNNNNNNNNNNNNNNNNNNNNNNNNNNNNNNNNNNNNNNNNNNNNNNNNNNNNNNNNNNNNNNNNNNNNNNNNNNNNNNNNNNNNNNNNNNNNNNNNNNNNNNNNNNNNNNNNNNNNNNNNNNNNNNNNNNNNNNNNNNNNNNNNNNNNNNNNNNNNNNNNNNNNNNNNNNNNNNNNNNNNNNNNNNNNNNNNNNNNUCUCAUGGUCAUAGGAAUAAAUACUUGACACGCAGAAAACAGUAGCAACAAAAUGACACGAUCAACAUGCUACGUCUAUUAGUUUGGGUCUAGUCCAUCACGUGAUUCUCCCAAUGACGUGAUCCAGUUAUCAAGCAACAACACCUUGUUCAUAAUCAGAAGACACUGACUAUCAUCGAUAAACUGGCUAGCCAACUAGAGGCAUGCUAGGGACGGUGUUUUGUCUAUGUAUCCACACAUGUAAAUGAGUCUUCAUUCAAUACAAUUAUAGCAUGGAUAAUAAACUAUUAUCUUGAUANNNNNNNNNNNNNNNNNNNNNNNNNNNNNNNNNNNNNNNNNNNNNNNNNNNNNNNNNNNNNNNNNNNNNNNNNNNNNNNNNNNNNNNNNNNNNNNNNNNNCGAGAACUAUGUAGACAUGACCCGAGUGGCUCCUCGAUCAAUAUCCAAUAGCGGGACCUGGAUGCCCAUAUUGGAUCCUACAUAUUCUACAAAGAUCUUAUCGUUUGAACCUCAGUGCCAAGGAUUCAUAUAAUCCCGUAUGUCAUUCCCUUUGUCCUUCGGUAUGUUACUUGCCCGAGAUUCGAUCGUNNNNNNNNNNNNNNNNNNNNNNNNNNNNNNNNNNNNNNNNNNNNNNNNNNNNNNNNNNNNNNNNNNNNNNNNNNNNNNNNNNNNNNNNNNNNNNNNNNNNNNNNNNNNNNNNNNNNNNNNNNNNNNNNNNNNNNNNNNNNNNNNNNNNNNNNNNNNNNNNNNNNNNNNNNNNNNNNNNNNNNNNNNNNNNNNNNNNNNNNNNNNNNNNNNNNNNNNNNNNNNNNNNNNNNNNNNNNNNNNNNNNNNNNNNNNNNNNNNNNNNNNNNNNNNNNNNNNNNNNNNNNNNNNNNNNNNNNNNNNNNNNNNNNNNNNNNNNNNNNNNNNNNNNNNNNNNNNNNNNNNNNNNNNNNNNNNNNNNNNNNNNNNNNNNNNNNNNNNNNNNNNNNNNNNNNNNNNNNNNNNNNNNNNNNNNNNNNNNNNNNNNNNNNNNNNNNNNNNNNNNNNNNNNNNNNNNNNNNNNNNNNNNNNNNNNNNNNNNNNNNNNNNNNNNNNNNNNNNNNNNNUCUCAUGGUCAUAGGAACAAAUACUUGACACGCAGAAAACAGUAGCAACAAAAUAACACGAUCAACAUGCUACGUCUAUUAGCUUGGGUCUAGUCCAUCACAUGAUUCUCCUAAUGAUGUGAUCCCGUUAUCAAGUGACAACACUUGCCUAUGGUCAGGAAACCUUGACCAUCUUUGAUCAACGAGCUAGUCAACUAGAGGCUUACUAGGGAUAGUGUUUUGUCUAUGUAUCCACACAUGCACUGUGUUUCCAAUCAAUACAAUUAUAGCAUGGAUAAUAAACGAUUAUCAUGAACAAAGAAAUGUAAUAAUAACUAAUUUAUUAUUGCCUCUAGGGCAUAUUUCCAACAGUCUCCCACUUGCACUAGAGUCAAUAAUCUAGUUCACAUCACCAUGUGAUUCCAAUGAAUCCAACACCCAUAUAGUUAUGGGGUCUGAUCACGUCUUGCUCGUGAGAGAGGUUUUAGUCAACGGUUCUGAAACUUUCAGAUCCGUGUGUUCUUUACAAAUCUUUAUGUCAUCUUAUAGAUGCUGCUACUAUGUGCUAUUCGGAAAUACUCCAAAUAUCUACUCUACUAUACGAAUCCGUUUCACUACUCAUAGUUAUUCGGAUUAGUGUCAAAGCUUGCAUCCACGUAACCCUUUACGACGAACUCUUUAACCACCUCCAUAAUCGAGAAAAACUCCUUAGUCCAUCAGUUACUAAGGAUAAAUUUUGACCGCUGCUAGUGAUUCAAUCAUGGAUCACUCUCUGUACCUCUCAACAGACUUUGAGUCGAGGCACACAUCAGGUGCGGUACCCAGCAUGGCAUACUUCAGAUUCUACGGCCAAGGCAUAGAAGACGACCUUCGUCUAUUCUCUUUUUUCUGCCGGGGUCGGGUUUUGAGUCUUACUCAAAUUCACACCUCACAACGCAACAAAGAACUCCUUCUUUAUUGAUCUAUUUUGAACUCCUUCAAAAACUUGUCAAGGCAUGCAUCUUGUUGAAACUUCUAUUAAGUGCUUUCGAUCUAUCUCCAUAGAUAUUUGAUGCUCAACGUUCAAGUAGCGCAAUCCAGGUAUUCCUUUGAAAACUCCUUUCGAACAACCUUGUAUGCUUUAUAGAAAUUCUACAUUACUUCUGAUCCACAAUAUGUCAACCACAUAUACUUAUCAGAAAUUCUAUAGUGCUCCCACUCACUUCUUUGGAAAUACAAGUUUCUCAUAAACCUUGUACAAACCCAAAAUCUUUGAUCAUCUCAUCAAAGUGUAUAUUCCAACUCCGAGAUGCUUGCACCAGUCCAUUGAAGGAUCGCUGUGCUGGGGAACGUCGCAUGGGAAACAAAAAUUUUCCUACACGCACGAAGACCUAUCAUGGUGAUGUCCAUCUACGAGAGGGGAUGAGUGAUCUACGUACCCUUGUAGAUCGUACAACAGUAGCGUUAGAGAACGCGGUUGAUGUAGUGGAACGUCCUCAUGUCCCUCGAUCCGCCCCGCGAACAAUCCCGCGAUCAGUCCCACGAUCUAGUACCGAACGGACGGCACCUCCGCGUUCAACACACAUACAGCUCGACGAUGAUCUCGGCCUUCUUGAUCCAGCAAGAGAGACGGAGAGGUAGAAGAGUUCUCCGGCAGCGUGACGGCGCUCUGGAGGUUGGUGAUGAUUUUGUCUCAGCAGGGCUCCGCCCGAGCUCCGCGGAAACGCGAUCUAGAGGAAAAACUAUGGAGGUAUGUGGUCGGGCAGCCGUGAGAAAGUCGUCUCAAAUCUGCCCUAAAAGCCCCAUAUAUAUAGGAGGGAGGGGGACCUUGCCUUGGGGUCCAAGGGACCCUCAAGGGGUCGGCCGAGCCAAGGGGGGGAGGACUCCCCCCCCCCAAACCGAGUUGGACUUGGUUUGGUGGGAGGAGUCCCCCUCCCUUCCCACUUCCUCCCUCUUUUUUUUUCUUUUCCUUUGAUUUUCUUUUCUUGGCGCAUAGGCCCCCUUGGGGCUGUUCCACCAGCCCACUAAGGGCUGGUGUGUCUCCCCAAAGCCUAUGGGCUUCCCCGGGGUGGGUUGCCCCCCCCCCUCCGGUGAACUCCCGGAANNNNNNNNNNNNNNNNNNNNNNNNNNNNNNNNNNNNNNNNNNNNNNNNNNNNNNNNNNNNNNNNNNNNNNNNNNNNNNNNNNNNNNNNNNNNNNNNNNNNACUUUACAAAUAUCUAUCACUCCACUCUGGACAUGGUCCUGGAUGGAGUUGUAGCGGCGUUUGAUGUGCUUCGUCUUCCGGUGAAACCUGGGCUCCUUGGCAAUGGCAAUGGCCCCAGUGUUAUCACAGAAGAGUGUCAUUGGACCCGACGCGCUUGGAACCACUCCAAGGUCAGUGAUGAGCUCCUUCAUCCAAAUUCCUUCAUGUGCCGCUUCUGAAGCAGCUAUGUACUCCGCUUCACAUGUAGAUGCUGCCACGACUUCUUGCUUGCUGCUGCACCAGCUCACUGCCCCACCAUUCAACACAUAUACGUAUCUGGUCUAUGACUUAGAGUCAUCCGGAUCUGCGUCGAAGCUAGCGUCGAUGUAACCCUUUACGACGAGCUCUUCGUCACCUCCAUAAACGAGAAACACUUCCUUGGUCCUUUUCAGGUACUUAAGGAUAUUCUUGACCGCUGUCCAGUGUUCCAUACCGGGAUCACUUUGGGACAUCCCUACCAAACUUAUGGCAAGGUUUAUAUCAGGUCUGGUACACAGCAUGGCAUACAUUAGAGAGCCCACGGCUGAAGCGUAGGGGAUAGAACUCAUCUUCUCUCUAUCUGCUGCCGUGGUCGGCGACUGAGUCUUACUCAAUCUUAUACCUUGCAAAACUAGCAAGAACCCUUUCUUUGAGUUUUCCAUAUUUAACUUCUGCAAUAUCUUGUCAAGGUAUGUACUUUACGAAAGACCUAUGAGGUGUCUUGAUCUAUCUCUAUAGAUCUUGAUGACUAAUAUGUAUGCAGCUUCUCCAAGGUCCUUCAUUGAAAAACUUUUGUUCAAAUAGGCCUUUAAGCUCUCCAACAUCUCUAUAUUAUUCCCCAUCAAUAAUAUGUCAUCCACAUACAGUAUGAGGAAAGCUACAGAGCUCCCACUCACUUUCUUGUACAGACAGGCUUCUCCGUAAACCUGUAUGAACCCAAACGCUUUAAUCACCUCAUUAAAGCGAAUGUUCCAACUCCGAGAUACUUGCAGCAGCCCAUAGAUGGAGCGCUGGAGUUUGCACACUUUGUUAGCACCCUUAGGGUCGACAAAACCUUCUGGUUGCAUCAUAUACAACUCUUCCUUAAGGUUCCCGUUAAGGAACGCUGUUUUGACGUCCAUUUGCCAAAUUUCAUAAUCAUAAAAGGCGGCAAUUGCUAACAUGAUUCGGACUGAUUUCAGCUUCGCUACGGGAGAGAAAGUCUCUUCAUAGUCAACUCCUUGAAUUUGUCGAAAACCCUUUGCGACAAGUCGAGCUUUGUAAACGGUUACAUUACCGUUUGCAUCAGUCUUCUUCGUGAAGAUCCAUUUAUUUUCUAUGGCUCGCCGGUCAUCGGGCAAGUCCACCAAAGUCCAUACUUUGUUCUCAUACAUGGAUCCUAUCUCGGAUUUCAUAGCCUCAAGCCAUUUGUUGGAAUCCAGGCCCGCCAUCGCUUCUUCAUAGUUCGAAGGUUCACCGUUGUCUAACAACAUGAUUUCCAUUACAGGGUUGCCGUACCACUCUGGUGCGGAGCGUGCCCUUGUGGACCUUCGUGGUUCAGUAGUAACUUGAUCCGAAGCUUCAUGAUCAUUAUCAUUAACUUCCUCUUCAGUCGGUGUAGCUGCCACAGGAACAACUUCCCGCGCUGCGCUACUAUCCUGUUCGAGAGGGGAUGUAAUUACCUCAUCAAGUUCUACCUUCCUCCCACUUACUUCUUUCGAGAGAAACUCUUUCUCUAGAAAGGAUCCGUUCUUGGCAACAAAGGUUUUACCUUCGGAUCUAAGAUAUAAGGUAUACCCAAUAGUUUCCUUAGGGUAUCCUAUGAAUACGCAUUUCUCCGCUUUGGGUUCGAGCUUUUCUGGUUGAAGUUUCUUCACAUAAGCAUCGCAGCCCCAAACUUUAAGAAACGACAACUUAGGUUUCUUGCCAAACCAUAGUUCAUAAGGUGUCGUCUCAACGGAUUUAGACGGUGCCCUAUUUAAAGUGAAUGCUGCAGUUUCUAAUGCGUAUCCCCAAAAUGAUAGCGGUAAGUCAGUAAGAGACAUCAUAGAUCGUACCAUAUCUAAUAAAGUGUGAUUACGAUGUUCAGACACUCCGUUGCAUUGCGGUGUGCCAGGCGGCGUCAGUUGUGAAACGAUUCCACACUUCCUUAGGUGUGUGCCAAACUCGUGACUCAAAUAUUCUCCUCCAUGAUCAGAUCGUAGACACUUGAUUUUUCUGUCACGUUGAUUCUCGACCUCACUCUGGAAUUCCUUGAACUUUUCAAAUGUCUCAGAUUUGUGCUUCAUCAAGUAGAUAUACCCAUACCUACUCAAAUCAUCGGUGAGAGUGAGAACAUAACGAUAGCCACCGCCAGCUUCAACGUUCAUUGGACCACACACAUCAGUAUGUAUUAUUUCCAAUAAGUCGGUUGCUCUCUCCAUUAUACCUGAGAAUGGAGUCUUAGUCAUCUUGCCCAUGAGGCACGGUUCGAAUGUGUCAAAUGAUUCAAAAUCAAGAGACUCUAAUAGUCCAUCAGUAUGGAGCUUCUUCAUGCGCUUAACGCCGAUAUGACCAAGGCGACAGUGCCACGAGUAUGUAGGACUAUCAUUAUCAACUUUACAUCUUUUGUACUCACACUAUGAAUAUGUGUAACAUCACGAUCGAGAUUCAUCAACAAUAAACCAUUCACCAGCGGACCAUGACCAUAAAACAUAUCACUCAUAUAAAUAGAACAACCAUUAUUCUCUGACUUAAAUGAGUAGCCGUCUCGCAUUAAGCAAGACCCUGAUACAAUGUUCAUGCUUAAAGCUGGUACUAAAUAACAAUUAUUAAGGUUUAAAACUAAUCCCGACGGUAGAUGUAGAGGUAGCGUGCCGACGGCGAUCACAUCGACCUUUGAACCAUUCCCGACGCGCAUCGUCACCUCGUCCUUGGCCAGUCUCCGCUUAUUCCGCAGUUCCUGCUUUGAGUUGCAAAUGUGAGCAACAACACCGGUAUCAAAUACCCAGGAGCUACGACGAGCGCUGGUAAGGUACACAUCGAUAACAUGUAUAUCACAUAUACCUUUAACGUUGCCGGCCUUCUUGUCUGCUAAGUAUUUGGGGCAGUUCCGCUUCCAGUGACCUUUUCCCUUGCAAUAGAAGCACUCAGUCUCAGGCUUGGGUCCAUUCUUUUUCUUCUUCCCGGCAUCUGGCUUACCGGGUGCGGCAACAACUUUUCCGUCUUUCUUGAAGUUCUUCUUACUCUUGCCCUUCUUGAAACUAGUGGUCUUGUUGACCAUCAACACUUGAUGCUCUUUCUUGAUUUCUACUUCUACAGACUUAAGCAUCGAGUACAACUCGGGAAUGGUCUUCUCCAUCCCUUGCAUGUUGUAGUUAAGCACAAAUCCUUUGUAGCUUGGUGGGAGAGACCGGAGGAUUCUGUCAAUUAUAGCAUCAUCCGGAAGUUCGACUCCAAGUGAAGUCAGACGACCGUGUAACCCAGACAUUUUGAGUAUGUGAUCACUGACACAACUGUUCUCCUCCAUCUUACAGCUAAAGAACUUGUUGGAGACUUCAUAUCUCUCGACACGGGCAUGAGCUUGAAAAACUAGCUUCAGCUCCUGGAACAUCUCAUAUGCCCCGUGUUGAUCAAAACGCCUUUGGAGCCCCGUUUCUAAACUGUAUAACAUGCCACACCUAACCAGAGAGUAGUCAUCACUCCGCGUUUGCCAGACGUUCAAAAUGUCCUGGGCUGCUGCGGGAGCGGGAGGGUCACCUAGCAGCGCAUCAAGGACAUAAGCCUUUUUAGCUGCUUCAAUGAUGAGCUUCAAGUUGCGAACCCAUUCCGCAUAGUUGCUACCAUCAUCUUUCAGCUUGUUUUUCUCUAGGAAUGCGUUGAAAUUGAGGUUGACGUUGGCCAUCUACAAUAUUUAUAAAGACAAACCUUUUAGACUAAGUUCAUGACAAUUAACUUCAUUUAAUCAAAUUAAGUAUGAACUCCCACUUAAAUCGACAUCCCUCUAGUCAUCUAAGUGAUACAUGAUCCAUGUUGACUAACCCGUGUCCGAUCAUCACGUAAGACGGACUAGUCACCAUGGUCAGCAACUUCAUGCUGAUCGUAUUCAACCAUACGACUCAUGUUCGACCUUUCGGUCUCUUGUAUUCGAGGUCAUGUCUGUACAUGCUAAGCUCGUCGAGUCAACCUAGGUGUUUCGCGUGUGUAAAUCUGGCUUACACCCGUUGUAUGCGAACGUUAGAAUCUAUCACACCCGAUCAUCACGUGGUGCUUCGAGACAACGAACCUUCGCAACGGUGCACACUUAGGGGAAUACAUUCUCGAAAUUUUAAGAGGGAUCAUCUUAUUAUGCUACCGUCGUUCUAAGCAAUAAGAUGUGAAACAUGAUAAACAUCACAAUGCAAUCAUAUAGUGACAUGAUAUGGCCAGUAUCAUCUUCGCCCUUUCGAUCUCCAUCUUCAGGCAUCGCAUGAUCAUCAUCGUCACCGGCGUGACACCAUGAUCUCCAUCAUCAUGAUCUCCAUCACCGUAUCUCCGUGAAGUCGUCACGCCAACUACUACUAUCACUACUACUAUAGCUAACCGUUAGCAAUGAAGUAAAAGUAGUAAGGACAUGGCGUUGCAUCUCAUACAAUAAAUUAAGACAACUCCUAUGGCUCCUGUCGGUUGUCAUACUCAUCGACAUGCAAGUCAUGAAACCUAUUACAAUAACAUGAUCAUCUCAUACAUACAUGCAACAUCACAACUUUGGCCAUAUCACAUCACAUGUCAAACCCUACAAAAACAAGUUAGAGUCCUCUAAUUGUUGUUGCAAGUUUUACGUGGCUGAUUUGGGUUUCUAGCAAGAACGUCUUCUUGCCUACGUGACAGCCACAACGAUGAUAUGCCAAAGCUAUUUACCCUUCAUAAGGACCCUUUUCAUCAAAUCCAAUCUGACUAGAGUAGGAGAGACGGACACCCGCUAGCCACCUUUAUGCACGGUGUGCAUGUCUGUCGGUGGAACCAGUCUGACGUAAGCGCACGUGUAAAGUCGGUCCAGGCCGCUUCAUCCCACAAUACCGCCGGAAAAUAAUAAGACUAGUAGCGGCAAGAAAAUUGACAAAUCAUCGCCCAUAACUUAUGUGUUCUACUCGUGCAUAGAAUCUACGCAUAGAAAACCUGGCUCGGAUGCCACUGUUGGGUAACGUAGCAUAAAUUCAAAAUUUUCGUACGCAUAUUCAGAUCUUCCUAUGGAGAGACCAGCAACCAUAGAGGGGUAAGACCAUCUUCAUACCUUUGAAGAUCGCUAAGCGGAAGCGUUGCUAGAACGCAGUUGAUGGAGUCGUACUCGCAGCAAUUCGGAUCUAGUGCCGAACUACGGCACCUCCGCGUUCAACACACCUGCAGUCCGGUGACGUCUCCCGCACCUUGAUCCAACAAGGAGGAGGGAGAGGUUGGGGAAGAACUUCAGCAGCACGACGGCGUGGUGUCCAUGGAGAGACGAGGUCUCCCGGCAGGGAUUCGCCAAGCACCAGCAGAGAGGAGGAGAAAGAAGGGCAGGGUUGCGCCGAGGGAGAGGGAUAAGUCUGUCUCCCAAGGGCCAAAACCCCUCUCUAUUUAUAGGAGAGGGGGAGGGGCUGCGCCACCCCUAGGGCUCCCUCCCUAGGUGGUGCGGCAGCCACCAGAUGGGAAAGGAGGUGGCGGCUAGGGUGGGAGGGGGUGGCGCACCACCUGGUGGGCCUAAGGCCCACCUGUGCCUAGGGUUUGCCCCCCUUCCCUCUCCCGUGCGCAUUGGGAUGAGUGUGGAGGCGCACCAGCCCACCUAGGGGCUGGUUCCCUCCCCCACUUGGCCCACCUUACCUCCCGGGGUCGCUGCCCCCCUUCGGUGGACCCCAGGGCCACCUCUGGUGGUCCCGGUGGUCCCGGUACGUUACUGGUGAUGCCUGAAACACUUCUUGUGUCCGAAUCCAUCUGUCCUAUAUAUCAAUCUUUACCUCCGGACCAUUCCGGAGCUCCUCGUGAUGUCCGGGAUCUCAUUGGUGGACCCCAGGGGCCACUUUGAUGGUCCCGGUGGUCCCGGUACGUUACCGGUGAUGCCUGAAACACUUCCGGUGUCCGAAAUCAUCCGUCCUAUAUAUCAAUGUUUACCUCCGGACCAUUCCGGAGCUCCUCGUGACGUCCGGGAUCUCAUCCGGGACUCCGAACAACUUUCGGUAACCUCAUAUAACAAUUCCCUAUAACCCUAGCGUCACCGAACCUUAAGUGUGUAGACCCUACGGGUUCGGGAGACAGGCAGAUAUGACCGAGACACUUCUCUGGCCAAUAACCAUCAGCGGGGUCUGGAUACCCAUGGUGGCUCCCACUUGCUCCAUGAUGGUCUCAUCGAAUGAACCACGAUGUCAAGGAUUCAAUCAAUCCCGUAUACGAUUCCCUUUGUCUGUCGGUAUAGAACUUGCUCAAGAUUCGAUCGUCGGUAUGCCUAUACCUUGUUCAAUCUCGUUACCGGUAAGUCUCUUUACUCGUUCCGUAGCACGUCAUCGCGUGACUAACUCCUUAGUCACAUUGAGCUCAUGAUGAUGUUCUACCGAGUGGGCCCAGAGAUACCUCUCCAUCAUACGGGGUGACAAAUCCCGAUCUCGAUUCGUACCAAUGUCACACAGAGUGACUGAUGGGGUCAUAGUCCUAGGGUAGGGUCAUAGGCCUGCCCUACAUGUCCUACCCAAGGACUACCCCACACAAAGGACAGGACCUUAAGUCUGCCCCGACUGAAUUAAGGUAUCCUCAUCAUCCAGUCGGUAAGAGGCCCUGAAUCAUCCAGUCGGUAACUAGCAUUCGGAGGACACGAGGCUCACCGACUGGAUACACUCGGUACGUCGUAACCUCUCCGGAGGGAAACUGAUGUACGUUUCCGGGUGCAUUUAUUAGCAUUUAGAGCAUACGCUACCUGUAACGUACGCAUUCAAUCGCCACUACUCCACCCCUGAGUCAGAACCAUUGUGGGGGGCAGCGCACUCUAUAUAAGCCGCCCUCCCUCACUGGUAAAGGGGUUAGAAAAACAUUGUACUCCAUAUUACACUCGGUAACAAGCUCCGAGAGCACUGAGACGUAGGGCUAUUACCUCCACCGUAGAGGGGCCUGAACUCAUACAACCUCGCCGUAGCUAGGACUCUGCCCAUCUCAUUCGUACCCUACACAUCUACUGCCAGGCUUAUACCCACGACAGUUGGCGCCCACCGUGGGGCAGGCGUCUAAGCGACUUUCGGCGAGUUUGCGACUACUUCCUUUCGUCAUGUCGUCCGGUGGAGAUUCGAGCAUGGGUCACCAGAUCCUCUUCGGUGCUCUCUCCUUCGUCGUCGACGAUUCGGCGUGGCUUUGGGAAGCACCUCUCGACGUCGAGGCGCUUCCCCGUCGCGGGGCCACGCACUUCUGUGCCGACGCUCGCGGCGUUCUUCUUCUCCAACAAUCGGCUCCAUUGCCGGCUUGCACCUUCGUCACGCGCCGCAAUAAGCGGUCCCGUAGUCCACGUCUCCAACGUUAGGUGCAACAUGCCCGAGCGCGUCAGAUCGCGUCCUCUCAGGUGGCAGUUCUGGAGUCUGUUGUGGUUGCCCCGCGUUCCCAGUGCUCGGGCUCGGUUACGACUGAGCUCCCUUCCGAGUACGCGGGUCGUGGGCCUGCAGCAGAAGUACACAUGGACAACUCCCACGAAGAUCCCCGUCAAGCCGACCGAGGUGAAAUCGGCGAAGCAUCCGGUGCGCGCCGUCCGCCUCGUCGUUCUGCCAGUCGACACACUCGGCGGAGCAACGUGGAGUUGUUCCGCACACCUCUCCUCAACUUGGUCGCGGCUGCCCAGAUUGCCGAUUCCCUCCAGCCGACUGAUUCGGAGGCAGGCAGGGGAAUCGAGCAAAUCCGAGCUCUGUUGCGCACGGCGCAGCAGCACAAUUCGGCAGUCUCCCAGUCACACAAUCGGAUCCACAAUAGUUCCGUCCAUGCAAACACGCAUCGAUCGGUUCACAGUCCUGGUUCUCAUCAGUAUCGCUGCCGCUCACGCACCCCUCCGCGGGGUGGGCCCUAUGGGUCCCGACAUCAUGAUGAUCGGCGUUCGGUCGGCGACACUUACGACCCAAGACCCGACGCGAGGGGGCGAAUCGCCCAGCGAAGAGUCGACAGGGGUCGAGCCCACCGCGAUGGUCGCGAUAUGGACCAUCCGAAUGGAAGCAGGACCAUCGUGUCCGGCCCCGAGUGUUUUAGUCGAGCCAUCCGCUCGGCUGAUAUCCCGCCCAACUUCCGAUUAGCAGCGGGAAUCGGUAAAUUCUCAGGGGAGUCCAAGCCCGAAACAUGGCUAGACGACUACCGAGUGGCAGUCCAGAUCGGAGGAGGAGACGACCAUCUCGCUAUGAAGCACCUCCCUCUGAUGCUCGACGGCUCGGCUCGAGCUUGGCUGAACCAGUUGGCCCCUCAAGCAUUUACAGUUGGGCAGAUCUAGCCCGAGUGUUCAUCAGAACCUUCGAAGGGACGUGCAAGCGCCCUGCAGGUCUUGUGGAGCUUCAGCACUGUGUCCAGAAGCCGAAUGAGCCUCGCGCGACUUCAUCCAGCGAUGGACGACUCUCUACCACAUGGUGGAGAACGUCACCGAGCAUGAAGCAGUCUGCGCCUUCAAGGCAGGCGUGCGGUACAGAGAACUGUACUUGAAGUUCGGUCGAACGGGCGACAUCUCCAUGAGCAAGAUGAUGGAGAUAGCGGCUCGCUACGCAGAUAGCGAAGAAGAGGACCACAUCCGGAGCGGCAAACACAAGACAGUCGGCGAUGCCGACGGAGGUAACACUUGGAAGCAGAAACAAAAGGUUCCGCCCACACCGCAAGCAGAAGCCGCAGCUGUAACCAGCGCCAAGUUCAAGGUAAAAGGGAAAGCGCAGUUCACCCCCAAGAAGAAGCCUUUCAACAAUCCCAUCCUGGACCAGCCUUUUCCAGUUCACUCGAAGAUGGACGAGGAAGGCAACCCCAUAUACGCGAAGCACACCACUCGGCAGUGCCAUCUCCUGAUCCAGGGGUUCAGCGAAGGGCAGCCGAGUGAGAAGAAUCCCGAACAGGAUGAGGAGGACAAGGAGGAUCCGUUCCCCCAAGUCCAUGCAACCCUCAUGAUUUUUGCUGACGUCGAAAGCAAGAGUCGACUGAAGUUGGUGAACAGAGAAGUCAACAUGGCCGUUCCGACUGCCCCCAAGUUUCUCAAAUGGUCUGAGACUGCGAUCACCUUUGACCAGUCGGAUCAUCCAACACAUGUUCCCACCCCAGGAAGGCAGGCUCUGGUCAUCGACCCGGUGGUGGAAGGAGUCCGACUGCGCAAAGUCCUCAUGGACGGCGGUAGCGGACUGAAUAUUAUGUACGCUGACACUCUCAAGGGGAUGGGCAUUCCGAUGUCCAGACUCAGCGAGAGCAAUAUGCAGUUCCACGGAGUCGUCCCUGGACGGAAGGCCAAGUCACUCGGCCAGAUCGCAUUGGAAGUCAUCUUCGGUUCUGACAAGAACUUUCGCAAGGAGAAGCUCACAUUUGAGGUGGUGGAUUUCCAGAGCGCUUAGCAUGCAAUUCUGGGCCGCCCGGCAUACGUGAGUUUCAUGGCACGCCCGUGCUAUGUGUACUUGAAGUUGAAGAUGCCAGGUCCAAAAGGCGUUAUCACCAUCACCGGCAACCGCCAGCGAGCCGAGGAGUGUCUGCAAGAGGGAUCAAGGAUCGCCGACCAGCAGAGUCUGUACUCGAGCUCGAAGAGUACAAGAAGACAGUCGACCCUGCCGACUUAAUGCGCUCAAAGAAGCCAGCUUCUGAGUCCGCGUUCCAGUCGGCGGGAGAGACUAAGAAGGUCAGCAUCCACCCGACGGACGAGUCUGCCGCCCUGACGAACAUCUCCACCACCCUAGAUCCUAAAUAGGAAGCCGAGCUCACCGAAUUCCUCCGUGAGAACUAGGACAUCUUCGCAUGGAAGCCAUCUGACAUGCCGGGUGUACCUAGGGAGUUGGAUGAGCACCGACUACAUGUGGAUCCCGCCGCUCGGCCUGUCCGAGAGCGCCUGCGCCGGUCCACCGCGCACAAGAGGAAGGCAAUCGGAGAAGAGGUGGCUAAGCUGCUAGCUGCCAACUUCAUUCGCGAGGUUCACCACUCCGAGUGGCUUGCCAAUGUCGUCAUGGUGCCCAAGAAGGACAAGUCACUCCGAAUGUGCAUUGACUUCAAGCACCUCAAUAAGGUCUGCCCGAAAGACCAUUUUCUGCUCCCCCGCAUAGAUCAAAUUGUCGAUUCGACUGCAGGAUGCGAGCGUUUUUCAUUUCUUGAUGCCUACUCGGGUUAUCAUCAUAUCCGUCUGUAUGGUCCCGAUGAGUUGAAAACAGCUUUCAUCACCCCGUUUGGGUGCUUCUGCUACAUCACUAUGCCUUUCGGUCUGAAGAAUGCAGGAGCUACCUUUAUGCGCAUGAUCCAAAAAUGUCUCCUCGACCAGAUUGGUCGCAAUGUGGAGGCAUACAUGGAUGAUAUCAUAGUCAAGUCACGCAAAGGUUCCGAGCUGCUGACUGACUUGGCAGAAACAUUCGCCAACCUUUGUAGGUACAAUAUCAAGCUAAACCCAGCCAAAUGUUCAUUCGGUGUUCCCAGCGGAAAGUUACUCGGUUUCUUCGUUUCCGAGCGAGGGAUCGAUGUUAGCCCCGAAAAGAUCGGGACCAUCGUCUGAAUGGAGAGGCCGGUCAGAAUACACGAUGUUCAACGGCUCACAGGUUGCCUAGCGGCUUUGAGCAGGUUCAUCAGUCGACUCGGCGAAAAAGCACUUCCUCUGUACCGACUCAUGAAGAAGUCAGAUACCUUCGAGUGGACAGACGAAGCCCAAGUCGCAUUCGACGACCUCAAAGUCCUACUUUCCACCCAGCCGGUUCUUACUGCUCCGCUCAGUAAAGAUCCCCUUCUUCUAUAUAUCGUGGCUACAAAUCAAGUCGUCAGUACUGUUCUUACAGUCGAGCGAGAAGAAGAAGGCAAAGCAUACAAAGUUCAGCGGCCAGUGUACUACGUCUCCGAAGUCCUGACACCUUCCAAGUAGAGGUAUCCCCACUAUCAAAAGCUUAUCUAUGGGAUCUAUAUGACUCCAAAGAAGGUGGCCCCUUAUUUCCAAGACCACUCGGUAUCUGUCGUUUCUGAUGCUCGGUUGUCGAAAAUUCUCCACAAUCGGGACGCAUCGGGCCGAGUGGCGAAGUGGGCGAUGGAGAUGCUGUACUGCGACAUCAAGUUCGAGGCCAAGAAAGCUAUUAAGUCUCAAGCCCUGGCUGACUUUAUAGCAGAAUGGGUAGAACAACAACAACCGACUCACAUCUACUCGGCUCAUUGGACAAUGUUCUUUGAUGGGUCUAAGAUGUUGAAUGGAUCCGGCGCUGGUGUUGUGAUCAUAUCGCCAAAGGGCGACAAGCUCAAGUACGUGCUUCAGAUACACUUUGAUUCCUCUAACAACGAGGCAGAGUAUGAAGCUCUUCUCUAUGGAUUGCGCAUGUCCAUCUCACUCGGCGUCCGUCGCCUGAUGGUCUACGGCGAUUCGGACUUGGUGGUCAACCAAGUGAUGAAAGAGUGGGACGUAAGGAACCCCACCAUGACGACAUACUGCAAUGCAGUUAGGAAGCUGGAGAAGAAGUUUGAAGGUCUAGAACUUCAUCAUGUUCCAAGACUGAAGAACCAAGCAGCGGACGAGUUGGCGAAACUCGGAUCCACUCGGAGACCAGUCCCGAGUGAUGUCUGCCUUGAGCACCUCCAUCUUCCUUCAGUUAAAGAAGAUCCCUUCACGGAAGAACCAGUACAACCAAGAGCGCAACAGAUCCGACUGAAGUCGAUGUGCCUGCUGUGGUUGAUCUGGUCACAGAGAUUCUGGUAAUCAUUCCCGAUUGGGCUGUGCCGAUCAUGGCAUAUAUCCUGAGACAAGAACUUCCAGAAGAUGAAGUCCAAGCCCGGCAAAUAGUUCGCAGGUCGAAGGCAUUCACUGUCAUUGACGGUCAAUUGUACAAGGAGAGUGUUUCAGGCGUCCUCCAACGUUGCAUUUCCCCAGAGGAAGGACAGUUGAUCCUAGAGGAUAUCCACUCGGGAACCUGCAGCCAUGACGCUUCUUUGAGAGCAAUCAUCGCCAAGGCGUUCAGAGCUGGAUUCUUCUGGCUGCAGGCUAACGAGAUGGCCAAAGCUAUGGUCGACCGAUGCGAAGGCUGUCAGUUCUACUCCAACAAGUCCCACAAGCCAACAUCUGCACUAAAGACAAUCCCACUUGUGUGGCCAUUUGUAGUUUGGGGAUUAGACACAGUCGGACCAUUCAAGACAGGCCAAGGAGGCUACACACAGCUGUUGGUGGCAGUCGACAAGUUUACAAAAUGGAUAGAAGCUAAGCCCAUCAAGAAACUCGACGCCUCCACAGCCGUUAAGUUUGUCAGGGACAUCAUCUCCAGAUUCGGAGUGCCUCACAGCAUAAUCACGGACAAUGGGACAAACUUCGACUCGGACAGAUUCAAAGGUUUCUGUGCGAGUCAGGGUAUCCGAGUGGAUUUUGCUUCCGUAGCAUAUCCGCAAUCCAAUGGACAAGCUGAGCGUGCGAAUGGACUUAUCCUUCAAGGUUUGAAACCUCGACUCUUGCGAGUGGUAGGACAUGCUGCUGGUGCAUGGGUAACCGAGUUACCUUCAGUACUUUGGGGCCUCCGCACCACUCCGAAUAGAUCAACAGGGCGAUCACCGUUCUUCCUCGUCUAUGGAGCAGAAGCGGUCCUUCCGAGUGACCUGCUUCACAAUGCCCCGCGAGUCGAACUCUUCUCCGAAGCCGAAGCAGAACAAGCAAGGCAAGAUGGAGUCGAUCUUCUAGAGGAGGAGCACGAGAUGGCACUUACUCGCUCAACAAUUUACCAGCAAGAUCUGCGACGUUUUCAUGCACGUCAUGUCAGGAGCCGCACAUUCCAAGCUGGCGAUUUGGUGCUCCGAGUGGAUCGGCAAAGACCACACAAGUUGGCUCCGGCCUGGGAAGGGCCUUUCAUCAUUUCCAAGGUGCUGAACAAUGGGGCAUACAGACUCUACAACAUUCAGAGGGAGACAGACGAGCCACGCGCAUGGAACGGAGACCUCCUCAAUCGUUUUUAUACGUGAUCGUCGACUGAAGCAGUGUAACGAACAAGUUUUGACGAAAUAAUAUACAACAGAUUCAGUUUUUUGGCAGAUUCAGAGUUCUUCCGCGGUUGCAGACUACGGUCACACACACACACACAAAAACGUAGCUGCGAUCCCGAAUCGCCUAAGUACUACCUUCCUCCGAGUGUGCACUAUACGUCGCACUCGAGGACUUAGCUGCGAUCCUCAAUCGCCUAAGUACUAACCUCCUUCGAGUGUGCACUAUACGUCGCACUCGGGGACUUAGCUGCGAUCCUGCAUCGCCUAAGUACUAACCUCCUUCGAGUGUGCACUAUACAUCGCACUCGGGGACUUAGCUUUGAUCCUGCAUCGCCUAAGUAAUAACCUCCUUCGAGUGUGCACUAUACGUCGCACUCGGGGACUUAGCUGCGAUCCUGCAUCGCCUAAGUACUAACUUCCUUCCAGUGUGCACUAUACGUCACACUCGGGGACUUAGCUGUGAUCAAGAAUCGCCUAAGUAUUAACUUCCACCUCCUUCGAGUGCGCACUAUACGUCACACUCGGGGACUUAGCUGUGAUCAAGAAUCACCUAAGUACUAACCUCCUUCGAGUGUGCACUAUAAGUCGCACUCGGGCACUUAGCUGCGAUCCUGCAUCGCCUAAGUACUAACCUCCUUCGAGUGUGCACUAUAAGUCGCACUCGGGCACUUAGCUGCGAUCCUGCAUCGCCUAAGUACUAACCUCCUUCGAGUGUGCACUAUAAGUCGCACUCGGGCACUUAGCUGCGAUCCUGCAUCGCCUAAGUACUAACCUCCUUCGAGUGUGCACUAUAAGUCGCACUCGGGCACUUAGCUGCGAUCCUGCAUCGCCUAAGUACUAACCUCCUUCGAGUGUGCACUAUACGUCGCACUCGGGGACUUAGCUGCGAUCCUGAAUCGCCUAAGUAUUAACAUCCUUCGAGUGCGCACUAUACGUCACACUCGGGGACUUAGCUGCGAUCCUGAAUCGCCUAAGUAUUAACCUCCUUCGAGCGCGCACUAUACGUCGCACUCGGGGACUUAGUUGCGAUCCUUAAUCGCCUAAGUAUUAACCUCCUCCGAGUGUGCAUUAUACAUCACACUCGGAGACUUAGUUGUGAUCAAGAAUCACCUAAGUACUAACCUCCUCCGAGUGUGCACUAUACGUCACACUCGGGAACUUAGCUGUGAUCACGAAUCACCUAAGUCUUAAUAUUAUCCGAGUACACACUAAGUGUUGCACUCGAAACAGAAUUCAAGCAAAAGACUAAAUGUUUUCAUUCCGACUCCAACAGUCUAGAAACAAUAAUUGACUCGGUGCGGAUCAAGCUUACCCGCACCGAUUUAAAAGUUUGACGGCCAACAGAAGUGGCCAGAGUAUCUUACAGGCAAACACUCGGCAUACCGAGGAUAAAGUUUGAUCACGCGUCAGCUGGGCCGGCGUCAGGACUGGAGGGCUCCACAAAAGUAUCCAAGUCGAUUCCAUCAGCAAUGCGGGUAGCAGUCUCCAGGAACGUCUCCAUGAAGUCUUCGAAUCGAAGCUUCUUCGUGUUGGCGACCUUCAAUGCUUUCAGCUUAUCUUCCCGCACCUCCUUGCAAUGGACUCGGACCAAGGACAGCGCAACAUCAGCACCGCAACGCGCUGCCGAUUUCUUCCACGAUUGCACUCGGCUCGGAACCUCCUCCAGUCGGCUCGUCAGGGUCUCCAUCCCCUCCUGCGACUCGUCUUCUGGCCAAAGUUCCUUGUUAAUUCGGCCGACGACUUCUCUCAGUCGACCGAUGAAAGGACCUACUUUGCCUACGUGGAUAUGUGCUCGGAGCAGAUCCCGAUUGGCGUCCUCACCGAGUGGAACUUUGUCCUUAACAGACCGCUCCACAGCUGCUGCCUCAGCUUCCGCGUCUCCGCAAAAGUCUGCAACAAACGAGCAAGCAUACAAUGAAAACCGAGUGUACGACACACCGUACAACCACUCAAUAAAGCAUAAAACUUACCAGCCAGACGAGUCAUCAUUUGCGCAGCCCAGUCGGUGACAUACUUCUCUUGAGCUAAGCAUCAUCUGUUCAGGACGCCCAUCUGAUUGUGACACUCAGUCCUGUGUUUCUUCAGUCUCUCCACCUCUGCCUCAACACCCUGUUUGCUUCCAGGGCCUCCUCCAAAGACUUCUCUCGAACUUCCAGCGCGUCUUUCAUGCCGGCCAUGGCGAGCGUUGCAGCUUCCAGUUCACCAGCAUACUGGUUCCUUUCCGCUCUAAGGGCUUCAUAAGCAGUUCCCAUUUCACAAGUUUUCUGCACCAAGAAACAAAGGGUAAUCAGCAAGUUUAUCAGUUCACAGGCUAAGUUCUUCAGACCCCCUGCCGACGCAAGCGGUCGACAGCGGUCUCGGGGACUACACCCAGUGGGUUCACUAAGAGUGACCCCACUAGCAUGCACCUCAAACAGGUCUGCCCUAUUGAGGUGCACGUUUUCACCUACGCCUCCGAGGCCAAUACUACUCGACCUGCGUGCAAUUUACUCUCGGGGCCUCUUACCGCAAGAGUGCUCCGACUGCAGUAAGUACUCGCACUCGGAAAUCUUGUCUACGGACAAAACCAAACUAAAGACCAAAUGUAUAAAGACAACUGUCGGUGCAAGCACUCGACAGAAGUCUCGGGGACUACACCCACUGGUUCACUCGGAGUGAACCCAUUGCAAAAAUAAUACCACUCAGUGGGUUAUAGGAGAAAAGUAAAUACUUACUAGACUACUUACUCGAAUGUCGUCGCGCAGCUCCAAGCUCCGCUGGUACAACGCCGCAACGGAGUCAAAAGCCCUCUUGGCUUCUCCAGCCAUGAGCUCCGCCUGCACCAUAGCCCCCUUGGCCGCUCCCACCUGCUCCUUUGGAAGACGCCGGAUGCUGAAUUCAACAUUCGACGAACCGGGAAUCGUGGGAGGCCCCUGGGGCAUCCCAAGAUCCACCCCAGUCGGGUCCUCCCCCGUCGGCACCGGUUCAGUCGGUGGAGGCGCUUCGGUCGGCGGAGCGUUGGCGACAAGGGCGGCAGCAGGAGGAGCAGCCUCAGGGAAUGGCUCCAGGACCGGCUCCACGGCGGGGUCGGCUCUCCCUUGCUCGUCCUCGUCCAGGUGAAUCGCCCCUGACAAGCCGAAUGGCGCGACGACUCAGAAAAAGAAAAGGAUGGCACAAUCUACUGGAAUAAAACACCCGACUCUCCUACAACAUACCUGGCUGGGACGAGACGACGUUGUCCAUGUCCAUGGGGUCAUCCCCUUGGCGGGCCGGAGAGGUUGCAGAAGUGGCGACCCUGUUGAGUGAAGCCCAUUCGACUUGUAAAGCAGGAGUUCACUCGGAUAACGUAAAAAGCCGAAAGUUAGAUUCACUUACGUGGAUGUGACGGGGAUGGCAACCCUCAUGCGCGGCAGAGCCUUCCGAGGUUUGGGCCCACUCGGUUUGGGCGCCCUGGAAGACUGGCCUGCGGGCUCGGCGGGGGCGUCCCUGGACCUCUUCGUGCCUCGAGCACUCGGGGCCACCAGAGCGGCAGGCGGAGCACUCGACGACGUAGGAGGAGCUGAAGGGACGGCAGGCUUGUGUCGACGCUUACUCCGAUGCUCUGGCCGUGGAGGUGGCGAGUCGCGCUCUUCGUCUUCUUCCUCCUCCUUGCUGUCCUCCUCCUCUGACUCCCCGCUGUCGGAGACGUAUUUUGCGCUCUCCACGCUCCCCUCCUGGCUGCCUUCCUCCUCUUCCUCCUCCGGAUUCCCGUUCGAGACGGGGGAGAACCAGUUGGUCCACUCCUGCAUGAGGAUCAGUCGGAAACGUUAAACAUCACACGAGGAUAUAAAUAAACGACUGGAAUAAAGACGAUUCGACGCACUCGGCUGAUGCCACUCACCUGAUUCGGUGGAGGGUUGUCCGCGCUGUAAGGCGCCACUCGGCAAGCUCCUUUAGGGUUCUCACAAGGACCCGUGAUUUGGAGCACUAACGAGGUCACCUUCUCCUCGAGUAUGCCCACCACGAUGGUCCGAGUGGAAUCCUCGGGCCCUGUGUAGUGUCACAUAGCGUGGUCCCGAGCAUGCAGAGGCUGGAUCCGCCGACCGAUGAAGACUUCCAGCAGGUCUAUACCGGUUACUCCUCUCCUGACAACGUCCACGAGUGCCUCAACCAAAGGCUGGAUAUCGUUCUUCUCGGCCUUGGAGAGCGCGAGUUGUUUGGGUGGAGCAGGACGGUCUAGACUAAACGGAGGCAGCCCAGUCGAAGCAUUCGGACAGGCUAUGUCCUGGCAAUAGAACCACGUCGACUUCCAGUUCCUGACCGACUCGCUCAACUGGAGAGCGGGAUAGCUACUCCGACUCUUCUUCUGAAACCCUAAACCCCCGCAGAGCUGGAGGAGAUGCGUCUUGUCAUCCAACUGACUAAGACAUUUGAUGGUUUGAGAGCGGGCGGAGAAGAUAUGUUUGAAUAAACCCCAAUGGGGGGGCAACCGAUAAAGCACUCGCACAAAACAAUGAAGGCAGAAAGAUGGGCGAUGGCAUUCAGAGGGAAGUGAUGGAGUUGAGCACCAAAAUGAUUCAUGAUGCCUUUAAAGAAGGGAUGCGGGGGCAGAGAGAAACCUCUGUGAACAUGGCUGAGGAGCAAGACGCGCUCCCCCUCCCGUGGCGCCGGCUUGACCUCGUCGUCCGCCGGCAACCUCCAGGACUUAUGCGCGAGCAGGCCGUGCUCUACCAGCUCCAGCAGGUCCCCCUCCGUCACCGUGGAGGGGAGAAAGUCUCCCUGGAUCCACCCCGCUGGCAACGGCCGCUGCCGCCGUUGAGCAGCUGCCACCUUGCUCUUCUUCUUCCUCGCCUCCAUCUUGCUGGUCUGACCUUUGGUCAUGGAGGCGACGACGAGCUCUCGAGAAGGAGAGGAAGAGAGGGGUGUAUGAGCGCAGGAGGUGGCAAGGAAGACGGAGCAGGCAAGAGCGAAAGAUUCGGCGAGCGUAACCGAAGGGUCUCGUCGCCCAGAGUUAAAUAGAGCACCGACUGGGUCGCUGGCGAGCGGGCUCGAAAUCUUAUCUACCCAACCAGCCGCGGCGAUAUCAGUGGAGGAGUUGAAGGCGCAAGGACCGAGGAGUCAGGCGCUACUCGAGCGCGCUGACGUCGUCCCCGCUGAGCGCGCGGAACCCGAAAUUUGAGAUCCCGGAAAAUCCGCCGCUGUCAGUUGACUGGUCGCGUCAAAAGAUGCCGUGGAAGCACUCGGUUCCCGACAGUCUGUUUCGCAAGCACUUCCACUCGGAGCGUUGGUCGAGAGAGAUAAAAUGGAUAGAGGCAAGCAAUGCCCAAGCCGAACCUAGUUCAGUCGGAUCUGAACCUCAAGCACCGCUUCUACGUUUCAACCCCAAUCCAUUCGGGGACUAAUGAUGGGGUCAUAGUCCUAGGGUAGGGUCAUAGGCCUGCCCUACAUGUCCUACCCAAGGACUACCCCACACAAAGGACAGGACCUUAAGUCUGCCCCGACUGAAUUAAGGUAUCCUCAUCAUCCAGUCGGUAACAGGCCCUGAAUCAUCCAGUCGGUAACUAGCAUUCGGAGGACACCAGGCUCACCGACUGCAUACACUUGGUACGUCGUAACCUCUCCGGAGGGAAACUGCCGUACGUUUCCGGGUGCAUUUAUUAGCAUUUAGAGCAUACGUUACCUGUAACGUACGCAUUCAAUCGCCACUACUCCACCCCUGAGUCAGAACCGUUGUGGGGGGCAGCGCACUCUAUAUAAGCCGCCCUCCCCCACUGGUAAAGGGGUUAGAAAAACAUUGUACUCCAUAUUACACCCGGUAACAAGCUCUUUCACAUGUUAGGAAUUUUGUUAAUUUAAAAGCAAAGAGAUUAUUAUUUUUUUCUAAAAUAAAUUGCAUUAAUUAAAGAGAUAAAAGUGUGGUUGGAUAAGUUAGGAAAGCGAGAUCUGUGUUUUUCUUAUGUUAAAAAAGUGUUGAAUUGAAAGAAAAGAGUAGACAGAAAAAUAAAUCAAUAGAUAAGGAAACUAGCGAAAGGGGAUGAUGGAAUGUGGGAUGAAAAAUAACCGCAAAAAACCAAUGUACCAAAAAAACAUGUAUAUCGGGCUACCAACUUCUCAAUUAAAAUUAGAGAUAAAUGAAUGGACUGUCGCAAUACCACGAAGUACUUGAUCCCUAAUUUCUGCAGUGAUACGUGUACUAAUUGAAUGUUGAUCCCCUAACUUCAGCAGUGAUACGUGAUGCACUACUUAAAGGUUUUACGGUUCCCCACAUGUUCUCCUAUGACUGUUUUUUUGCCCCUUCGCUCAUCCUCCUAGCGAACACAGCACCUGAUGAUGGUGCCGUCGAUUUUUUUUUUAAAAGGGUGGAUUUUAUUAUUGAAAUUAAAGCAUCAAGUCAAUACAAUCAAAAUAAACAUAAAUCCGGCCUCUGCAAAGCUAGAAUGCACAUAGCCAACACUAACCAACACGGAAAAACCGCCGACAAAUAACAAAGUUAUGGCCGGAGGUUUAACCUCCUUUUCUAAAAAAAAAAAUAAAAAAAAAAAUAACAAAGUUAUAUAAGACCAAAGCUAUGCCUAAGCAAGAAAAAAAUACGAAAUGAUUAAAUCCGCGGUAGACAGUCUACAACAAUAACCAUAUCCGCACCAACCAUUUCAUGACAUCACAAAGACAACGGGGUUCUUUAAAAACAACGCCUUCAGGAAGGGACCUUGUCUCGUGUAGCCUUAGGGCUAUGGGAGCACGAUGGAUCCCGAUUCUUGCCGGUGGGAGGGCUUCGUUUUUAUGCGUUUCUUUGUGUUUUAUUAAGGUUUGUGUCAUGUUCAAAAAACCGAGUCGGUGGUGUCUCUCUCAAGAGGGAAUAAUGGUCUCCCCGUCUAGCCCCGUCCCCGUGGUGCAUCUAGCAUCGUCAGAGGGUGUCUGGGGGUAUCGCUUUGGCGGAUCUCGCAGGAUCCGCUCGAUAGUUGUCUUUGAUGGAUCUACUUGGAUCUAGUCUUCGUUCGUCUACACGAGUGUAUCUUCAGGUUGGAUACUUUUGAUUUAUGCUUAAUCUUCAUCACUGAUGGUUGCUCUUCUGGUGCGCUGGUCUUAUGGGGUCUCGGCACGAAGGGUCUUAGCACGAAGACUUCAUGAUUGUCUACUACAACAAGUUUUGCUCUGCUUCGAUAAGGAACUGGUGAAGACGACGACGUGCCUUCGGCUCGCUUCAACGCUUGUAGUCGUCGCUGGUGGUCUACGGAUCUAGAUGUAAUUUUAUUAUAUUUAGUGUCUGUUAUACUGUCAUGAUAGACAAUGGAUAUAUUGAAAGUUUUUUGAAAAAAACAAAAACAAUUGUUUUUGUGUGACACAAUCGUGAAACAGUUGAACACAUGAUUUACAACUUCACACCAGAUACUUACCAGUACAUGAUUUACAACUUCACACCAGUACAUAUCUUGCAAUAAGUCCGAACCUACUUACCAGCAAUCUUAGUACUUUUAAUGACUGUCCUUUCUCGUUUUUAAUGUGCACGAUCUUAUUUCCUUCAGGGCAAAGAGUCGUCAUGUUUGGUGCAAAUGUACAACUAAAUCAUUGCCUGUGUUUGUGUGCCCCUUUUCCAAAGAAAGCCAUUAUGUGCUCCAGUGCUUUUGGGAUGUUAUUUGAGUGACUAUAAUUAAAAUCCAUAAUGGCCUAUUGCUUAUAGGCUUUAGUUUGAUGUUACGGAUUCAGGUUGUGGAGAAGCUCAUGGUCUAAUUAUAAUCAAUAGUGGUCAUCUCUUAUUUGUUGCGUAUGUAAAGUUGAUAUGCCAAUUAGAUAUUCACCAUUGUAAUGGGUGUAUCGUGUAUAGAUUAUGAAAAAACCUCCGCGUCUUAAUCCAUCAAGCUGUAAAAAAACUUAAUCCAUCAUAGUCACUAAAACUCAUACACUGCAAGAAGCAAACAAGGCACCAAUUGAAAAGCUCGGAAAGCCACGGCGUAGUACGCCUUGAACUGGUUAGGAAAAAAGGCAGAUCCAUUACUUAUUGUAUCCUUGAACCAACCGUCUCAGAUAUAUGAAAGACCACAAUAUGAAAAAUANNNNNNNNNNNNNNNNNNNNNNNNNNNNNNNNNNNNNNNNNNNNNNNNNNNNNNNNNNNNNNNNNNNNNNNNNNNNNNNNNNNNNNNNNNNNNNNNGAUACAAAAACAAAAGAGGAGAUGAGAACAAACGUCCCAUGACAAAGAUGAACUCGGUAGAUACUCCUUGUGCGCUUGUCCAAGAUUAGAUUCUCCUGUAUUGCUCACAUACUUCCGAGGAAACCCUAAAUCUAGUCUUUCAAAAUGGAUGAUGGCGAAGCUAUUAGCUUUGCUUAAUACCGUGUUUCAUGUUGGGGGCAUCGUCUUGGAGGUGGAUCGAGUAAGAGGGCACAUGGCUUAUGGAGGUGAUUCGUGGCGGCUUGCAUAGCAUUACAGUGGGGGUGUGCGUGAGACCGCUGAUGGUGGAAAGCUAUGACAUUCCCGGAUUAAGCUACAUUAACCUCGUAAUUAAGCUACAAUAACCCCUAUAAUCAAGCUACAGUAAUCAUCAUGAUUAAAUUAAUGCUUUUGCUACGCAGUGCUUGAUCAAACUUUGGAUCAUUUCUCAUUUUAAAUUUCUAUUAAAAUUCAAAAUUCAGUUAAUAAGUGGAAUAAAUAUUUUGUCAAACAUGAAAAAAAAUCAUGAUUAGAUUGCAAAUAUUCACGUGAUAAUUAUAAAAUAUGAAACCUUAUUUUAUAAAACUAACCCAACCGGCCACUAUACCACCUCGGGUAUUUAAGCCCCCACUCCCCAUGUAAACCCUAACCCCCACUCAUUCCUGUUGAAAAUAUGCCCUCGAGGCAAUGAUAAAUAGUUAUUAUUAUAUUUCCUAUUUAAAGAUAAUCGUUUAUUAUCCAUGCUAUAAUUGUAUUGAAUGAAAACAUAGAUACAUGUGUGUAUAUAUAGACAAAACAAUGUCCCUAGCAAGCCUCUAGUUGGCUGGCCAGUUGAUCAAUGAUAGUCAAGGUUUUCUGGCUAUAUGCAAGUGUUGUAACUUGAUAACUGGAUCACAUCAUUAGGAGAAUCAUGUGAUGGACUAGACCCAAACUAUGAACGUAGCAUAUUGAUCGUGUCGUUUUAUUGCCAUUGUUUUCUGCGUGUCAAGUAUUUGUUCCUAUGACCAUGAGAUCAUAUAACUCACUGGCACCGGAGGAAUACCUUGUGUGCAUCAAACAUCGCAACGUAACUGGGUGACUAUAAAGGUGCUCUACAAAUAUCUCCAAAAGAGUCCGUUGAGUUAGUAUGGAUCAAGACUGGGAUUUGUCACUCUGUGUGACGGAGAGGUAUCUCGGGGCCCACUCGGUAAUACAACAUCACACACAAGCCUUGCAAGCAAUGUGACAAUUGUAAGUUACGGAAUCUUGUAUUACAGAACGAGUAAAGAGCCUUGCCGGUAACGAGAUUGGAAUAGGUAUGCGGAUACCGACGAUCAAAUCUCGGGCAAGUAACAUACCGAAGGACAAAGGGAAUGACAUACGGGAUUAUAUGAAUCCUUGACACUGAGGUUCAACCGAUAAGAUCUUCGUAGAAUAUGUAGGAUCCAGUAUGGGCAUCCAGGUCCCGCUAUUGGAUAUUGACCGAGGAGUGCCUCGGGGCAUGUCUACAUAGUUCUCGAACCCGCAGGGUCUGCACACUUAAGGUUCGAUGAUGUUUUAGUAUAGUUGAGUUAUAUGUGUGGUUACCGAAUGUUGUUCACAGUCCCGGAUGAGAUCACGGACGUCACGAGGGUUUCCGGAAUGGUCCGGAAAGAAAGAUUGAUAUAUAGGAUGGUUUCAUUUGGUCACCAGAAAGUUUCGGGCAAUUCCGGCAUUGUACCGGGAGUGACGAAUGGGUUCCGGGAGUUCAUCGGGAGGGGCCCACUCACCCGGGAGUGAGCCCAAGGCACUAGGGUGGCUUCACAAGUCCUUAGUGGGCUGGUGGAUGACACGUCUCCGUCGUAUCUACUUUUCCGAACUCUUUUGCCCUUGUUUUGGACUCUAAUUUGCAUGAUUCGAAUGGAACUAACCCGGACUGACGCUGUUUUCGGCACGAUUGCCAUGGUGUUGUUUUUGUGGAGAAAUAAAAGUUCUCGGAAUGUGCUGAAAAUUUACGGAGAAUUUUUCUGGAAUAAAAAAAAUACCUGCGCAAAGAUCCACCGGAGGAGGCGUGCGAGUGGGCCACAAGCCCACAGGCCGCGGCCACCCCCACUGGUCGCGCCGUGAGGGCUUGUGGGGCCCACGUGGCACCACCGCCCCCAAACUCAGCUCUAUAUCUUCCGUCUCGCCCGGAAAAAAAAUCAGAGAGAAGGCUUCAUCGCGUUUUACGAUACGGAGGCACCGCCACCCCCCGUUCUUCAUCUGGAGGGCAGAUCUGGAGUCCGUUUUGGGUUUCGGAUAGGGGAAAUUGUCGCCAUCAUCAUCAUCAACCUUCCUCCAUCGAGAAUUCCAUGAUUCUCUUCAUCGUUCGUGAGUAAUCUCAUCGUAGGCAUGCUGGACGGUGAUGAGUUGGAUGAGAUCUAUCAUGCAAUCGAGUUAGUUUUUUACGGGGAUUGAUCCCUAGUAUCCACUAUGUUCUAGAUUGAUGUUGCUACUACUUGGCUAUGCUUAAUGCUUGUCACUAGGGCCCGAGUGCCAUGACUUCAGUUCUGAACCUAUUAUGUUGUCGCCAAUAUAUGUGUGUUUUAGAUCCUAUCUUGCAAGUUGUAGUCACCUACUAUGUGUUAUGACCCGGCAACCCCGGAGUGACAAUAGCCGGAACCACUUCCAGAGAUGACCAUAGUAUGAGGAGUUCAUGUAUUCACCAAGUGUUAAUGUGUUGGUCCGGUUCUUUAUUAAAAGGAGAACCUUAAUAUCCCGUAGUUUCCAUUAGGACCCCGCAGCCACGGGAGGGAUGGACAAUAGAUGUCAUACAAGUUCUUUUCCCUAAGCACGUAUGACUACAUACGGAAUACAUGCCUACAUUAGAUUGACGAACGGGAGCUAGUUACAUAUCUCUCUGUGUUAUAGCUGUUACAUGAUGAAUCACAUUCGUCAUACUCAUCCAUCACCGAUCCACUGCCUACGAGUAUUUUACUACUGGUCCUAGCUACGUUACUUUGUCUAGGCUUGUCCCUUGCUACAAAAGGGAUUGGGCCACUUGGUUGCUACUAUUGCUAGUGCUGUCACUUUGCUAAUAUUGUUGCUACUGUUGUUACUUUGCUGCUGCUGCUACUACUGUUCCUUGCUACUUUGCGACACUGUUGUCGGGGAAGAAUAGUUACUUGCCCACGUGCAACCUACUGGCGCCAUUGAUACAACAGUUAGGAAUAGUCUGCGGUCAACAAAUCGUUUCUGACACCGUUGCUAUCAUACUAGUUUGCUACUGAUACUUUGCUUGCAUACACUAAUCUUUCAGGCAUGGUUGAAUCUGACAAACUCAGCUGCUAAUACUUGAGAAUAUUCUUUCGCUUCCCCUUUGGCGAACCAACAAAUUUGGGUCGAAUACUCUACCCUCAAAAACUGUUGCGAUCCCCUACACUUGUGGGUUAUCAGUGGAGUCGGCCCAAGGGGCCCAUGGCGCCACAUAAGAAAAUACCAAAAGAAAAUAAAAGAAAAAGGGAAAUAGGGAGGUGGGAAGGAAGAGGAGUCCUCCUCCUCCCCACACCGAAUUGGAGGAGGAGUCCUCCUCCUCCCCUUGGCCGGCACACCUUGAGGGCUCGUCCCUCAAGGCUAGCCCUGCCCCUCCCUCCUAUAUAUAGUGGUGUUUUAGGGAUGAUUUGAGACAACUUUUUGCCAUGUGCAACUCAACCCUAGACCACAUAGUUUUACCUCUAGAUCGGAUUUCUGCGGAGCUCGGGCGGAGCCAUGCAGGAGUAGAUCAUCACCACCACCGGAGCACCGUCACGCUGCCGGAGAACUCAUCUACUUCUCUAUCUUGCUUGCUGGAUCAAGAAGGCCGAGAUCAUCAUCGAGCUGUACGUGUGCUGAACCUGGAGGCGCCGUAUGUUUGACGCUAGAUCAGAACGGAUCAUGGGACGGAUCGCGGAACGGUUCGUGGGACGGUUCGAGGGAUGCGAAGACGUUCCACUACAUCAACCGCGUUUCUUAACGCUUCCUGUUGUGCGAUCUACAAGGGUACAUAGAUCCAAAUCUCCACCCGUAGAUGGACAUCACCAUGAUAGGUCUUCGUGUGCGUAGGAAUUUUUUUGUUAUGUAACGUUCCCCAACAGUGGCAUCAUGAGCUAGGUUCAAGCGUAGAUGUUAUAUCGAGUAGAACAUAAAAGGUUUUGUGGACGGCGAUAUUUGAUUUUCUGCCCUCCUUAGUCUUUUCUCGAUUUGGCGGUAUUGUUGGAUUGAAGCAGCCCAGACCAACAUAACUUAUACGCUUACGAGAGACUGGUUUCAUCGAUUGACAUGCAACCUCUUUGCAUAAAGAUGACUGGCGGGUGUCGGUUUCUUCAACUUUAGUUGAAUUGGUUUUGACCGAGGCGGUCCUUGGAGAGGUUAAAUAGCAAUUUGCACAUCUCUGUUGUGUUUUUUGCAUAAGUAAGAUGCGAUCAUACUAGAUACCUAUAGCAGCCACGUAAAACAUGCAACAACAAAUUAGAGGACGUCUAACUUGUUUUUGCAGGGUAUGCUUGUGAUAUGAUAUAGACAAUGACGUGAUGUGAUAUAUUGGAUGUAUGAGAUGAUCAUGUUGUAAUAGUUAAUAUCGACUUGCACGUCGAUGCUACGGCAACCGGCAGGAGCCAUAGGGUUGUCUUAAAACUAACGUUUGUGUUUGCAGAUGCAUUUACUAUAUUGCUAGGACGUAGCUUUAGUAGUAAUAGAAUAAGUAGCACGACAACCUCGAUGGUGACACAUUUAUAGAUAUCAUGAUGAUGGAGAUCAUGGUGUGGCGCUGGUGACAGGAAGAUCGUGCCGGUGCUUUGGUGAUGGAGAUCAAGAAGCACAAGAUGAUGGCCAUAUCAUGUCACUUAUGAAUUGCAUGUGAUGUUAAUCCUUUUAUGCACCUUAUUUUGCUUAGAACGAUGGUAGCAUUAUGAGGUGAUCUCUCACUAAAAUUUCAAGACGAAAUUGUGUUCUCCCCGACUCUGCACCGUUGCUAUAGUUCGUCGUUUCGAGACACCACGUGAUAAUCGGGUGUGAUAGACUCAACAUUCACAUACAACGGGUGCAAAACAGUUGCACACGCGGAAUACUCGGGUUAAGCUUGACGAGCCUAGCAUGUGGAGACAUGGCCUUGGAACACAUGAGACCGAAAGGUCGAGCAUGAAUCGUAUAGUUGAUAUGAUUAGCAUAGAGAUGCUUACCACUGAAAGUAUUCUCAACUCACGUGAUGAUCGGACUUGAGUUAGUGAAUUCGGAUCAUGUACCACUCAAAUGACUAGAGAGAUGUACUUUUUGACUGGGAGUUUAGCAAGUAAUUUGAUAAGUUAAACUCUAAUUAUCUUGAACAUAGUCUAAGUCCACUUUGAAAUAUUUGUGUUGUAGAUCAAUGUCUCACGCGACAGUCACCCUGAAUUUUAAUACGUUCGUAGAGAAGCUAAGUUGAAAGAUGAUGAAAGCAACUUUGUAGACUGGGCUCAUAAUCUUAAGUUGCUCGUGCAAGCUGGGAAGAAGGAUUAUGUCCUUCAUGCUGUGCUAGGAGAUGAACCAUCCGCUGCGGCUGAUCAAGAUGUUAAGAACGCUUGGUUGACGCGUAAGGAGGGCUACUCACUAGUUCAAUGUGCAGUCUUGUAUGGCUUAGAGCUGGGACUUCAACAUCACUUUGAGCAUCAUGGAGCAUAUGAGAUGUUCCAGGAGUUGAAGUUUAUCUUUCAGAAGAACGCCCGGAUCGAGAGGUAUGAGACCCCCGAUAAAUUCUAUGCUUGCAAGAUGGAGGAGAAUUCGUUUGUAAGUGAACAUGUGCUCAAAAUCUUUGGGUACUCAAACCAUCUAGCUGAGCUGGGGAUUGAACUCCCACAAGAGGCUAUCACUGACAGAAUUCUUCAAUCACUGCCACCAAGCUACAAGAGCUUUGUGUUGAACUAUAACAUGCAAGGGAUGAACAAGUCACCCGGCGAGUUAUUCGCGAUGCUGAAAAUCGCAGUCAAAACUCCGGAAAGAGCAUAAAGUGUUGAUGGUCAAUAAGACCACUAGUUUCAAGAGAAACGGAAAAGGAAAGAAGGGUAAUUCCAAGAAGAGCGGCAAGCCUGUUUCGAACCCGACGAAGAAAUCCAAGGCUGGACCUAAGCCUGAAAGAGAGUGCUAUUAUUGCAAGGGACUCGGUCACUCGAAGCGCAACUGCCCCAAGUAUCUGGCUGAUAAGAAGGCGACCAAGGAAAAAUCAGGUAUAUUCAAUAUACAUGUUAUUUAUGUGUACUUAACCAAGUCUCGUAGUAGUGCCUGGGUAUUCUAUUGCACAUGUUACUUGGCUGAUACCGGUUCUGUUGCUCAUAUUUGCAACUUGAAAUAGGAACUGCGGAAUAAACGAAGGCUGGGGAAAGAUGAAGUGACGAUGCGCGUGGGAAAUGGUUCCAAGGUUGAUGCAAUCGCCGUCGGCACAGUUUCAGUUCAGUUACCAUCAGGAUUAGUUAUGAACUUAAAUAAUUGUUAUUUAGUGCGUGCGUUAAGCAUGAACAUUAUAUCUGGAUCUUGUUUAUUGCGAGACGGUUACUCGUUGAAGUCAGAGAAUAAUGGUUGUUCUAUUUCUAUGAGUAAUAUCUUUUAUGGUCAUGCACCCAAUGUGAGAGGAUUGUUCAUAUUGAAUCUUGAUAGAGAUGAUACACAUAUACAUAUAUUGAAACCAAAAGAGUUAGAGUUAACAAUGAUAGCACCAUGUUUUUUUGGCACUGCCGCUUAGGUCAUAUUGAUGUGAAGCGCAUGAAGAAACUCCAUUCCGAUGGACUUUUGGAGUCACUUGACACGUGCGAACCUUGCCUCAUGGGAAAGAUGACUAAGACUCCGUUCUCCGGAACAAUGGAGCAUGCAAUUGACUUAUUGGAAAUCAUGCAUACCGAUGUGUGCGGUCCGAUGAGUGUGGAGGCACGCGGCGGAUAUCGUUAUUUUGUCACCUUCACUGACGAUUUGAGUAGAUAUGGUUAUGUCUACUUAAUGAAGCACACGUCUGAAACGUUUGAGAAGUUCAAUCAAUUUCAGAGUGAAGUUGAAAAUCAUUGUAACAAGAAGAUCAAGUUCCUACGGUCUGAUCGUGGGGGUGAGUAUCUGAGUUUCGAGUUUGGUGCUCACUUAAGACAAUGUGGAAUUGUUUCACAAUUAACACCGCCUGGAACACCACAACGUAAUGCUGUGUCUGAACGUCGUAAUCGUACAUUAUUAGAGAUGAUGCGAAAUAUGAUGUCUCUUACCGAUUUUCCGUUAUCGUUUUGGGGUUAUGCAUUAGACACAACUGCAUUCACUUUAAAUAGGGCACCAUCAAAAUCUAUUGAGACGACACCAUGCGAACUGUGGUAUGGCAAAAGAGCAAAGUUGUUGUUUCUUAAAGUUUGGGGAUGUGAUGCUUAUGUCAAAAACACUUCAGCCUGAAAAGCUGGAACCAAAAGCGAAAAAGUGCGUCUUCAUAGGUUACCCAAAGGAGACAGUUGGGUACACCUUCUAUCUCAAAUCCGAGGGCAAAGUGUUUGUUGCUAAAAAUGGAGCUUUUCUUGAGAAGGAGUUUCCCUCGAAAGAAUUGAGUUGAAGGAAGAUAGAACUUGAUGAGGUUGUCGAACCUCUAGUCCCUCUAGUAGUGGCGCAGGGCAAGGGGAAACCCUUGUUGCUGCGGCGCCGGUUGAGGAGGAAGUUAAUGAUCGCAUCGCAGGUUGAUACGUCUACAACGUAUCUAUAAUUUUUGAUGAAACUUCAGAUUAAGUUCCUAUCGGACGUCGCAGGUUGAUACGUCUACAACGUAUCUAUAAUUUUUUAUGGUUCCAUGCUAUUAUCUUGUCAAACUUUGGAUGUUUUGUAUGCUUUUUAUAUAUUUUCUGGGACUAACUUACUAACUCAGUGCCAAGUGCCAGUUCCUGUUUUCUCCUUGUUUUUGACCCUUUUCAGAGGAGAAUAUUAAACGGAGUCCAAACGGAAUGAAACCUCCGAAAAGAUUUUUCCGGAAUAGAAGAUAUGCAGGGGGCGUGAUAACCAAGGUAGAGGCCACCAGGGGAGGCCACAAGCCCCAUAGGCGUGGCCAGGGGGCCGCUCCUAGCACGCUUGUGGGCCCCCUGUGGCUCGUCUGCCCUACCUCUGCCGUCUAUAAGUUCCUAAAAAAUCCAAAACUACGCGAGAGAUCCACGAAAAUACUUUUCCGCCACCGCAAGCUUCUGUCUCCGCAAGAUCCCAUCUGGGGCAUGUUCUGGUGCCCCGCCGGAGGGGAGAUUCGGAUACGGAGGGCUUCUUCAUCAACACCAUGACCUCUCCGAUGAUGCGUGAGUAGUUCGACAUAGACCUUCGGCUCCAUAGCUAGUAACUAGAUGGCUUCUUCUGUCUCUUGGAUCUUCAAUACAAAGUUCUUCAUGAUCUUCAUCGAGAUCUAUCCGAUGUAUUCUUCUUUUGCGGUGUGUUUGUCGAGAUCGAUGAAUUGUGGAUUUAUGAUCAGAUUAUCUAUGAAUCUUAUUUGAGUUUCUUCUGAUCUCUUAUAUGCAUGAUUUCAUAUCUUGGAGUAAAAUAUCUUGGUCUCAACACAUGAGUAGGUGGCUCUCUCUCAGAAAAUGGAUCUGUCAAUUAGGUGUGUGUGUUAUGAGUGCUUUUCCCACGAAUGAGAGGUGGGUGAAGAGGUAUAUAUAGGCAUCACACAAAAUCCAACCAUUACACCAAAAGUGGCAAACUCGGUGACACCAAAGUUGUAAACUCGGUGGUACCGACAUGCAUUAAAGGUAUGAACUUUUGAAUCUCGGUGAGACCGAUAUAUGAAACUAACUGGCACUGAAAAAGUGACUAAUGGUUAGAUGAGAAAACUUGAUGACACCUAUACUCAAACUCAGGAAUUGCGAUUUUGUGUAUCGAGGCAACCAAAAGUUGGUCACCCAAACUCGGUAGCACCAAUAUGAUUUUCGGUUGCACCGAUUUGGUGGAAGUGGCUAGGGUUUCUGUCUGAGGUCAGACUCGGUGAGUCCAAAAUAUGAAAGCGGUGACACCAAAUUUGAGUAUGUGGAAUUGGACAGAAUGGUUAUGUGGAAAAGUAUGCGAGUAUUUUGGUGGCUAACUUAGAGCACUUGAGCAACGAGUUCAUUUUAAUACCUCACCCCCUUUUAGUAGUAUUGGCUUUCCUAUGUACUCAAAUGUGAUUUCUCACAAAUAGAAAAUGAAGAGUCUUCUAGCUUGAAGCUUGAGCCAAUCCUAAUCCUUUCUUUUAUCAAGGGGCAUCUCCACAUAAGCCUUAACCAAAUCAUCUUUUGAACUUUUCUGAAAUAUACUUGGAUAAACAUAUUAGUCCAAUGAUGCAUAUGUUGUGAUCAAUUAUGAAAACCACCCUAGGGACCAGUUGUGCUUUCAAUCUCCCCCUUUUUGGUAAUUGAUGACAACAUAUAGAUCAAAGCUUCGACAAAAGAUAUAAUCAAGGAUUAGCAUUGAUGCUUUGAGAAGUAUGUUAAAAGCAAGAGCCCCCCCCCCCCUAAAUUUGUGCAUUAUUCAGAAUUUGUGUUUGAAUUCAAAUGCACAAUCAAUUAGGAUUAUGUGUCACUCUUCCAUGUCACAUGCAUCUUGGUGGUGCUCAAACAAGAUAAUAAUGAAUAUUAAUGCACAUGACACCAACAAGAUAAGUGAAUGACCAUCACAUAGAUAGCUAAAAUAUAAUAAUGUAGCAUUACACAAGAUAAAGCGUAUGAUGAAACACACGAACUGGAUAAAACCAUCCAAAAGAUCAAAGUUUGUAAAACCAAAUGAGAGCAAAUAAAGUCAAAAGCUCUCUCUCACUCGAAGCCCUAUGAUCAAUACAUUUCUCCCCCUUUGGCAACAACUUACCGAAAAGUUCAAAAGUAUAGAGCUAGUCGUCUCUCUGGGCAUCUGAUGAUGGAGUCGAUAGAAGAGCAUCCACGAAGUCUUCUACAGAAUGUCUUGGAGCUGGAGGAGUGGAUGCUGCAAGUGCUUGAGCUAGGGCUGGAGCUGAAGGUGCAGAUGCUUGAGCUAAUGAAGUUUGUCUUGUCUUCGGAACAGGUACAACAUCUGACAGAUGCUUGGUGCUCAACCGAGUGGUAGCGCGAGGAGGCGACUCUUCAUCAUCAUCAUCACUGUCAUCAACAUUAUCAUCCGAGCGUGGAAUUUUCACUGAGUCAACUUCAUGUUGAAGUUGUUUUACUAUAGUGUUCAAUUUCGUAACCUUCACAUCCAUGUCAUCAAAUUUUGUUUCCACGACCUGCUCUAGGCUUUUCUGAUUUUGCAGAAUAUCCGAGAUGUUCUUCUCCAUGCUUUGGACAGAGCUAACUAGAAGUUCCAUUUUCUCAGAUUGUGUUAUGAUCCGUGGAACUGGUGGUGGCACAUUCUUAGCAGCCUUAGCUUCUGCUACCUCUGUUGCCAUUCUGGCUGUAGCUGAGCUGGGAUCAUUGUCAUCCAUCACCACUUCAUUGUCUUCAAAUUCUGGCUGAAUAGGUAAAUGGAGACAAUCAAGGAAAUAUACAUGCUUGCCUAGCUUGGCAUUGAUAAGCAUCUGAAUGUAAGGGGCAUAUCCACAUGAUCUCUUCUGAUCAGCGGCAGUCCUUCGGAUAGUCUCUACUAUCAAGUCCAUCACACAGAAUCUGGUGUGAGUGUCCAAAAGGUGCAGCAAGUUGAUGGAGUGUCCUCUGAUCAUCUUAUCAUCACCCGAUUAAGGCUUCAAGGUGUGUCUCACAAUAGUGUUAGUGGUGGGUAUUCCUGCUAGCAAGAAGUACACAUAGCCCAUUUUGUGAGUUGCCAAAUACUUGUGAGGAAUUGGCUUUUACAUACUGGCCAUAGAGUUGUGACUCUUCUUUGCUUCAUAAUAAACAUCAACAUCACUUUCUUUCUGCUUAGGGGAACCAAUGAUAGUGGCCCACUGAUGUCCCACAAGCGUAUGGGAUCGCAGCAAUUUUCGAGGGUAGAGUAUUCAAGCCAAAUUUAUUGAUUUGACUUAAGGGGAAGCGAAAGAAUAUUCUCAAGUAUUAGCAGUUGAGUUGUCAAUUCAACCACACCUGAAAGAUUAGUGUCUGCAAGCAAAGUAUCAGUAGCAAGGUAGUAUGAUAGCAACGGUGCCAGAAAAAGCCUUGGUUGACGGGAUGUUAGUACCGCUUACCUAGCCUCGGCAACGGCGCCAACAAAGUCUUGCAACAAGUAACAGCGGGGUAGCAAGGAACAGUAGUAGCAGAAGCAGCAAAGUAACAAGUAACAAUAGUAGGGACAACAACAACAAAGUAACAAGUAACAGCAAUAGUGACAGCAGCAACAAAGUGGCCCACUCUCUCUUGUAGCAAGGGACAAGCCUAGGCAAAGUAACAUAGCGAGGACCAGUAGUAAAAGACUCGUAGGCAGUGGAUCGGUGAUGGAUGAGUGUGACGGAUGUGAUUCAUCAUGUAACAGCUAUAACACAUAGAGAUAUGUGGCUAGCUCCCGUUCAUCAAUAUUCCGUAUGUAGUCGUACGUGCUUAGGGAAAAGAACUUGCGUGACAUGUAUUGUCCAUCCCUCCCAUGGCAGCGGGGUCCUAAUGGAAACUACGGGAUAUUAAGGUUCUCCUUUUAAUAAAGAACCAGACCAACGCAUUAACACGCGGUGAAUACAUGAACUCCUCAUACUAUGGUCAUCUCCGGGAGUGGUUCCGGCUAUUGUCACUCCGGGGUUGCCGGGUCAUAACACAUAGUAGGUGACUACAACUUGCAAGAUAGGAUCUAAAACACACAUAUAUUGGCGACAACAUAAUUGGUUUAGACCUGAAAUCAUGGUACUCAGGCCCUAGUGACAAGCAUUAAGCAUAGCCAAGUAGUAGCGAAAUCAAUCUAGAACAUAGUGGAUACUAGGGAUCAAUCCCCGUCAAGAACUAACUUGAUUACGUGAUAGAUCUCAUCCAACUCAUCACCGUCCAGCAAGCCUACGAUGAGAUUACUCACGAACGAUGAAGAGCAUCAUGGAAUUGUCGAUGGAGAAAGGUUGAUGAUGACGAUAGCAACGAUUUCCCCACUCCGGAGCCCGAAGCGGACUCCACAUCUGCCCUCCAGAUGAAGAACAGGAUGUGGCGGCGCCUCCAUAUCGCAAAACACGAUGAAACCUUCUCUCUGAUUUUUUUUUCAGGCGAAACGGAAGAUAUAGAGCUGAGAUUGGGGGCAGUGGUGCCACGUGGGCCCCACAAGCCCUCACGACGCAACCAUAGUGGGUGGCCGCGGCCUGUGGGCUUGUGGCCCACUAGCACGCCCCCCCGGUGGAUCUUUGCGCAUGUAUUUUCUUUUAUUCCAGAAAAAAUCUCCGUAAAUUUUUAGGACAUUCCGAGAACUUUCAUUUCUGCACAAAAACAACAUCAUGGCAAUUCUGCUGAAAACAGCGUCAGUCCUGGUUAGUUCCAUUCAAAUCAUGCAAAUUAGAGUCCAAAACAAGGGCAAAAAAGUUCGGAAAAUUAGAUACGACGGAGACGUAUCAACUCCCCCAAGCUUAAAGCCUUGCUUGUCCUCAAGCAACUCAGUUGACAAACUGAGAGAGACACAAGAAAAACUUUGACGAACUAUGUUUGAUCUUGUUGUUGCAACUAUGUCUAACUCACAACCAGAAUUUCAGCAACAUCAUAAGCAAACCACAUAAGCAUAUGACAUCUAGGUCUCACGAUAAACUCAUAUCAAAGGCAUAAUCAACUAGCGAGCAAAUAAUAAUAAGCCUCAAACGUCAACACUUCAAUCAAAACAACAUGAAGUAGUACAAAUAGAAGGUAUCUCGCUAGCUCUUUCUGAGACCGCAAAACAUAAAUGCAGAGCACCUUAAAAGACCAAGGGCUGACUAAACAUUGUAAUUCAAGGCAAUGAAGAUCCAGCCACAGUCACACUCAACACAGUUGAAAGAAAAGCAUAAAAAUGACAGAGGUGCUCUCUAAUUGGUGCUUUUGUAAGAGGAGGAUGACUCAACAAGAACAUAAGUAGACAGGCCCUUCGCAGAGGGAAGCAUUGAUUUGUAGAGGUGCCAGAGCUCAAGCUUUGAAAACAGAGAUAAUAAUUUUUGGUGGCAUGCUCCCAUUGUACACGCAAUGACCAAGAGUUCUCAACAUCUUCCACGCUACAAAUGCUAUAGGCGGUUCCCAAACAGAAAAGUAAAUUUUUGACUCCCCCACCACCAAUCAAUCACACUCCAUGGCUAGCCGAAUCCUCGGGUACCGUCCAAACCAACAUCAAUCCCGGGGGAGUUUUGUUUGCAAUUAUCUUUUCGAUUUGAGCAUGGAACUGGAAAUUCCAAUUACCGCCCCCUUUCUUGUGAAUGAUAGCAUGGAAGAUACCAAUAGCCCCCUGUCACCACAUGAGCGGUUCGAGCAUGCAAAACAUAUUAUUUCUUGAAGAUUUAGAGAGUGGCACAUGCAAAUUUACUUGGAACGGCAGGUAGAUACCGAACAUAGGUAGGUAUGGUGGAGUCAUAUGGCACAACUUUGGGUUUAUGGAGGAGGAUGCACAAGCAGUAUUCCCGCUUAGUACAAGUGAAGGCUAGCAAAAGACUGGGAACCGAUGAACUAGAGAGCGACAACAGUCAUCAAAAUGUAUUGAGAUUAACUAACAUUGAAUGCAAGCAUGAGUAGGACAUAAAUCACCAUGAACACGAACAUCAUAGAGGCUAUGUUGAUUUUGUUUCAACUACAUGCGUGAACAUGCACCAAGUCAAGCCACUUGAAACAUUCAAAGGAGGAUAUUGUCCUAUCAUACUACAUCAUAGUCAUCUCAACAUUCAUGUGGGCAUCCAAGAAAAACCAUUAUAAGCUCCUACCUAAGUAAGCAUGGCAUAAGCAACUAUGUUUCUCUCACAACCAAGUUGAAUCAGGCAUGAUGAGCUAGUCAUAUUUACAAAAACAAAAUAGAUCGAGUUCAUACCAGCUUUUCCAGGCUCAGUCACUUCAUCUUAUAUCGUCAUUGUUGCCUUUCACUUGCACGACCGAACGAUGUGAACAAUAAUAAGCAUGCUCGUGCAUUGGACUAAAGCUGGAAUCUGUAGGCAAACACAAAGGAGAAGACAAAGUAAUAUGGCUCUUUGAAAGCUAACCAGGUAUGCAUGCAAGAGCCACUAAACAUUGUAACCAAUAUCUUCUACCUUGACCCAAAGAAAAAGAAAACUAUCUACACGGGAAAGCUCCCAACAAGCAAAAGAAGAAAAAGAAAAUAGUUUUGGUAUUUUUUUCAAACUAGACAGAGACACGAAAAGAAAACGAGAAAAAGAAAAUAAACUAGCAUGGAAGAUACACUGGCAAAGUGUGAACACCGGCUAACAAAGUGAAAGCAUAAGCAAGAAUGUAAAGUCGGUGAGAACACGUACUCCCCCAAGCUUAGGCUGUUGGCCUAACUUGGUCUACUCCCAAGAAUGGUCCUGGCGAAACCCAAAAUCAUAAUCGGGGUUAUACGGGAGCGCUGCAGCCACUGCCUGAAUAGCUGCCUGACACAGACGAGCAGCCGUCGCCUCCCUCUCAUACUCCUCUGCCUCUCUUCUGGUUAUGUAAUAUAUUUGUUUUAUCUAAAAGUCAAAGAAAGAAGGAGCAAGAAGGGUAAUAUGGAAAACACACUACCGGUUAAAUAUCAGUCGGUAUAGGACGGAUUCCUCAUCCCUCUCAAGAAACUGAUAGCGUGUCAUGGCGACGCGGUCAAGGAAAGUUGUAUGGAGCGGGGGAUCUCCUUCGCGGAUGGGUACUCCAAGAAAAUUUGCUAUGCGUGUGGCAUAGAUCCCACCAAAGAAAUCCCCUUCAAUAGCAUUCUUAUCCAGCCUCCUUGCUAUAAUAGCUCCCAUGUUGAAGCUUUUGUCACCCGUCACUGCGCUCUGAAGGAUACUAAGGUCGGGUGCGCAGAGGUGACAAUGAUCAAUCUUGCCAUUAAUGCAUCUGCCUAUGAAGAGGGCAAAGUAAUGCAAGGCGGGGAAAUGAAUACUCCCCAUGGUAGCUUGUGUAAUGUCUCUACUUUCUCCAACUGUAAUACCAACGCAAAAAUCUCUAACCGAAGAUUUAAGAGGAUCAUGGAGGUUACCCCAAAUUGGUAUUUUGCAAAUUCUACUGAAAUCCUAUAAAUCCAUGGUAUACGAUUUAUCAUAGAGAUCAAACAGUACCGAUGGCUCACGGCCAGCUAAAAAUUUGAAUCUACGAACAAAAGAAGCAGUGAGAGCAACAUACUAUUCACAUUAUCGGAGAUGAAUUCUUCGAGUCUGACGUUGCGAACAAAUGCAUCAAAAUCAUCUUUCAAACCUGCCUCAAUCAUAAAUUCAUCAGAAGGACAUUCACAUGGUUGUACCUGCGCGUCCCUAGGUUGGUAAGGAUGAGGCUCCCGAAUCGCAAGACGGGGACCUCUCUUGCUUGAGGAACCACAAUGAUAGUUUCUCCUGAACAUCUUUUCUGAAAUUUUCAGUGACCCAAAGGAAAGGUGAAGAAGGUUCAAUUAACUUGUAGCAACUACUCCCACAAGUGCCUAGGGACCAUAUUACACAUCAAAACUACUUGGGACCAGCUAGAAUCAGCAUGCAAAGCUCAAGAACAUGGUCACCAAGGCAGCAAAAAUACUCGGAGUAUAAGGCACUAGAGAAAAAACUAAUUGGACCAAUGGAGGAGUCACUUACCAAGGAGUAAUUUCCCCAAAACAGUGAGGAGAACGGUGAUUUGAGCAUAGAGAUCAAAAAUCCCAGCAAGAGGAGCAAGAACAAGGGUUUGAGCUGCGAAAUGGUUUUUUCUGGAGGUAGGAGAAGCAGAUGGGAGCAAGAGUGAGUGGAGGGCGUGCCUGUGGGCCCCACAAGCCUGGGUGGCGCGGCCAGGGGGUGCCCGCGCACCUAGGGCUUGUGGACCAUUGGUGUGGCCCCCAUACAGACUCUUUGUCCCACUAUUUGUCAAAUAUUCCAGAAAAAAUCAUACUAGAUUUUCACAGCGUUCGGAGAACUUUUAUUUUUCGAUGUACUUUUCUACCGGACGCUAAAACAGAAAACAGAGAAAACUAAACUAAAUCUAUCAUUUUUCUUCUAAGCAACCGAAAGUGAAAGCUUGGAACAGAGGUUUGUGACUCCUCGAUUCAUCCAUCUCAUGGUCAUCGAAAGAAAUCCAUCAAUGGGGUUGAUCAAAUCCCCUCGACAAAACGUUCUCGGAUUGCAAAAGAAGACGGAGAAUUUUUAAAUAGUCACUAGGCCACCUCAAUGGGGAUGUAUAUCUCCCCAACAAGCAAAUCAUACUUCAUCUUGACAUGAGGAAUGGGGCAUUCAAAGCUCCCGAUAAGAAUCGAUGAAGUCUUCUCGAUAGCAUUGAUGCAAUGUACUCGAUAUUGUUUCUUCGGAAAGUGCACUGUAUUCUCAUUACCGUUGACAUGGAAAGUGACAUUGCCUUUGUUGCAAUCUACAAAAGCCCCUGCAGUGUUCAAAAAGGGUCUUCCGAGGAUGACCUCCAUGGCAUCGUCCUCGGGAAUAUCCAAGAUAAUAAAGUCUGUUAAGAUAGUGGUGUUAGCAACCACAACAGGCACAUCCUCGCAAAUGCCGAUAGGGAAAGCAGUUGAUUUGUCGGCCAUUUGCAGAGAGGUUUCAGUGGGUGUCAACUUAUCCAGCUCAAGUCUAUGAUAAAGAGAGAGAGGCAUAACACUAACACCGGCUCCAAGGUCGCAUAACGCAGUUCUAACGUAGUUGCCUUUAAUAGAGCAAGGUAUAGUGGGCACACCGGGAUCACCUAGUUUCUUAGGAGUUCCACCCUUGAAGGUAUAAUUAGCGAGCAUUGCGGAGAGAUCAAGAUCAGGUAUCCUCCUCUUAUUAGUCACAAUAUCUUUCAUGUACUUAGCAUACAGAGACAUUUUGAGCAUAUCUGUCAAAGGCAUCUGCAGAAAGACAGGUUUGAUCAUUUCAAUGAAGCGCUCAAAAUCCUCAUCAUCCUUUAUCUUGGAUGGUUUGGGAGGAAAGGGCAUAUGUUUCUGAACCCAUGGCUCCCUUUCUUUACCAUGCUUCCUAGCAGUCAAGUCAUUCUUAUCGUAUCUCUUAGUCUUAGGUUGUGGGUUAUCAAGAUCAGGUUCAAUCUCCACAUCCUUUUCAUUGCUAGGUUGAGCAUCAACAUGAACAUCACUAUUGAUAUUAUCAUUAGACUCAUGAUCAUCACCAGAUUGUGUAUCAGCAUCACAGACAGAGGCAUCGUUUGGACUCUCCGGUGUAGCAGCAACAGGGUUGCUAGCGUGCAGGUUCCUAUCAUCUUUCUUCUUAUUUUUAGGAUGACUAGGUGUAUCAGUGCUAACUCCUUGAGAAUCUUGUUCGUUUCUCUUCGGAUGACCCUCAGGAUACAGAGGUUCCUGGGUCAUUCUACCGCCUCUAGUGACGACUCUAACGGAAUUGUCAUUCAACUCAUUGAGCAAGUCAUUUUGAGCUUUAAGUACUUGUUCUACCUGAGUAGUAACCAUAGAAGCAUGUUUACUCAGAAGUUUAAGAUCAUUGACAUUUCUGUCCACACAAGCACUUAAAUGACUAAGCAUACGAGCAUUUUGUUCCAAUUGUCUGCUAACAUAAUCAUUGAAACUCUGUUGUUUGGCAACAAAGUUAUCAAAUUCAUCCAUGCAUAAGGUAGCAGGUUUAUCAAAAGGAAUAUCACUCUCAUCAAACCUACGCAGAGAAUUUACUUCUACUACGUGUAUCGGGUUAUCGAGACCAUGGAUCUCUUGGAUAGGUGGUAGAUUUUUGACAUCUUCAGAUUUAAUGCCUUUCUCUCGCAUAGAUUUCUUGGCUUCUUGCAUAUCUUCUGGACUGAGGAAUAGAAUACCUCUUUUCUUUGGAGUUGGCUUAGGAGGUGGUUCGGGAAUAGUCCAAGCAUUCUCAUUGCACAAGAUGUUGUUCAGUAGAAUCUCAGCUUGUUCUACGGUUCGUUCCCUAAAAAACUACCGGUACAACUAUCUAGGUGGUCUUUAGAAGCAUCGGUAAGUCCAUUAUAGAAGAUAUCAAGUAUCUCAUUCUUCUCAAGAGGGUGAUCAGGCAAAGCAUUCAGUAGCUGGAUGAGCCUCCCCCAAGCUUGCAUGNNNNNNNNNNNNNNNNNNNNNNNNNNNNNNNNNNNNNNNNNNNNNNNNNNNNNNNNNNNNNNNNNNNNNNNNNNNNNNNNNNNNNNNNNNNNNNNNNNNNGCGCUUGACACUCCUUUAUCUUCUUUCAUCAUUUCUCCCAUCGCAUACUUGAAAACUCCCUUCAUACGAAACUCAUCAUAAGCUGAUUAGAGUGGUUAGUAUCCUUAAUAAAAUAAUUCAAUACCUGCUGGAAAUAAAGAUUUUCAUGAAAAGCUAAGAUUUUUGCAAAUAAAAAGCAAGCUUAAGAUUCGCAAAACAAUGAAAACACACAACAUGGCAGAAUAUGUGAAAAACAGAACAACAGGUAGUAAAUAAUUUAUUCGAGGCACUUCUGCAACUCAAAUCAAAAAACUCAGAACACAUGCCAGAAAGGCAAUUAUAUAGAGCAUGUUGUAAAAAACAUUCAGAUCAAAAAGAUGAUCUCGUGAUUUUUGGUGAAUUUUUUCGUCAGGUAGACAGAAUCUGUUUCUGGACAGCAUGUCACAAUUCUUGAACUUUCUUGCAAUCGAAGGCUAUAACUUGGCACAAAGCUUAAAAAUAAAAAUACAAUGAUGUUGCUACAGUAGUAAAACACAUCAAGACCACUAAAAUAUAAAGUACAAACAUAUUGGGUUUCCUCCCAACAAGCGCUUUCUUUUAUGCCUUUGAGCUAGGCAUAAUGCAAGAAGGAGGAUCAAAGUUCUCCGAAGUCAUCAGAAUUAUAAAGACCUUCAAACGGAUCCUCAACAAUUUCAUCCUCAUUUUUCCUAGAGAAUGGGUACAUACCUUUGGCUUUCCCUCGUAACGUAUGUGUCCUUUACCUAUAUCAAUGAAGCCUCUCAUGGCUCGGAGGAAGUCCCUUCCAAGCACUAUAUUCCCUUUGUUGGGCUCCACGAUGAAUAAAUCAAUUGUUGCAUUCCUUUUAGAGAAUGUAAAAUGGAAAUCUUUUACCUUUCCCUGGAUUUCAGAAAUAUCACCAUUAGCAUGUUCAUGAUAAGAUGAAAAAAAAAUCCAUGUCUAACCAAGGAGAAUCAUAAACAACUUUUGGCAUAGUAGAAACCAUGGAUCCAAUAUCUAGGUAAGCAAGGAAGUCUUGGUUAGAGAUGUUAAUUCUACCAAAAGGUUCCCAGUCAUCAUCUAUUUUCAAAAUCUGCUCCUUAUCAACCAUAGGUUUCUCUCUUUCUCUUAAGUCUAGAGCAUCUAUUUUCCCUUCAAUAAUAGCAAGUAUAUCUAUAAUAGUGUCAUAACCAUGAUUAUAAACAAGAUUAUUAGAUAGACCAUGUAUAAUAUCAAGAGCUCUUGCCUCAUCACACUCUAAGAAAUCUCCUUUAGCUAUAAUAUCAAGAGAGUGUUUGCACCAUAUAAAGAGACCAUGGUAAAAAAUUCUAAGCACAAUAUUGAUAGGUAUCCAAGGCAUAAUUCUUUUGUGUGCUUCAUAAAUUCUAUCCCAUGCUUCCUUCAUAUUUUCUCCAUUCCUUUGAUGGAAGUCUAGGACCUCAGAUUCCUUCCAGGAAUCAAACAUUAACAUGCUUGACAACUAAAACGAAGUGACUAAUUUUUUUCUGGUUUUUGGUAUAAGACUCUAAAGCAUAAACUAAAAACCAAACUAACAAGACUAAAAAGCAAAGGUAAAAGAUAGUGUGCAACUUCCCUAUCUUGAAGAAUGGAGCCCCUGGCAACGCCACCAGAAAAUCGCUUGAUGAUGAGUUGAUGGAUAUACUUCUCGCCCCUCGUUAGUUAACCCAAGUGGAAGGUGGAGAUGUAGUCAGCANNNNNNNNNNNNNNNNNNNNNNNNNNNNNNNNNNNNNNNNCAGCAGGAAAUUUCCCUUACACGAAGACUGUAAGGUUUAUCGAAUCACGAGGACUCCUAGGCUCAACAAGUAGGUGUCUUCCACCCUGGUGCUAGCAGAAGACGUGGACCUGCACACACAACAAAUAACUUUGCUCCCAACGAGUACAGAGAGGUUGUCAAUCUCUCCGGCCUUGUAGUUUGCAAAGGAUCAAAACACAAGAGGGAAGGUAAUAGUGAUUGCAACGGAAAAGUAAAUGAAAGCGGUAAAUGAUGGAGGUGUAGGCAAUGAUGGUGAUAUGGACCGGAGUCACAUGACGUUCACUAGUGAUGUCUCUCUCCCAAAAGACGAUAAACAACUAUGCUAGGGUAAACAAAACACAGUUGGGCAAUGGACAGAAUUAUGAUCGCAUCACAAUGCUAAUUAUGCUCCUUGAUAGUUAGAGGUUCAAUAGUAAUGGGCAGUACGCCAAGACAAGUAGACCGUUUAUUCAUCAGCAUCUACUUACUAAUCAUACACCUUGAGAUAUCUAUCCAGAACAUCUCUCCGAUAUUAAGUUGCGAGCCCCACCAAAAGUGUAAAUUCAAAUCAACGGACAACUGCAUUAAGAACUAUGCGUAAGGUAAACAAUCCUUGCAACUGUGGUCACAAUCAUCGUUGUUUUCUCCCUGGUGGCAACAAGAACAUUCCCUAGUCUCAUGUUUCUGUCACUCAAGCUAGACAUCGAGGGGCCCGAACCCACAAUCAUGCAUAACGCUCCCUCUUGGAGUUACAAUCUACUACUUGGCCAAAGCAAUAAAAAGCAACGGAGAACAUGCAUGAAUUACUAAGGAACAUAAUAUAAAAGGAUAAUCAAAUAUAUAACUCAUAACAAUCUGAACAUAAUCUCAUAAUCCAUCGGAUCCCAACAAACCGAGCAUAGCAAUAGCAAGAGAAUUGCAUAGAUGCCUUGAUCAUGUAGAGCAGCUCACAAGGACUAACCAUUGAAGCACAAGAUUGGAGAGAAGACAUCACAUAGCUACUGGUCAUGGACUCAUGGUCCAAGGGGAACUACUCACGGCACAUCCAGGAAGCAUCCAUGGUGGUGGAUAAGCUCCCGAAGGUCAAUCCUCCCUCCGGCAGGAUGCCGGGAAGAGGUUUCCUGACGCUACCGAUCUCGGAAGCGCUGUGGCGGCGGAACGAUUGAGAAAUUCGCAAUUCCAGAAAUUAUGCGAGGGUUUCCUCUCGGGACUCUAAAUAUAGGCCAAAGGAGUGCGCCGGAGGAGGUGGGACCCACCCAGGCGACCUCCUGGCGCGGCCUAGGGCCUGGCCGCGCCAACAGGCCGCUUGGGAGGCCCAUACCCCCCCCUCUGGCCCUCCUUCGGUGAUUCGGAAGCUUAUGUUUCGCUGAUUUUAUAUUUUUUUAUUAUGGAUUUUUUUGGGCUUUGGAAGAUUGGGUAAAAGCCACUUCAAAAUAGACAUCAGUGGACAGAAACUGGCACUGGGUGCACUGAGUUAGUAGGUUAGUCCAAAUAUGUGUAAAAUGAUAUAAAGUGUAGAAAAACAUAUAACAAUGUCACCCAAAAGAUCAUGGAACAAGCAGAAAUUAUAGAUACGUUUGGGUCGUAUCACAUAUACAUGAAGGUUCCUGAAGGUAUCCCUAUUUCGAACCAUGAUAGAGCAAACAGGAGUCUAUAUAGUGUUCAACUUCAAAAGGCAUUGUACGGACUUAGACAAUCUGGUAGAAUGUGGUAUACUUGCCUAAGCGAUUUCCUUCAUCAGAAGGGCUACACGAGCAAUACAUAUUGCCCAUGUGUUUUUAUACGGCGAUCCCAAGAUGGAUUAUGUAUAAUCUCGGUGUACGAUUUAAACAUACUCGAUACACAUGAGGAUAUUGAGGAAGUGAGUUCCUACCUGAUGUCGGAAUUCGAGAUGAAGGAUUUGGGUAAAACCAAGUUCUUUCUAGGUCUCCAACUUGAACAUUCCCCUGAUGGGAUUCUAGUGCACGAGUCAGCCUACGCCCAGAAGGUGUUGGAAAGAUUUGAAUUUGACAAGGCAUAUCCUUCUAAGACAAGGACCGGUUCAGGCAUAAGGAAGAGGGGGAGGAAACUCUAGGACCAGAGGUUCCUUACCUGAGUGUAGUUGGAGCACUCAUGUACCUCGCAAAUUGUACAUGACCAGACAUUGCUUUUGUCGUCAAUUUGCUUGCUAGAUACAGCUCUGAACCUACAAGAGACAUUGGAAAGGUAUCAAGGACGUCUUCCGUUACCUGCAAGGGACCAAAGAUCUUGUCCUAUUUUAUAGAAAGAAUCAAGACCUAUCCCUUAUAGGCUAUGCGGAUGCUGGGUAUGUGUCAGACCCGCAUGAUUGCAAAUCACAUACAGGAUAUAUUUUCCUUUGUGGUGGGACUGCGAUCUCCCGGAGAUCAACCAAGCAAACACUUGUGUCGACCUCCACGAACCACUCGGAAAUAAUGGCACUAUUCGAAGCAUCAAAGAAAUGUGUAUCGCUUCGGCGGAUGAUCAGCCACAUUCAACAGACGUGUGGGCUGAACACCGUACAAACCCCUACCAUUAUCUAUGAGGAUAAUUUUGCUUGUGUUGCACAAGUACAGAUGGGUUAUGUGAAGAGUAACCUCACAAAACAUAUUAGUCCCAAGUUCUUCUAUGCACAGGAACUGCAACAGAUGAACGAGGUGAGAGUCUUGCAUACUAAGUGUUAGAGCAUAUAUCUCCAUAUGUGGUUUUGGUAAUUGAUGACAAUUCCUAUGGGCUAAUGGUUGCCUUAAGUUAUAUUUAUAGGAUUUGUCCAUAGGCACUUCUUGAAGUCCAUCUGUUGGGUUCAAGGAGUUUAUAUGAUGACCAAGAUGGUAUUCAAGGUAUUAUCCAAAGAAUGGUCAUAGAGACACUAGGUUGAUCAAGAUCUCAGACAAAGAGUAAAUCAAAGGAUUUGUCCAUAGGCGCUUCUUGAAGUCCAUCUGUUGGGUUCAAGGAGUUUAUAUGAUGACCAAGAUGGUAUUCAAGGUAUUAUCCAAAGAAUGGUCAUAGAGAUACUAGGUUGAUCAAGAUCUCAGACAAAGAGCAAAUCAAGAUGAUCAACACACAAAGAGUAUAAGAUGUACCGAGAGGGAUCAAGUGAUCCCAUGGUAUGGUAAGCAUUGUCCAUUACGUGUUUGUGUACUAACCCAUGGUCUUUGUGAGAGUCCUAUGUGGGGGUUAGGUGUGCUUCCAUGGGCUUGCGUCAAAAGGAAGAUCUCAUACAAUCCAUGAAGGAUGACGUCAAGUGGUGAUCGUCAUCAAGAUUGUGGUGUGCAAGUUCAAGUGGAUCAGCACGAAUACAUCAUUGAAACUAUUGUUAUUGAUCAUGUGUUGAUAAGGACAAGCUCAUGUGCUCACAAGGACACGAUCAAGAUAAGCAUUCCUGAGCACUACAUGCUUGAUUCUUGUGGAUGUUCAAAUGAUGGACAAAUGAAGAUGAAUACAUAAGCUAGGCUUUCCACAUUGUGUAUGGGAGAGCUAUUUGAAGACUUCAUCAUGUCUUGCUUUCAACUUGAGCCAAGAAGGAACAACAACACCAAGCUCAAGUGAAAGGGCUAACUCAAGGUAUCAGUUACUUUGAUGUUAGCUGUGCAGAGUGAUGAUCAGCGAAUAAAAGUACACACUCAAGUAUGGGUCAUCGGUAUCCCUUUUACAAUUCUUGAGUCUUUAGGGAUCCCGCACUAUUAAGAGGGGAUCACAGGUUUUUGUGAUGAACUUGCUCAAACUAGAUAUCCACUAUUCUGCUCAAUACCAUAUAUUCUCUACUCUGCUCCUAUCUCAAAACAGGUCUAAUGUCUCGGACUUCCGGCUCCCGCCGGACGUCCGAGGGCCGGUCAAGGGUCGGACGACCGAUAGGCUUCGGAAAUCCGGAGCCCUGCACCAGCAGAACUUGAGCCCUAUAACUCGGAUUUCCGGCUCCCUCCGGACAUCCGAGGGUCGGUCGACCGACCAGCUUCGGAAAUCUGGAGCCCUGCACCAGAAGAACAUGAGCUCUAUAACUCAGAUUUUCAGCUCCCUCCGGACGUCCGAGGGCCGGACGUCCGACCCCUUCGGAAAUCCGGAACCUUGCACCAGAAGAAGUUGAGAUUUCCGGCCUUCUCCGGAUGUUCGGUCCGUGUUCAACUCACAGUGUUUCCAGACAUAUGUACAGCUCUCGGACGACCGACCCCUGUCGGACGUCCGACCCCUUGCGGACGCCCGGACUUCCGUAAACUGCCGAACGUCCGACCCAUGUGUGACUUAAAGUGUCCCCAACGGAUGUUUUUCUCUCCUCACUAUAAAUACCCCCCUCCCACUUCGUGAGAGUGUGCCGAACACAGCCUUAUCCUCAUAAGAACACACUUCUACCUCACACACAUUUGCUCACACCAAAUCUUAGAUCCCAAGAGCAUUUGUGAGCCCCUUUGAGAGUUGUUCCAAUCAAAAGAUAGAUCGUCUCGCUCUCCUCCUCUCAACCCAAGCUAUUUGAGAUUUGAGCAAGUUUUGAGCAUUCCCCGUGAUCUUGUUACUCUUGGAGGUUGGAGACUCCUAGGCGGUAGGAGUUCUUCGGAGAGGAAUCAAUCCGUGUGAUUACCCCCCGGAAAAGUUUGUGAGGGUUUGGAAGCCACCUCAAAGGCUUACCACUAGUGGUUGAGAAACGCCUUCGUGGAGUUAUCUCAAAGGGAGAAUAGGGAGAGCCUUCGUGGCGUUGGUGUGCCUUCGUGGUAACAUCCACCUCUCUAACGGUGACUAGCUUCCCUCCAAGGAAGUGAACAUCGGGAUACAUCUUCGUCUCAGUGACCUUGGUUAUCCUUAACCCUAACUCCUUACUUGUGGUUUACUUGUGUUACUUGAGCAUACAUACAUUGCAUAUUGUUUGUGCUCAUUAUAUUGUGUUGGCUAUUUCUUGUACAAGAUUAAUCAUUCAAGCAUACCUUCUAUAUUCACACAUUCAUACUUGCAGCUUUUGAUAUUGUCACGCCCAAGAUGCGACCCUAUCCUCAAUUUGGCAUGAGGGCAUCGUCAGGGAUAGAAGCGCAUCUCAUCGUGUCGCAAGAAUGGAUAUCGUUACAAGUACAUGUACUGAAAAGAAGAGAUAUAUAAAGAGUUGGCUUACACUCGCCACAAGCUACAUCAGAGUCACAUCAGUACAUUACAUAAUCAUCAAGAGUAAGAGCAGGGUCCGACUACGGACGAAAACAAACGAGAAAAAUAAGAACGACAUCCAUCCUUGCUAUCCCAGGUUGCCGGCCUGGAACCCAUCCUAGAUCGAUGAAGAAGAAAUAGAAGAAGAAGCAACUCCAAAUGAACAAUCAACGCGCUCGCGUGAAGUAACCUUUACCUGUACCUGCAACUAGUGUUGUAGCAAUCUGUGAGCCACAGGGGACUCAGCAAUCUCAUUUCCAAAGGUAUCAAGACUAGCAAAUCUUAAUGGGUGAGGCAUGGUUAAGUGGUGAGGUUGCAGCAGCGGCUAAGCAUAUAUUUGGUGGCUAAACUUACGAAUACAAGAAUAAGAGGGGGAAGAUCUACGCGUGUCGGUCGUGGACUACUGUUGAUCAAAUGAGUGAUCCUGAACACCUACCUAUGUCAGACAUAACCCCACCGUGUCCUCGUUCGGAAAAGGAGCUCACGAAAGAGACAGUCACGGUUCCGCACACAGUUGGCAUAUUUUACUUAAGUUAACUUCAAGUUAUCUAGAACCAGUGUUAAACAAAGUUCCACGUUGCCACAUAACCACCGGCACGGCUUUCCGAAAAGAUUUACCCUGCAGGGGUGCUCCAACUAGUCCAUCACAAAUUACCACAAGCCGCAUAGAAAUCCUCAAUCACGAAGCUCGCGAUCUCGUCGGAUUCCCUAGUGGAAAACCUCAACUCUAAGAUUACCCAAAGCAUCACCGGAAUCCCGAUGCACAAGAUAUCUCGUCAAAGGUAAAACUAAUCCAGCAAGGCCGCCCGACGUGUCGACGAUCCCGAUAGGAGUCGCGUACCUCGUUCUCAGGACACGACGGAUGAGCGAUGGUUACCACGCCAAACGCCGAGUUGCCCCGGGUAGCGUUAAUAAGAUGCUCUGUUUUGGACCAACACUCAUGAGGGGCACUGACCCGGGGGUUGAUUAAAUUAUCCUCGGGUUAAUUACUCCCUAUGCAGUUCAUUAGUUAGUAGGCAAAUGUAGUACCAAAGUUGGGCCUUGCCAGACCAGCUUUAAUCUAAAACGAAUUAUCAAGGGGGUCCCCAUAACAACCCCGAUCGUGUUAGGAGCGCUCAUUUAUGGAACAUAACACCGGUAGCCGAAACUAAGGGGGUAAAGGUGGAACAAAACACCAGGCUAGAAAGGCCGAGGCUUCCACCUUUUACCAAGUAUAUAGGUCCAUUAAGUUAAAUAGAAUUAAUAUGGUGAUAUAACAAGGAACUCAUGUUUUCACAUGGAAGCAUCUGCACCUGCAACUAGCAACGCUACACAGGGUUAAGCAAGCAGUAGCCUAGCCAAUCAGUGGUUUGCUAGGUUGAACAGGUUGAAGGUUUUCAUGGCAUUGUUGAGAGGCUGAUGUUUAACAUGUGGUAGGCAACGAGACAUAAACGACAGCAUCGAAAUAACUAGCAUGGCAAUGAUAGUAAUGGUAUCUGGGGAAAUGAUCAUCUUGCCUGAGAUCCCGCUUGGAAGAAGAAUGCCUCCGUGAAGCAGACGAACCGACGUAGUCGAACGGGUCCUCACAUCCGACACGCUUGCGGAACUCUAUCGAGACAGAGGAAAACGGAAACACAAAUCAACACACGGAAUUCACCACACGAUCCACAACACAUAUGAUGCAUGAGCAGUCUAAUGCACGGCAUGACAAUCACAACAAUCAAACACUACACAUUAAGUGAAGCUCGAUAUGCAACGAGUUGCAUAUUGACGAAACUCCACGUUUAAUUGUUUAGUUCACUCCCGAUUAGGUACACGGCAAUAUUAAUUGUGGUUAAACAUGGCAAGAGGUGAAGCGUAAUUAAACUACCUAUCUAGUCAUUUUAAAUGAGGUCGGAAAUGACAUAUAGCAUCUCCGAGACGACCUCACAUGUUAAUUUACAAUUCUGUCCACAUCUGAAUUAACACAUUUAAGUAGUUGUUAAACAGCAAAACAAAUAGGUUCACGUGAUUCUACGCGUCAACGCAAGCAAUCUACACGUAGAGAACAUCUCCAACGGAGCUACGGAUCAAAAGAUAAAAGCACCGCAAGAUAUGAUGGCAUGAAUGCAAUAUGCGUUCAACGGCGGUCACGAGCACUUCUACACAUACAAACAGCAAGAGAAAAUGAAACUACACGAGAUUCUAAGAAAGUUUCAUGUAGGACACGAUCAAAUCAGAGCUACGGUUCAAAAACUACGAGCAAAACAAGAACUCACUACAAUCUGCCAAAAACAGCCACAUAGCACUUUCUACGCCCCACAACUACGGCUACACAACUCCGAUAAACUCAAGCAAGGCAUGGCACGAAAGAGGGCAAGACGCUCUACUACAAACAACUAACAACCACUAUCAUGGCAGCAAGGAGCACUAGGACAAGAAGACACAAAACGGCAUCUCACACGCUAUUUCAGACUUAGUGAAAAUUACACCUCAUGAAAGUGCAGUUUUCGAUCUGAAGCAAUAUUGACAGCAGCAAAAUCCUAAGCUACAGGACUCCAAAUGGCAUGAAACUUUACAACAUGCUAGAGAAACACAAGGGGUACAACUAACUCCAUUGGACCAACCCCAAAAGAGCUACACAUCACAAGAUGCAAGCAAUACAAGACAGCAACAAAAUAAUAACAGAUUCCAGACUUAGAAAUAUUUCAGCUCCUCUAAAACAGCACUAUUUCUAGCAACUUGAGAGCAAGCAAAACACACCAAAACAUGCAGUUCUAUUGUAACUAAAAAUACCAGGGGCUAAACAAAACAUCCAAGAUCAACUCUCUAGUUGACAACUAAUUCAAACGAGGCACGGAAUAAAUCCUACGAAUUAAACAAAAGGGCAUCACGGCAAAAUAUCGCGCGAACUAACUUCCUCAAAAGCUAAAACUAAUUGCAUAGAAAAAUCCAUGGGAUUUUUCUACCCCGGAAACAUAUAAAAUAUGUGGGGUUUGCAACACAAAAUAAUGCCACACAUUAAUGCGGGAAAAAAAACAUAAAUACGGGAAAAUAAACUAGAGGCAAACCCUACACGCAAAAAUACGAGUGACCGCUCUAAAAUACAUGGAAAAUACGUUCCUAAAUCAUGGGCAUUUAUUCUACGACAUUAGAACUAACCGGACUUGCGCAAAAAAUAAAUACGGGACGUACCCUAUUAAAACAGCACGUUAUUCUAGGCAUCCGUCACGCCAAACGACGUCAAACAAUUAUGCAUGUCUCAAAUUCGUAUUCUACGCGCGAAACUACCACAAAACCAUAUAAAAUACGCCUCGUUCCGACCAACGGUUAAAAAGUUACGGGCAUUCGAAUAUGCGUUAUAUUUUUGGAAUUUAACUAAAUUCCAAAAACUCCUAAAUAUUCUAACGGGCUGAACAGGCAGCGCAAUAGCUAACUAUCGUCGGGAGCGGGGAAUAGCUCACCUUCGCGGGCCAAGGCCCAUUCGGUGGAGAGGCUGGCCAGGCCGGCUUGGGGGCGAGGCGAGGCGCUGGAGGCGCUGGCCUGGGCCGGGAGAAGCUGGGCCGUGGACGAGCAGGUGGCCCACGCUCGCUGCGGUGGCCACGUGAGCCGGUUGCUGGCGCAGGGCCCAGGAGCGCUGGAGGUUGGCGGCUCGUCGUUCUCCUGGCCGAGUGCGUGAGCCGUGGCGGCGGCCGUCGGGCGUGGGGGUGCCUCACGCCACGGCGGGUCUCGGCGGUGGCAGAUCCGGCGGGACCAGGCCGAGGGGCUCGAUCCCGGCCAGAUCCCGGGGCGGCGGGGCACCCGCGGCGGGUUUCCAUGGUGGCUGCCGCUUGAGGCCGGAGGAGGACAGAGGGACCGAGGUGGCGGCACUGGGAUCCGGCGUCGCGGAGGCGGCGCACCGGCGAAGGUCCGACCGGCUGCAGCUCCGGCGGGGACGCUUCCGGCGGCGGGGUAGCAACGAGGAGACAGCGGGAUCCGGGGGCUCGGGCUGCUGCCACGUCCAUGGGAGGGAGGCCCGGGAGCAGGGGGCUCGAGCCACGGCAGCGGCGGCGCGAUGGGCUCGGCCGGGCCCGAUCUGGGCCUGGCGGGCCGGCGGCGCGGGGGAGGAGAGAGAGAGCAGGUGGGAGGCUAGGGUUUCGGGUAGGUGGCACGGAUUUCGAGGCAGUGGGGGAGUGGCUCUCUAAUUAAUGGCAUGGGGGCUAUAUAUAGACAAACGGGGGGGCUCGGUCAACCGGAAUCGCGUUCCGGAUCCAACCGUGCGGUCGGAUUCGGACGAUUUCGAACGCGGGUAUGGGUACGCGGUCGUGUAGAGGGAUAUCCGGGGACGAGAGGGAGAACGGGCGGUGCGGCAACGAUUUAAAAACAUCGACAGACGUCCGACGUGUAGCCCGAAUACGUUGCUGCUACGGUCGACCGUUCGGGUACCAGACGGACUCCGAUCGCGACGAAACUUGACAAGCGGCCUACCUAUAUUAAAAAUAACACCGUACGUCAAAUCUCAACCCGAUCGUGUGAUAUAGUGUGAUCUAGUAUCUUGUGUUGUUCACCUACUUGUCGUGUGGUAUAGCUCAAGUAAGUUUGUGUAACUUACUUGUGCUUGUUAGUAACUGUAUUGUGUCCAUCUUAGUAGAUCGUGUUGUUGAUACACGUUGCAGUGUCUAGUGCAUUUAGGAUUUGUGCUUGACAAGUACCCUCUUAGUUUAUUUCCGCAUUAGUUUCAAGCCAAAUCCGAAGAAGUUUUUAAGUAGCCUAUUCACCCCCCCCUCUAGGCGUCAUCGAGGUCUUUUCAAUUGGUAUCAGAGCUAGGUAUCUCUUUAAUUAGGUUUCACGACCUAGAGAGUAUCGAUGUCGACUAUUGGAUUAGUGGACAAUGGCACCUUUGACUUUGAUGGCACAAAAUAUACCCUAUGGAGAAUCCAUAUGCUUCAUCACUUUCGGGCCAUGGGCCCAAAUACUUUACGAAUUGUUCUUGUGGGGAUUGCCGACAAAAAGGAUGAUGCAUCUUCAUCUACUAAUGAAAUGUAUCUUGAUUGUGAGGCUUUUCUUGCCAUUCAUCGAACCAUAAGUCCUGAAGUGUUUAAGUCUAUCUCAACUUGCAAGUCAGCUCAUGAAGUUUGGACUAAACUUGAAGAUAUAUAUGGUGGGUCCAAUCUUGAUGAAGACGGUAUUAUGAUGAAGGAGUUGGUGCAUGAGCUCUUCAGUCUUUUCGAUCUUCAAUCUCAGAAGGUAAUGACAUGGUGAGUGAAGAAAUAUAUGUUGAUGAAAAUGUCAUAGCCUCUAUGGACACGAGCAUAUCUAGCACCACACGUAGUGUAAAUUAUUGUGCUGAUAGGUCAUGCAUUUCACCUAAAGAUCCCUCGACAAAUGUCUGUGGUGAUAUGCCUGCUUCCUCGUGUCCUCUUGAUCAAAAUAUCUUGUUUCUCCCUAGUUGCUCUAUGACUAAUCAUUUAGGGGAAAUCAAGAAAUAUGAAGUACUUUUGACUAAUGAAGAAUCUGAUUCACCAAAAGAAUCAUCAUCAACUCCUCCAAUUCACAUGUGCCUCAUGGCAAGAGGUAAUAAUGAGGUAUCAUCUUCCCUGUGCAAUAACGAUGAUAUUUGCGAUGAGGAUGAUGAUGAUGACUUGACUGAAAAUAUCUAUGUGAUCAGUAAAAUUCAUCAUAAAGCUAAAAAUAACGCUCUUCAAAGAUUCCAAGAUGUUCUUGCUUACUUUGAAAAUUGUAAUAAUUCACUUAAUCAUGAACAAGCUAAAAGUGAACAACUUGAACAUGAACUUGAGAAGAGUCAUCAAGCAUGUAGAGACUUAAGAUCUUCAAAAGGAGAGAUUGAAGUUACUCAUGAUAAACUUAAGAAGGAUUUUGAUGUCCUUCUCCUGGAAUGCAAUAAUGUCAAGGGAGAGCUCAUCAAAACCUCUAAGAUCUAUGAGGAGCUUCAAUCUACUCAUGAGAAGUCUCUAUUUUCUACUUACUCCUCUCAUAUUGUUGAUGAUACUUGUACAUCUAACUCUACCUCAUUUGAAGUAUCAACAUUGAAGGAGAAUAUUGAGCUACGUGCUCAACUUGAUUUACUAACUAGCAAUUAUGGGAAGUUGGAAGAAAACCAUGUAAUGCUCACAAGCUCUCAUGCCGAUCUUCUAACAUCCUAUAAUGUGCAAAGCUUAGCUCAUGAGGCUAUCAUCACCAAGGUAACAUCAAGUGAGCCUCAUGUGGACAAUGGCACUACUUCUAGUUAAAGUACUAUAUUUCCAUGUGCUAGUCCUCGUAAUUCGUCUACUCAAAAUAUUGCUACCUCGUGUGAUGAAUUACUUUCCUUGCCUUGUUGCUCUAACAUUGAAGCUUACACUUCCUCUAGUACUUGCAUUGAUACUAACCGUGCAGAGGAAAUUGAAGAGCUCAAGGCCCAAGUCACUUCUUUGAAGAAAGACUUGGAACAGUGUCAUGAAGGGAUGUCCACACUCAAGAACGUCCUGUGUGAACAAACAUCUCCGAAUGACAAAAAUGAUGUUGGAGUAAACUCAAACAAGAACAAGAGGGGCCUAAAACAAGUCAAGAAUUCGGCCAAAAUCAUUUGCUUCAAGUGCAAAGUUAAAGGGCACCAUGUUAGAUCUUGCCCUCUGAAGACGAAGUCUCAAAGUCACAAGCAACAAGGGAAGCGGCCACAAACUCAAUCACAUAUUCAACUACAAGUUGAAGGAAGGCCUCUUCCCAAUAAGACCCAAGCCAACACUCCCCGAGGUGAGAAAUCAACUGGGAAGAAAGCAAAGGGUAGAUGUUGCUACUUAUGUCGUGAGAAGGGUCACGUCGCUUCGUCUUGCACAAGAGGUAACUUAUCCAACCCAAUCACUAUUGUUGAUAUCUAUUCCCUUGGGAAGGAUAAGGUUGGCAAUGUGUUUGCCAAGUUUGUUGGUACUCAAAAUGGUGUCAAGAAAAGAACCAUUUGGGUUGCAAGCCUAUUGUGAUUAACCUCUUAGGACCCAACGUAGUUGGGGACCAACAAGUUCAAACUUGAUCAAUAGGUGACUAUGGAGGACAUUAGAGACUUGGAUACAUAAUGAAGAAUUAAGGGGUCUUCAUCAUUCAUAUUAUCUCAAGCCAAGUCAUUUGGAUUAUCGAGUUUCUAUCUUAUAUCCAAUGUGCCUCCUUACGGUAACUUAUACUUACACUGUUUACAUUGUUAGGUGCUUGCCCCUUUGCAUGUUGUGGUUUUGUACCUUGCAUGUGUUUGUAUAUGUUGUGCUUCCAACUUCCUUAUCUUGAGUAAUUGAGUAUGUGUAUGUUCGUUUGCAUAUCAUGUACAUGUGAGUCUUGUAUUGAGUCUUUUUGCGUCUUGUUUGUAUUUUUGUUGGCUCUUGUGAGAGAUUAAUGGAUUAUCCCAUUGUGGCGGAGUGAUGUGCUUUGCAUACCUCACAAUCCUAUAAAAGUGUAUACAUGGGGAAUACCACUUAGUUUUGAUAUUUCAAGAUUAUCUAGUUUCUAUGUGGUAUGUCUUACUCAUGAGAAAUUCAAAUUCUAUAUGGUCCAUUAAGUAUCUCUUGUUGGUUUUAAUUUGCCACUUGUUAAUAUUGAUGGUUUAUCACAUUAUGGGGGAGUAAUAUGCUAUGUGCAUAUUACAAAACUAGAAAAUGUGUACAUUUAAGGUGUUGCCACUUAGUGUUGAUAUUGUAAAUUAUCUUGUUCCUAGGUGGCAUGUUAGCUCUACAAGUGUCAUUUGCUUGCGUUUUAUGGGUAAAGAUGAUCUUGGAUAUAUUUGCGAUUUACCAAUGAGUAUCACUUCCAAAAAUACUUCUUGUCCUUGACAAUUGGUAUUCCCAUCAUGUGAUAGGAAUUUCUAAUCGUGUUUACAUUGGAUUUUGUGUUUGUUUGUCUUCCUUGCCUCUUAUGGAUCUAUUUUAACAUGUCUGGUGUUUUUAUAGAUAUAGAGAAAGUGAUUAUCCCAUCGUGUGCAUUUUGUAUUUAAAUGCAAAUUCUAUAUAAUGCACGUCCCUUGGGGGAGCUAUCCUAUUUUCUUUAGAACACUCUCUUUAUUCACCCAUCAUAAAAUCUUUUGAUCCCCAUCAAGUGUGUGUUGAUGGGAGGCAAGUCUUGCUCUUUAUGAUGCUUUGUGCCAUCAUGAAAAUUUGUCGAGGGCUUGGUUUGUUGGAACCUAGCUCUCUUUUGGAAAUUAGAUACCUCGUGUUUGUUUUCCUUCAAUUGGUUUCUUGUUUCCUUUUAUUUGGCAUGUGACAAUGGAUAUCUCAUUCUUGAGGUAUCUUUUAAUUGAUAUCCUUCAAGUGAUAGUUCCUUUUUUGUUUAGGAUCUUAUUAUCACUUCAUACCUUGUCUUUUGGUGACUUAUCAACUUUGUGUUAAGUUGAUUCUUGAGAGUCUUGAGCAUGCAUAUCUACUAUUUACAACUUCUUUUGCUUGCUUUCCUUCUUUGACCCAAUAUAUAGGGGAAACUCCACCUUGUCAUAAAUUGGCUAAAGUGUGCAUGAAAUUCAAAUUCAUAUCUAUAUGCACAUAUGUAUGUGGAGUUUGUCCUAUGUAUUGCUGGUUUUCUAACUCUUUGGUCCCAAUGAGUUUGGGCACCAUUUUGUUUGUUUUGUUGUUCCAGGAACAACUGGAGAUGCAUUGGAUGCCCGUCUCACCUAUAAGGAAGGUGUUGAGACCAUGUGAUUAUUGGAGCCAAGUUAGGAUGAUCAAAGAACAACUAUCUACUACAUCAAUCCAAUGUUGUCUCGGUAACAAGUAUCCACUUCAUGCAUUCUUUUCUUGCAAAGGCCCCAACCUGUCUUUUCCUUUCGAGGUUGCAUCAUGGCAUGAAUCUCUUGAUUCGUUCUUGUAGUACUUGUUUGCUUUCUCAAAGCACCCGAACGAUGAUGUCUUACUACUAGUUGGGAUGUCCUUGAGGUUCGUAUGUUGGAAGUUCAUAUUGUAAAAUAAGAAAAUAUUAGGCCAUGUGCUAUGCUUCCAAGCAAAAUAUCUCAUUGAUAUAUUUAUGACUUCCUUUUGGAUAUCUAGUUUGUUCCUUCUUGUAACCAUUUCGUGUGUAAAAGAUUCUAAGUAGAAGACAAUCAUGAUGAUAUAUAUCUUUUACACAUAACAGAAGUUACAUCUCUAAUUGAUAUCCUCUUUUCUUUCACGUCCAUCGUUGCAUUUCCUUUUUCAGUUUUUGGUGGCUUCGUGAAAGGAUUUGUUUUGAGUGCAUAUCUUAUUUUCCUACAUCUUGAUGCACUCUUUGGCCGUGAAGAUUAUUUUUCCUCAUGCUUGUCUUGAUGAGGGUUUUGCCAUUUCAAUUAGUAUCCCUCCUCUUGACAAGCUUCUUACUUCAUAUCUUCACAAUGGGUUGUCACAAGCGUUGGUUCUUAUUUUUGUUUAUUAGUAAGCUUGUGAACCCAUUUUCUAGUAUGUGUGUGAGGGAAUGAUAUGUCUUGCACUUUGUAUCUCAUUUCAUCAAGACUAUGUUGAUGAGUAAUGCUCAUCCUUAUCUUAGUCUUCUCAAGUGCUUUGCCAUGACUCACACACAUUACUUUGGUUGAGCCUAUUCUUAAGUUGCUUCUUUUACAUGUUGCUCAACCAUUUGUUUUGUGCAAUUGAUAUGCUUAUUGUCUCAUCUAUCUUCUUGCACUCGUUGUGUGUUUUUAUUAAUUUUGGGGGAGCAACGAUCCUAUUUUGUGCACCUGUAUCAAAUACAAAAAUCUCGUAUUAGUGCACAAAUCAUGGGGAGCUUCCCUAGUUUUUGAUAAAACACUCUGUUGCCUUUAUCAUAAUAUCUUUUAUUCAUGUGGUUCGAAGGAUUAUAUGAUUGUUUGUUCCAUCUGGAAUCUUUUGAUUGCUUGCCUCUAUUUUUGUAUGUCUUUGUGGCAUACGAUCCUUUUAUUUGCAAUCUUUGGGUCCUCAAUAUAGUUUGUUUCCCUCCAACAACUUAUCAUUGUAUUUGUGUAUUUCUCUGCACUCAUUUGCUGAGAAGUACACACUUUUUGGAGUACCACCUACUAUAUUGGCUUUCUAAACUUUUCGUCCAUUUUGGCAAUCGAUGCCAAUGGGGGAGAAGUUUAGAGAGUUUACUUUGGAUAUGUUUAGAGGGUUUUGCUAUUAUUGUGUAAGCAUUUACAUCUUGCAUGCAUGCAUUAUUACCUUGUAUGUGUGCGCUUGGUUAUGCUUAUUUCCUUAUAUAAACUCUCUUGAAGUGGUGGUCUUCAAUUACCAAAAUGGGGGAGAUUGUUAGAGCAUAUAUCUCCAUAUGUGGUUUUGGUAAUUGAUGACAAUUCCUAUGGGCUAAUGGUUGCCUUAAGUUAUAUUUAUAGGAUUUGUCCAUAGGCACUUCUUGAAGUCCAUCUGUUGGGUUCAAGGAGUUUAUAUGAUGACCAAGAUGGUAAUCAAGGUAUUAUCCAAAGAAUGGUCAUAGAGACACUAGGUUGAUCAAGAUCUCAAACAAAGAGUAAAUCAAAGGAAUUGUCCAUAGGCACUUCUUGAAGUCCAUUUGUUGGGUUCAAGGAGUUUAUAUGAUGACCAAGAUGGUAUUCAAGGUAUUAUCCAAAGAAUGGUCAUAGAGACACUAGGUUGAUCAAGAUCUCAAACAAAGAGUAAAUCAAAGGAAUUGUCCAUAGGCACUUCUUGAAGUCCAUUUGUUGGGUUCAAGGAGUUUAUAUGAUGACCAAGAUGGUAUUCAAGGUAUUAUCCAAAGAAUGGUCAUAGAGACACUAGGUUGAUCAAGAUCUCAGACAAAGAGUAAAUCAAGAUGAUCAACACACAAAGCGUAUAAGAUGUACCGAGAGGGAUCAAGUGAUCCCAUGGUAUGGUAAGCAUUGUCCAUUACGUGUUUGUGUACUAACCCAUGGUCUUUGUGAGAGUCCUAUGUGGGGGUUAGGUGUGCUUCCAUGGGCUUGCGUCAAAAGGAAGAUCUCAUACAAUCCAUGAAGGAUGACGUCAAGUGGUGAUCAUCAUCAAGAUUGUGGUGUGCAAGUUCAAGUGGAUCAGCAUGAAUACAUCAUUGAAACUAUUGUUAAUGAUCAUGUGUUGAUAAGGACAAGCUCAUGUGCUAACAAGGACAAGAUCAAGAUAAGCAUUCCUGAGCACUACAUGCUUGAUUCUUGUGGAUGUUCACAUGAUGGACAAAUGAAGAUGAAUACAUAAGCUAGGCUUUCCACAUUGUGUAUGGGAGAGCUAUUUGAAGACUUCAUCAUGUCUUGCUUUCAACUUGAGCCAAGAAGGAACAACAACACCAAGCUCAAGUGAAAGGGCUAACUCAAGGUAUCAGUUACUUUGAUGUUAGCUGUGCAGAGUGAUGAUCAGCGAAUAAAAGUACACACUCAAGUAUGGGUCAUCGGUAUCCCUUUUACAAUUCUUGAGUCUUUAGGGAUCCCGCACUAUUAAGAGGGGAUCACAGGUUUUUGUGAUGAACUUGCUCAAACUAGAUAUCCAUUAAUCUGCUCAAUACCACAUAUUCUCUACUCUGCUCCUAUCUCAAAACAGGUCUAAUGUCUCGGACUUCCGACUCCCUCCGGACGUCCGAGGGCCGGUCAAGGGUCGGACGACCGACACGCUUCGAAAAUCCGGAGCCCUGCACCAGAAGAACUUGAGCCCUAUAACUCGGAUUUCCGGAUCCCUCCGGACAUCAGAGGGCCGGUCGACCGACCAGCUUCGGAAAUCUGGAGCCCUGCACCAGAAGAACAUGAGCUCUAUAACUCAGAUUUUCAGCUCCCUCCGGACGUCCGAGGGCCGGACGUCCGACCCCUUCGGAAAUCCGGAACCUUGCACCAGAAGAAGUUGAGUCGAAUAACUCGGAUUUCCGGCCUUCUCCGAACGUCCGGUCCCUAUUCAACUCACAGUGUUUCCACACAUAUCUACAGCUCUCGGACGACCGACCCCUGUCGGACGUCCGACCCCUUGCGGACGCCCGGACUUCCGUAAACUGCCGAACGUCCGACCCAUGUGUGACUUAAAGUGUCCCCAACGGAUGUUUUUCUCUCCUCACUAUAAAUACCCCCCUCCCACUUCAAGAGAGUGUGCCGAACACAGCCUUAUCCACAUAAGAACACACUUCUACCUCACACACAUUUGCUCACACCAAAUCUUAGAUCCCAAGAGCACUUGUGAGCCCCUUUGAGAGUUGUUCCAAUCAAAAGAUAGAUCGUCUCGCUCUCCUCCUCUCAACCCAAGCUAUUUGAGAUUUGAGCAAGUUUUGAGCAUUCCCCGUGAUCUUGUUACUCUUGGAGGUUGGAGACUCCUAGGCGGUAGGAGUUCUUCGGAGAGGAAUCAAUCCGUGUGAUUACCCCCCGGAAAAGUUUGUGAGGGUUUGGAAGCCACCUCAAAGGCUUACCACUAGUGGUUGAGAAACGCCUUCGUGGAGUUAUCUCAAAGGGAGAAUAGGGUGAGCCUUCGUGGCGUUGGUGUGCCUUCGUGGUAGCAUCCACCUCUCUAACGGUGACUAGCUUCCCUCCAAGGAAGUGAACAUCGGGAUACAUCUUCGUCUCAGUGACCUUGGUUAUCCUUAACCCUAACUCCUUACUUGUGGUUUACUUGUGUUACUUGAGCAUACAUACAUUGCAUAUUGUUUGUGCUCAUUAUAUUGUGUUGGCUAUUUCUUGUACAAGAUUAAUCAUUCAAGCAUACCUUCUAUAUUCACACGUUCAUACUUGCAGCUUUUGAUAUAUCGUGUGAUAUAGUGUGAUCUAGUAUCUUGUGUUGUUCACCUACUUGUCGUGUGAUAUAGCUCAAGUAAGUUUGUGUAACUUACUUGUGCUUGUUAGUAACUGUAUUGUGUCCAUCUUGGUAGAUCGUGUUGUUGAUACACGUUGCAGUGCCUAGUGCAUUUAGGAUUUGUGCUUGACAAGUACCCUUUUAGUUUAUUUCCCCAUUAGUUUCAAGCCAAAUCCGAAGAAGUUCUAAAAUAGCCUAUUCACCCCCCCCCCCUCUAGGCGUCAUCGAGGUCUUUUCACUAAGCCGUGUGACAAUCUUGCUGAUAUGUUCACUAAAUAGUUGUCGGCGUCAUCCUUUGAGAGGUGUGUGCGUUGAAUCGGUAUGAUGAGACUUAGAGAGAUGCAAGGUUAAUGGAGAGAAACUUCACAAAUUCAUCGCUAAAAUCUUGAUCCCGAUGAUUGAGUACUCAACCAGGUGGUUGAGUGGAUUGUACUCUUUUUCCCUUAAGUGAGUUUUCCUGAUGAUUCUCACCUAAGGUUUUUAACGAGGCAAUUCGCGCAAUACAACAACGUACACAGUGUGCUCUGUCUCAAUAUUUUUCCCACUGGGUUUUUCGGAGUUAUGAGACAUGGAUAUACAGAUAAUUACCCAAGGGGGAGUGUUGGGAAACUGGCCCUGACCCAAGGACUCGCGACGUCAGUAGUGAGGCUGGCUCGCGUGCGAGGCACGCAGCCAACCCCUAUCGUUUCCCAAACUCACGUUAGAUGGGUAUUUAUCCCUUGACCCCAUACCCCUGUAUAAGCAGAGGAGAGGCAAUCAUUGUAACAGAGAGACCCAUCAUUAAUAAAGAUUGUUUCCUCUUUACUUCUUGGUGUUCAUCUAUUCGGUGUGUUCGACUACUUUGUCUACGACGCUGCUCCACUCCGCAACUUUGGACCGGACUCGUCGGCAGGAGAUGCGGAACAUUUAGGACGCCCUCACGAUGGGCCGCCAUGACAUCGCGGGAGGCUACAACCUCUUUUUCAUACUUUCUGUUUUUGUUUUUCCUCUACUUUUUGGUUUUGUUUGUGCUCUUUCACACCCACAGUAGCAAACAUGUCCGUGCAUUGCACCAGGAGAAAAGGAAGAUAAGCUUUACUACGAAGCAAAACUAAGUUAUCAUUAAUUAGGUUGGACAUUUGGGUGAUAAGUGUGAUGAUAACAAAAAUGAUGAAUCAAUUAACAAUAGGAUUCUUGGGGGUGCUAAUCGGGUGAACUACCUUAUACUACCAUACUCAUAAUAAAAAUAUCCUAAAUUUACUACUUAUUUUGAGUUACCGACGUCACACAAUAAAAGUGUGGUAUAAUUUGUUCGAUGUCCAUGCAUGUAUGCUUCUGUCGUGUGCGUUGACCAUGUAGUCCUUGUCGUAUAUAUGUUCUAAGUUUCUGUUAUGUUGCCAUAUAUGUAGGAUUCUUUAUUACAAUUUCAUCUCUACUUAGUUUGUUGCUCGAUUCACGUUUAGACGUAAUUUCCUAUGUUCUUCUUUCAGGUGAUUAUCACUAAGUAAAUUUAACACUAUCAUAUAUAAAAUUAUUAAAUGUCUUUAAAUCAUAGUGGUAGGAUAUAACAACUUCUGUAAUUACCUUUGUUCAAGAAAGUAAGCUAGUUCAUUAAAGUAGGUUACUUUUGUUUACUAUAUUCUUUUGUUUAAAUAAUAUAUUUGUACCGUGGUAUCCCUACACAUAGUUUCAAAUAAGCAUGACUAAGUUAAUUAACGACGGCGCAUGUGUCUUGUUUUUCAUGGAUACACUUUAGGACGUAGGAAAAUGUUAUGGCAUUUGUAGAUCAGAUUAAUUAUUGUACUACAAUCAGACAAGAAAAGAUUCUUUACACGUAACAAUAGCUGGGAUCAAUUAAAAACUCUAUUGCCAUGACACGUAAAUUAAAGACGUAAAUUAAAAACAAGAAAAGAUUCUUUACACGUUUAAUAGCUGGGAUCAAUUAAACACGUCUAGAAGAGACCAGCCACCUCGCUGCACCCAUCAGCACGCGAGAUCCACAUCCCGUCGUUGCGCUUCCUCGGUUUCUCUACCGUGAUAUUCACAUCCCGACCUUCCGUUGGUCUCGCAGAAGAGACGCGUUGCUCCGGCCAGCUUGAGGCCGCCGUUGGGAUCCUCACGCUGCAGCCGGCCCGCUCGGGGCCGCCAUCGCUCCAGCACCAACGUCCACUCUCGUAACGGCCGGCCCACCAUGGAUCUUUCUUCAGUGCUGGCUCCGGCCCGCUCAAGGCCGCAGUCGCUCCAGCACCGACGGCCACUCGACGGUCGGCCUAACAUGGAUGGAUCUUACUCUGGUGUUGUUAUUUCAGCCUUUGCUCCCUCUGUUUGCUGAUUUGAAGCGAGCAGCAUACCAAUUUCCCGACCUCAAUCGGGUUACGAGAGGCCCUCUCGCGCGCAAGCACGACAUCGCCAAAUUCCCGAGCUCGCCCCACGGCUGUCUGGCCGCCUUCUUCGCCCCAUUCCUGCGCUCACCACGCCGGAGAGGGCCGCCUGGGAUGGAGAAGGCCGUCCGUACCGCCUCGCCAUAGCCGUCCGCCUGGGAUGGAGAAGGCCGUCCGUACCGCCUCGCCAUAGCCGUCUCCGCUGCCAACAAGACUAUCCUCGUGUCGUACAUACGGCAGGGCUAGGCCCCAGCGGAGGCGGAGAGAGCAGUCGGCGGUCGCCUGGGAGUGGAUAAGAGGAAGGGAGAGAGCAGCCGGCGGGCGCCUGGGAGUGGAUAAGAGGAAGGGAGAGAGCAGCCUGCGGGCGCCUGGGAGUGGAUAAGAGGAAGGGGAUGAACACGGUCUGGAUUGGAUAGAGGGUGUGUCUGUAAAAACGAAACAUUAUCUCAAAUAAAAACAGGACCGUGGGUUGAAUACCAUAAAACGGGAGUUUUUUUUUUGCAAAACGUGCACGACGGGUUUUCCGACAGAUUGACUAUUUGUCACCCUGGAUGAGGAAUAGUUAUUUUUCAUCUCCCUUUAUUUUAACAUCAAUGCAUCGUAAUUUUAUGCUUUGUUAUUUUUUUUCUUAUUUCAUACGUAGAAAGAGACCAUACGAAAAUAUAUAAUCAUCGUAAAAAAUAUUUUAUGUCACGUAAAAUUACAAACAAAGAAAUAUAGUGUAAUAUAUAUAUAUAAUGCAAUUUUUGUGGUCUUAUGACCUAUAUCUUUGUUUUUUUAUGUUAAAUUUUACAUAGUGAAUCAAUAUAGAGGUAAUUAUUUGUAUUCCCGAUAUAACUUAUUUAUAAAACAAUCGUAAGAUUACCUUGGGCGAAGAAUAACUUAUUCUGCAUCCUGGGUGAUAAAUAGACUUUCUAUAUACAUAGCAAAAGUGAUCGUGUGUUGUAACGGAAGAAAAGAAUACCAUAUGUUCUUAAUUUAAAAAAAUGGUCUAUAAUCUGAGUAAAAUAACAUUACAUUCAGAUUUUACAUAAUGUUUUAAUCAAAUUAUAUAUAUAUAAUGUUAAAUUUGGAGUUACGGUCGAAGAUAUGGGUAUUUUUUAAAACAUUUCACAUGUACUACGGGUUUAAAGUCAGAAACAUCAUGGAGUUUUCUAUAAAAUAGCACGAUGAACUAAAUUUGAAGUUACGAUCUAGAAGAUAUGGGUAUUUAAAAAUAUAUUUAUUAUGUACUACGGGUUUAAUGUUAGAAAUAUUAUGGGGCUUUCUAUAAAAUAGCACGAUGAACUAAGAAUACUUAUUUCCAUUAUUGGUAUAGAUAGAUAGAUAUAUGACAAAUAUUUCCUACCAUCCGGUGGUAGUUAUAUGACAUGUCAUAUAUACAGUUAUGUGGUGGUAUAUGCACUGCUCUAUCAUUCUAAAUAUUUCAUACAAUAUAUAUUUAUAAAAAUUAUUAAACAAAUGUUGAUCAAGCAUUUGAAAAAGUUAAAUGUGUAUAAAGAAAUAUGACGAUUUUUAUUAUGUAUAUAAAAAUGUUAGUCGAGCAUUUCGAAAAUAAUUGAAUAAGUAUUUGAAAAAUGUUAAUAAAAAAUUUGUUAAUGUUAAAUGGCUAUUGAAAAAAUGUUAAUCAUGUGUUAAAAAAAAUGAAUUUUUUAACAUGUAUAUAAAAACGUAAGUUAACCAUUUGCAAAAAUGUUAAAGAAGUAUUUGACAAAUGUUCAUCAGGCAUUUGGAAAAUGUGACAAUGUAUGAAAAAAAAUGUUAGUGCUGCAUUUGAAAACGUCUUAAUCAAGCAUUUGAAUAAUGUUAAAUGUGCAUAGAAAAAAUGUUGACCAUGUGUUAAAAAAGUGUUGAUCUUGUAUUUGAAAAAUGUUAAUCAAGCAUUUGAAAAUGUUUGAAAUAGUGUAGAGGAAAAAUGUUGAUCAUUUAUGAAAAAAUGUUAACCUUGUAUUUUAAAAAUGUUAAUUAAGCAUUUAAGAAUUUUUAAAACAAUGUAUAGGAAAAAUGUUGAUCAUGUAUUAAAAAUAUUAAUAUUGUAUUUGGAAAACCGGUAAAACAAUAAAAGGACUAAAGAAAAAAUAAAAAAUAAAAGGAAACAAAAAACAAAAAAAAUACGGAAAAUAGAAUUCCAAAUGUAACAGAAGAAAAUGGAAGAAAGGGAAAAAGGCAAAAAAAAGUCAAAAGCACACGAAAAAAACCAAAUGACCAAUGCAAAACCAGCGGUUUUACCCUCAACUAGGUGGGUAUUUUACACAGUUGAAGCUGGCAUAGUGGCUAGCAGUGUUGCCACUAGUAUCGGAUCAAGGUUUGUACUAUUUGUCUUCUUUAUUAUAUUUUAUAAAACAUGCGUUAACGAACAGGCCCAGUAGCUACAGUGCUAGAGUAUUUGGUUCAGCGAGAAGGAGCUAGCAUUCGCGUGGAGCGAUAUAUAGUGCCUGCAGAGGUUUUAAAGGCACUUCGAUAACAUUGCGAUUUUUUCUGCCAAAUCAGCCUACAAGCUCUAUAUUCAGUUAAGGGAUGUACCUCACCAGUCAAGCAUCCGAAACACACAUAGUGGAGCUAGAAUGGAACAAAAUCUGGAAAUUGCCGUGCCAACCAAAGAUCUGCCAGUUUGUGUGGAGGUUUGCACAUAAUAGCUUGCCUCAGAAAAUGAAUAUGGAGAGAAGAGGCAUUGAGUGUGAUACCCUCUGUGUUGUGUGCAAAAGCCAACAGGUGGAUGACAUGCAUUUGGUUUUUUAAGUGCAAGGAAGUGAGGUGGUGUUUCUUUAGAGGGACUAGACUAAAAAAAGUUUCUUUUAGUCCCUAGGUAAAGAAACAGGAGGGACUUUUCCUUAAGGGACUAGAAAAAGACUCUACUGGAGGGACUUUUUUUUUUAGUCCACAAGAUUAAAAAAAGUUUAGUCUCUUGAAAAGAAACGCCACCUGAACAAGCUAUGGAGAGAGACGAGGAUGGAAGUUGUACGUCAUCGAAUGUGUACAUGCGCUAGUGCAGCGAGGCUAUCCGAGUUAUUCUGGCAUUGGGCGAAGAGACAUCUACCAAAAUAUGCUGCAUCUUUUGGAAAUGAUGGGAUAGAGGAAACAAGACCAAUGCCGGGGAGCACGUCUGUCUAGUGGAAGAGACAGUGGGCCAGACUGUCAAGUGGGCAACGAACUAGUAGUAGUUAUGUACACCAACUAAGACUAUUCACAAUGAGGAUUAACAUAAAGUUUAUAUUAUUAUCAGGUAAUAGCACCGCAGGUCCUAGAACUUGCGCGACAUGUGAUGGUUUAGUCCUAGAACUUGCAAAAGGGGGCAAACUAGUCCUAGAACUUGCAUAGGAGGUGCAAACUUAGUCCUGGACCAAUCACAUGACGCCACGUAUAGCCAGGGCUGUGGGGACGGUCAACUAAGGCACUUUUGCACUUUACACCAUGCAGUUCGCAGAAAUCAACCCGCAGUACACUCCCGCAGGUACUGUAGAUGUCGGCUGCGGCUAAAUCCACCUGCAAUAACUCCCCUGUGAAUCAUUCGUCGAGGGUGUGUUCGUCUUGUCUCUUGUCGGGACUUUGAGCGUUGCCCUGCUGCUUCCCGACAGCAGCACGCAUGGCAGCCUCGCCGGAGUGGACCGGCGUCUUUCCAUAGCCUCCUUCGUCAGUUCACCUUGUUCGGGCGCCUGGUGUCUUCCCUCCGGAUUAUGGUUCGUCUCCUCUCCUCUUUUUUCCUCCUCUUCCCUUUUUGGUCAUCUCUCCUCCGAUGAUUUCGUGUACUCUGCUCCGAUGAUCGUUACCUGCUGUUUGGAUAGUUGUUUGGAUAGUGUUGGCUGUUGUUUGGUUCACUUUUGCUCAGUAUAUGUACUUAGUUUGGGGAUUUCACUCGAGGCCUCAUUUCACUCUAGGGUUUUUACGGUUUUAGCGUGGACAGAUAGAUGCAGGGAGAGGAAGUUUUAUACUAGUUGCAGUACAAUAUUGUAAUGUACUUAGUUCAUGUAUUUAGUUAUGUCAUCAAAAUGUAGAGUUUCUUCUGUUAACUGUAUAUGUUAACUGCAUUUCUUCUGUUAAGUGCAUUUCUUCAGUUAACUGCAUUUCUUCAGUUAACUGGAUACUUAUUGGAUGCAGUGUGUGAUUCAGCAAUGGGACAAAUGGUGGAUUCUCCUUUUUUUACACUUGAACUGGAGCAUGGUGGCCUUUUCCGUGGAGCAAUUGAUGACAUCGAAUAUUUUAACCAUUCUGUUGAGGUGCUUGAUUAUGUUCAUUCUUCGAGUUUCUCAUAUGCAGACCUUCAACAUCACUUAAUUUGGCUUGGAUAUGUUGUGGGGCAGCACAUCAUAUAUUGGUGCAGACCUGGCAAAACAAUUUCAGAUGGGAUGGUAAGAAUCAAAGGUGAUGAGGAGCUGGAGCUUAUUCUCAGAGCUAGUGCUCAUCAUAAAGUGCUUGAAAUCAUGGUUGAUCAUUCAGAUUUUAUCAGUAAUUUCAGAGAAGAUCUGGUACUACAGAUGCCAAUAGUUGAGAGCCCUCUUAGGAUCUCCAACUCAAAUGCCCUCAUAUGUGUCAAUGUUGAAGACCCAAUAUGAGAGGUUGCAGCGAAGCAACAACAGAAGAUAGUUUGCUAACUAAUGGGGCAGGGUACUUGCUUAGUGUUGCUGUAGAUAAUUUACUUAUUGAUGGUAUCAAUGCAACAACACCAACAAAUUUGCAGCCUGAAGAUGUUGUGGUUUCAGAUUCAGAUUUCAGUGACAGUGAUUACGACAUAGAUGAUGGAGAUGAUGAUCUAUAUGCAGACAACAUUGACUUUGAUGUUGAUGAAGAAGCUCAGCAAGAGGAGGAAUAGGUGGAGCCUGAUUAUCUACUGGAAGAUGAAGAUAUAAACCCGUCCAUUGAAGAACAAGUGCAGCUUAAGUACAAGUUCAAAGCUUUCAAUCCCAAAGUGGACAUGACAUCACAUGUGUUUAGGUCAGGAAUGGUAUUUGCUGAUGUCAGUGAGCUCAGGAGAGCUAUUACUGCAUAUUCAAUAAGGAACAGAGUUCAAAAAAAGAAGUUGAAGAAUGACAAGAUAAGACUGGAGGCAGUGUGUCAGAGUGGUUGCCCAUGGCUUCUUAAGGCUGGGAAUGACAACAUAACUGGAGGUUUUGUCAUCAAGGCCUAUAAUGGAGAGCAUUUGUGUCAGAAGAAAUGGAAGUUAAAAGAUUUGACAGCUAAAUUCUUAUGCAAGGCAUUCAUUGAUGAGUUCACAAAUGACCAGAAGAUGUCACUUGCAACAUUUUCAAGGAAGAUCACUAAGGAAUUUAAUGUGACUCCUAACAUGUGGAAGUUAGCUAGGGCUAGAAAGCAAGCACUGAAUGAGAUCCAUGGUGAUGAGGCAGAGCAAUUCAGUAAGUUAUGCGACUAUGGGGGUGAAUUAAGAGCAAGAACCCUGGGUCUACUUUUCUGCUAUCAACUACACUAGUGAAGAAUCAAAAAUUUCCAUUGGGCAGGAAAUGUUUGAAAACUUUGUACCAGGCGUAUGAUGCAUGUAAAAGAAGUUGGCUUAAGGGUCGCAGGCCUAUCAUCUUCAUUGAUGGAUGCCACAUGAAAACAAGAUACAAAGGAGUGCUGCUUAGUGGUGUUGGAAUUGAUCCUAAUGACUGCAUUUUCCCCAUUGCAAUGGGCUGGGUUGAAGUUGAAUGCACAGGGUCUUGGGACUGGUUUCUCACCACUUUGAGAGACGAUCUUAACAUUAUUAACACUGCUCCUUUCACAAUUAUGAGUGACAAGCAAAAAGGUCUAAUAAAUGAUGUGCACAAGGUUUGUCCAGAUGCACAACACAGGUUCUAUGUGAGGCACAUAUACCAAAAUUUUAAUUAAAAGCACAAAGGAGAGGUACUGAAGCAAGACCUAUGGGCCAUUGCAAGGUCAUCAAACAAGGUGAAGUGGAGAGACAGAGCUGUCAAAAAAUGGAUGAUCACAGUGCAACUGCUUUCCACUGGACUGAAAGGCUGGAGCCAAAAACUUGGUGCAAGGCAUUUUUCAGUGAAUUUUCCAAAUGUGACAUUCUGUUGAACAAAAACUCUAAAGUGUUUAACAGUUACAUACUUGAGGGGAGAGAGAUGGCAGUGCUUAGUAUGCUUGAAUACAUAUUCUACAAGAUCAUGCACAGGUUAGUGAGCAAACAGAGGGAAGCUAUUGAAAAGUGGACAGUGCAUAGGAUAUGCCCAAAGAUCAGGAAGAAAUUAGAAAAAAAAACACUGAAUUUGCUGCAAACUGUCAUGUAUCAGAAGCUAGCCAACAAAUUUUCAAAGUUAUGACUGGUAACUCAACCUAUAUAGUAGACCUUUGCUUGCACACAUGUGAUUGUAGGAGGUGGCAGCUGUCUGGAAUACCUUGUGGGCAUUGUGUAGCAUGCUGCAGGGAGGAGAGAAUUGAUCCAGAGACAUUGGUUCAUGAAUGUUACACAGUUCAGACAUAUCUUAAAGCUUAUGGAUAUACUUUGGUUCCUCUUGGAGACACAAAAGAAUGGAAGAAGCAAAAUGGGUGCAAGGUGUUUCCACCAGUGUUCACAAAAUAGUUGGGCAUGCCAAAGAAAAAAAGGAAGAAGACACCAGAAGAGAAGAACAGGAAUGGUGUAACUGUUUUGAACAGAAAGGGUGUCAUAAUGCACUGCUCCAUAUGUGGGAGAUCUGAUCACAACAGAAAGGGGCACUACAAAUGGCAGGAAGCUCAGAUUCAAGAAUGGGUGGAGUUGGUUGAUGAAAACUAUGAUGACCCAACUUUCCUUCAGGUAUGUGCAUGUCUAAAACUUAAAUGAAUUUACCUGAAUUUGUGCUUGUCUAAAACUUAACUGAAUUUAGCUGAAUUUGUGCUUGUCUAAAACUUAACUGAAUUUGUGUAGAACAUCUUCCCCGAGGAGCCAGAUCCUAGGUCUGAUCCAACUGAGUCACCAACAAGCAUGGUGUUCAACAUGGCUGAGAGAGAACUUGCAAAAAGAGCUCCUUAGAGGGUUCAUGGCCCACUGCCAGACCAAUCUUCAUUUAUUGCUGCUGUUGGUGCUACAAUACCUUAGCCAAGGGUGACCACUGACAUGAACAUAGGAAGGCAGACAAGGGCUAACAAUGCAGUUCAAAUAGGACAAGGGCAGAAAAAUGCAAGUGCUGGAAGGGGGAGAGGAAGGAAAAGACAAAGAGAUGCAGGGAGAGGAAGAGGCAGAAAUGUAGAUGUAGGUGUUGCAGGGAGAGGAAGAGGCAGAAAUGCAGGUGGUGGGAGGGCAUACUGGCUGUUGUUUGGAGAAGACUUGGGGAGGCAAAUUCCUAACCUAAAUGCUCCUCCUGAAGAUUGACCUGAUCCCUGAUGCAAUGGGCAAUGGGCAUUUUCAGUGCCAUUUUUUGAUAAGGCCUCUAAUGAUGUACUCCCUCUAUAAACUAAUAUAAAAGCAUUUAGAUUACUAAAAUAGUGUUCUAAAUGCUCUUAUAUUAGUUUAAGGAGGGAGUAACUCAUAAACUGGCCUUAAGGACAGCUUGAGGCUGAAUUAUAUUUCAAUGCCAAAACUUUGUGGUUAAGAUGAAAUUUAUGUAGGCUGAAUUAUAUUUCAAUGCCAAAACUACGUGGUUAAGAUGAGUUUUAUGUAGGCUGAAUUAUAUUUCAAUGCCAAAACUGUGUGGUUAAGAUGAAUUUUAUUUUGCCAAUUGAUUUAACAAAAGUUACCAAAAAAAUUGGGAGGCCUCGGGCUCGAACCCAGGACCUCGGGUAGAAAUGUUGCGAGCAAUGCCAAUGGGAUAGUAAUAGGAACUUGUCAUGUUACUACUAUUAAUCUACUACUACUCUGUUUAGUGGUAGCGUGCGUGCGUGCGACCGUGCUGUUUGCAAGCGGUGGCCGUUUCAGUUUCCGAGGCUGCUGUAAGUGAUGCCAUGACCACACACCACCCUCCGUCUCUUCACAAUACUCACCACCCACCGCCCGCCUUCUCUUCGCACUCCCCAUCUCCUCCUACACAGAAACUGCCUCCCACACGAUGCAACCGUCGGCGCCAUGGACGCUAGCAUUGGCUGGCAGAAGGCCGUGCCAGAUCUCGUCGGCAACAACAACGAGAUCGGCGAGCAGCUUUGGGAAAAUCACGACCUGGUUCCCAAGCAUCAAGAUGAUGUGCAACCACGCGCCUGGCCUGAUCAAGGUCAUGCGAGAGGACGAUAAGGCCCGUGCCUUCCCCCCUAGCUACGUCGUCCCACCUUCCGCCGUCAUCCUUUGGGCAAUGAGGGAGGUGCAGCGUUCCAUCGACCUGAAACAACGCGCAAGGUGGUGGAUGUACCGCUCCUCGAGGAUGACGGCACUGCAGCCGGAUCCUACACGUCUUGCCUCGAGGACGGAUAGGUUCACUGACGCUGUCCUCGCGUUGCCAGCGGCCGUCGAUGAGCCUGAUGUGCAGAUCAUUCCGCUAGUCUUCACUGCCAAAAAGGGUAACAAACACCUCCCUAUUGACGUGGAUGAGCUGCAGGAUGUUCCAGAUGCAAUCAAGCAGGAGGUGCUGGAUGAAGCGGGGGACAAGAAGAAGAGGGAGCCAAAGAAGAAGGUUACACUGAAUGUGGUGCGCCGCUCAGAGCGCCUCAAGAAGCUCAAGAACAAUUGAAGUACUGCAAAUCCCGUUAGGUAUGCUGAUAUAGUACAACAUAUAAGUUAUAAGUAGUGGAUUUUGUAAUCUGGUUAGGUAUGCUGCUAUAUUUCAGCAUAUAAGUUAGAAGUACUAUUAAUUUUGGUAUAACUGAUGUGAACAAGAUGGUAUUCAGUUAGAAGUACUGGUUUGUUUUAUGUGAUAUUAUGUUGCUAUAUUUAUCUCUCUUGCAGUGUUCAUGUUUUAGGUGCUUGUUGUAUGAUGGUAUUAUGUUUUAGGUGUAUGUUGUUUUCUGUUGCAUUAUUGUUGUGUGUUGCAGAUAAAAAUUCAGUUAACUUACUGAAUUUUAGAUAAAAAUGCAGUUAACUUACUGAAUUUUGUAAAAUUCAGAUAAAAAUUCAGUUAACUUACUGAAUUUUAGGUAACUGUCCAAAUUUCAGUUAACUUACUGAAUUUUAGAUAAACUGUACAAAAUUCAGAUAAAAAUUCAAUUAACUUACUGGAUUUUAGAUAAACUGUACAAAAUUCAGAUAAAAAUUCAGUUAAGUUACUAAAGUUUAGGUACAGACCACCAUAAUGCACUUGAGUGCAAGUUCAGACCUACAUAAUGCACUUCAGUGCAACUUGAGACCAAACAUAAUGCACUUGAGUGCAUUCCAGUAAACUAAAAUUCAUCAAGGAUUUCCUUAAUCUUCUUUAUCUUCUCCUUUGUUUCCUCCUUAUGAUUGAACAUAUCUCCAAUCAUGUACUCCAACUUCUUCUUGUCCUUCUUCAUCACAUCAUUCUGUAACACCAAAUUGUCUUUGUCUUCAAGGAUUUUUAUCUUGUCUUGCAUUAAGUUGUCCCUCUCCUGCUUCAUCAGGUCCCUUUCUUUCUUUGCCUUGGCCCUCAACACCUGAUGGAUGUUUGUGGCAGUUUUGUCACAUAGAUUUUUCUUCUCUAUCUCUUGCUUUACUUCACUAAGAGCAAUCUGUGUGUUGCCUAACUGGGCCAAUGUCUGCUCUUUGUCACCAACCAUCUUAGCAAAAUCAAGUUUAAAAAACCUCAGCUCUUUCUCCAUCCUUUCCUUCUAUUUCAGGAUCCUGUAAUUUUCUUCACCAAUAGCUAAAUUCUGACUCAACCUUAGACUGUUCUCAUCAUCAAACAUGCCCCAGAUCCUAGCUAAACUCAUCUUCAAAGGGGUAGGCCACUAAGGAUCAAUCCACUCCACAAAGGGGCAUCUAGGUCCUUCCUAUCAAUUCAGACAAAAUUCAGUACAUUAGAACAACUACAUUUAACACAUCAAAAACAGCUUCAGUUAACUAAUUCAGACAUAAUUCAGUACAUUCAGACAAAGUUCAUUUAACCACAGCUAAAAUUAGCAACUUCAGCUAACAAAAUAAAGUAAAUUCAAUACAUUCAUACAUACUUCACAUCUACAUUCACACAUAGUUCACAUCUACAUUCAGUAGAUUUACUAAAUUCAAUACAUUAAUACAAACUUUAGAUAAAAAUAGCUCAAAUACAAACUUCAGAUAAAAAUAGCUCAAAUUAACAGAUCAAAAAAUUAAACACCUACAACUAGCCACAAAUUUAUUGACUUCACCAAAAGUUGCACGGGUACUAACCUUUUGUGCACAACCUAAGAAUCUCCUGCCACUAUCAACUAACUCAAAUGCCACAAAUUUCUCGCACACAGCACGGUGUUCACAUCUAGUAGGUAGAUCUGUAGCCAGCCCUCUCCAUUCCGAGCAAAAAAUGGUGGAAGGUGGCUACACAAAAACAGAUCGAGGUUCAGCAAAAUCGCAAGCUUUGAAUAACAAUAGAAGCAUGAGGUGGAUGCAAACCUGACUGGUCACUGAAUCCCCGUCCGACGAGGAGCUGGAAUUGUCGUUCCAUGAAGGCAUGCUGGCGAGAUGGACGUCCACGGCGACCUGGCGGCGGCAGAGUUAUUGCAGGUAGAAGAACAGGGAGUAAGCGAGGGGGAAGAAGAAGACGGAUUCCAGAUUCAGGGGAGUUAUUGCAGGUGGAUUUAGCCCACUUGCACGCGCGGCCGACGUCUACAGACGUGUACUGCGGGUUGAUUUCGGCGAACGGCAGGGUGUAAAGUCCAAAAGUGGUUGUGUUGACCGUCCCCACAGCCAUGGCUACACGUGGUGUCAUGUGAUUGGCGAAGACUAAAUUUGCACCUCCUAUGCAAGUUCUAGGACUAGUUAGUCCCCUUUUGCAAGUUCUAGGACUAAACCAUCACAUGAUGCGCAGUUCUAGGACCAGCGGUGCUAUUACCUCUAUUAUUAUCUUCAAUAGAUAGUAACAUAGGGGUAGUAACAUUGAGCCUUUUAUUUAUUAUCUUAUAGACUUAUUGUGCCUUGGUAUGCGUUAUUUUACUUGACUACUCACAAUGGGGAGUAACAUAGGCCCUGUUUGUUUCACUCGGACUAGACUAAAAAAGUCCCUUUUAGUCCCUAUGUAACCAAACGGGGGGCACUUUUUCUUAAGGGACUAGAAAAAGACUCUACUGAAGGGACUUUUUUCUUUAGUCCAUGGGACAAGAAAAAGUCUAGUCCCUUGGGAAACAAACACCCCCAUAGAGUAGUAACAUAUAUAUGUUACUAGUCUAAGUUAUUACCUGCAUAGUGGAUAGUAACAUAGGGAUAGUAACGUUGAGCCUAUCAUUUAUUAGGCUAUAGACUCAUCUUGCCUUGGUAUCUGUUAUGUUACUCAUAGAGGUAGUAGCAUGCUAAGUUACUCAAUUUCUCUCUCUUUUUAUUUAUUAGUUGACACAUCAUAUUUUUUGCUUAGGUGACACUUAUGUUACUACAUAUGUUACUCUCAUUGUGGGAACUCUUUAUAGUAUGAAUAACUACUCCUCACGGUAGUAGCUAAGUUACUUAAUUUCUCUCGUCUCAUUAAUUAGUUGUCACAUCACAUUUUUUUACUUAGGUGACAUUUAUGUUACUAUCUAUGUUAUUUUUAUUGUGGGUAAUCUAAGACUAUUAUUUGUAGUUCACGAUUGAACUGGCGGUGCCCAUGGGUCAGGAGCAGGUCAUCUGCACAACUGAAUAUUGCAGCUCAGUCUGAGGCGGAAACAUGGACAGAGGCAGUCCAGGCAGCAGCAGAAUGGGGCAUGGCGAAUAUUGUUCUGGAUUCUGACUGCCAAACAUUGGUUCCUGCACUGAACAGCAACGAGUAUGCAGGGCAGCAAAAUGAAUCAUCUACAGGGAUCUUUUUAUCUUCCUUCCCAAAAGGACCCGUCUACGGGGAUCUUCGUAUCUUCCUUCCCACAAAUUUAAUUUCUGUUGAUGUGGCAUUUGGUCCUCGGGAAUGUAAUAAGAUGGCACAUGCCCUGGCGGCUUAUGGUGUGCGUGAGCACAACCCCUAACUUCUAUGCAUGGUCUGAGAAUGUACCUUAGUUUGUAAGAGCAACUUCAAGGGUCCGAUCCAAAAUGUCUGUUAGUGUUUGUUUGGGUCGAAAAGCACAUAAGCAUGGACGCAAACCUAAAACACUUUCAUCUGGUGUCCACGUCGACGCAUAUAAGGCUCGAUGAAAAUUUGCGUCUAAUUUGCGCCUACGCGGACAGGAAACGGACAACCCGCGCGUCUCGUCGGUGUCCAUGCACGAGGUUGUGCUCUUCAUGUACUGUAGCUAGUAUUCUACUGUUCGCUACUGUACCUAGUAGUUGUCUUGGGGCUUGCCUCGGGCCUUCAUAGUUCCCAACUCCGCCACUGCCACGAACUACCAACUGUGUCAUAUUAAACACGACCAUCCAUUUUGGGUCUGUGCGUUAUUGAUCGGAAGCUACGGGGAGGUCGUCCUUUUAUAAUCCACUCAUGCGAGGGAGCGGGCUCAUCCACUUGCACUCCCUCCCGUCCACAUCUGGUCCCGCACAACCCAUCUUCGGCGACAGGGCAACCCUAGCUAUGGGCUUCUUCAGUGUCAAGGGCAAGGACAAGAUGACCCGAGCGCCGUCUCGUCCCGCCCGCCUCCUCAACCACCACCUGUUCGCGGCGUCCGUAAGCGGGUGAACAUAAUGAUAUGUCCAUUUUGCAUCAUGAACUUAUUAUAUAUAUUUGUGUUAUUCUUGUCCAUUAUUCUCUAUUAUCAUCUUGUGUCCUUUCUCUCUGAAUAUGCAAGGUACGUCACUAAGAGGGAAAUUUCUGGAAACUGGAAUUUUGGAACCAAAAACCAAGAAAAAGGCAGAAAAAUCAACUUGCUCCAAAUGACCAGAAAUUUAAUGGAGAUUUUUUCUUAAAUAUUUAAGAAUUAUUGGGCCAGAAAUACACGAGAGGGUGGCCACCUGUUGUCCACAAGGCAACAGGGCGGGACCACACACCCUGGGCGCGCACUGAUGCCUUGUGCCCCCCCCCCUGCUGGCCCUCUGAUGUCCCUCUUCUCCUAUAUGGCGUGUUUUUACCUAGAAAAAAUCAUAAGAAACCUUUCGGGAUGAAGCGCCGCGGUCUCGAGGCGGAAACCUAGGCAUAGGCCCUUUUGCUCUCUGGUAGAGAGAUUCUGUCGGUGAAACUUCCCUCCGGGAGGGGGAAAUCAAAGCCAUCGUCAUCACCAACACUUCCUCCUUUGUGGGAGGACCAAUAUUCAUCAACAUCUUCACCAACACCAUCUCAUCUCCAACCCUAGUUCAUCUCUUGCAUUCAAUCUUUGUCUCAAAACCUCAGAUUGGUACCUAUGGGUCACUAGUUGUGUUAAUUACAUUGUGUAGUUGAUGCUUGUUGGAUUACUUGGUGGAAGAUAUUAUGUUCAGAUCCUUAACUAUUAUAAUUACAUCUCUGAUCUUGAACAUGUUGAUGAGGUGUGAGUAGUAACUAUUGUUCCUCGGGAUAUGGAAGAAGUCUUGUUAUAAGUAAUCAUAUAAAGUUCGCAUUUGUUUGAUAUUUUAAUGAUAUGUAUGUUGUCACUUCUCUUAGUGGUGCCAUGUGAACGUCGACUACAUGACACUUCACCAUGUUAUGGUCCUAAGGGAAGUCAUUGUAGAGCAACAAGUAGAUGAUGGGUUGUGAAAGUGACAGAAGCUUAAACCCUAGUUUAUGUGUUGCUUCAUGAGCGGCUGAUUUGGAUCCACACGUUUAACGCUAUGGUUAGAUUUAUCUUAAUUCUUGUUUCAUAGUUGCAGAUGCUUGCGAGAGAGGUUAAUCAUAAGUUUGUUGUUUGUUCAAGUAAUAACAUCACCUUGCACCGGUCCACCCACAUAUCAAAUUAUCAAAGUAGCGAACACAAAUCAACUUAGUAUGAUGAAUAUGACUAGACAGAAAUUCACAUGUAUCCUCCGGAGCGUUUGCUUUAUAUAAGAGUACUUUCAGACAUGUCCUUUGCUAAACAAGGAUUGGUCUACUUUACUGCACCUUUUCUACUAUUGUUACUAAUUAUAUUGCUAAAAACUAUCUAGCACUGUUACUUACAACACUUGCACAGAAAACCUUGUUGAAAACCGCUUAUCAUUUCCUUCUCCUCCACGUUGGAUUCGACACUCUUACUCAUCUAAAGCACUACGGUUGACCCCCUAUACAUGUGGGUCAUCAAGUCUCUUUUGUGGCACCGUUGCCGAGGAGUGAAGUGCCUUUGGUAAGUUGACAUUGGUAAGGUAACAUUUUUCUUAUGUGCUGAAAUUUACUAUUGCUUGUCACUAUGAAUGGUCACCCUUUGAAUGGCUUGUUCGGGGCAUCUUCACCUCGAACAGAACUUGAGGAACUUGUUCCUCAACCUAUUGAACCUAAUGAAAAUAUUUAUUAUCAGAUUCCUUCGGGUAUGGUAGAGAAACUGUUGGCUAAUCCUUAUAAUGCUUCGACUCAUCCUGAUUACCAUUUGAUAUAUGUCGAUGAGAUUUGUGGAUUAUUUGAUUUCAGGUAUACCCGAAGAUAAAGUUAAGAAGAAAGUUUUCGUUUUAUCUUUGGAGGGAAAAUCAUUAAUGUGGUACAUGCUAUUGGAUGAUAUUGGAUCAUGGCAAUGGAAUCGCUUGAAGCUGAAAUUUCAACAAAAGUUUUAUCCUAUGCAUCUAAUUCAUCAUGAUCGGAAUUUUAUUUAUAAUUUCUGGCCUCACAAAAGAGUAAGUAUCGCUCAAGGUUGGGGGAGUAUUAAAUCUAUGAUGCACACUUUCCCAACCAUGAGCUUUCAAGAGAAUUCAUUAUACAAAAAAAUUAUGCUCGGCUUUCUCGUGAUGAUUAAACAUUGCUCGAUUCUUGUGUUGUUGGUUCCUAUAUGAAGGAGACUAUUGAAUUUAAAUGGGAUCUUAUGGAAAAGAUUAAAUGCAACUCUAAAGAUUGGGAACUCGGCAAAGGUAAAGAGUCGGUUAUAAAGCUAAUUUUGAUCGCGUUAAAUCUUUUAUGGAAAGUGCUUCUUUCCAUGAGUUCAGCAAUAAAUAUGAUCUUGACUGAGACAGUAGCUACUUUCUGUGAAUAUUUUGCUACCUCUAUUGAUCUUCCCAAGAAGAAGUGGUCUAAAUAUGAUCCUCACAUUGAAAAAUUUACGUGGGAACCUGUUAAAAUUAAGAAGGAGGACAUAAUUGUUAACCAUGUUGAUCCAAUUGUCCCUACUACUUACAUUGAGAAACCUCCUUUUCCUGUCAAGGCUACAAUUGUGGUUAAUAAAAGUUAUGUUAGGACACCUAAACCUUCUAAAAAAUAAAUGUUGAGCCUAAUGUUGGCAUAGUUAAAGAACUCCUAUCUGAUAAUAUUGAUGGACAUGUUAUUUACCUCUGUGAUGAAUUUGCUAGAAUUGCAGAACCUGUUAGAAACAAGCGAGAUGAACUCGAUAAAAAUAAAUGAGUGGUAGGCAUGUGUCAUCUCAGUUAAAAUUGGCAACCAUUGCUAUCAUGGCUUGUGUGAAAUUGGUGAUGGUGUUAGUGCUAUACCAUUUACAUUAUAUCAAGAAAUUAUGCAUGAUAUAGUGAUACGUCUCCAACGUAUCUAUAAUAUUUGAUGGUUACAUGCUAUUAUCUUGUCAACUUUGGAUGUUUUAUAUGCAUGAAUAUGCUAUUUUAUAUCUUUUUUGGGACUAACCUAUUAACUCAGUGCCAAGUGCCAGUUUCUGUCUUUUCCGUGUUUUUGACGGAGUCUAAAUUGAAUGAAACUUUACGAUGAUUUUUUUUGGACCAAAAGAGACCCCCGAAGCUAUGGAAGAAGGCCAGAAGAGCCAAGAGGGAGUCACAAUCCCAUGGGGCGCGGCCUACCCCCUGGUCGCACCGUGCGGGCUUGUGACCUCCUCGUGGGCCCAACUGACGCAAUUCCACCACCAUAAAUUCCUAUAAAUUCAGAAACCUCCAAAAAGAAACCUAGAUCGGGAGUUCCGCCGCCGCAAGCCUCUGUAGCCACUAAAAACCAAUCUGGAGCCCGUUCUGACACCCUGCCGGAGGGGGAUUCCAUCUCCGGUGGCCAUCUUCAUCAUCCCGGCGAUCUCCAUGACGAGGAGGGAGUAGUUCACCCUUGGGGCUAAGGGUAUGUACCAGUAGCUAUGUGUUUGAUCUCUCUCUCUCUCGUGUUCUUGAGAUGUCUUGAUCUCGAUGUACCGUGGGCUUUGCUACUAUAGUUGGAUCUUAUGAUGUUCUUCCCCCUCUCCCUUCUUGUAAUUAAUUGAAUUUCCCCUUUGAAGUUAUCUUAUCGGAUUGAGUCUUUGAGAACACUUGAUGUAUGUCUUGCACGUGUCUAUCUGUUGUGAUCAACUUGCGGGUUUGUGGCAAUUGGGAACCUAUGCAUAUGGGUUGGCACACGUGGAUUCAUGUGAGUACUCGAUGUAUGUUUUGGUGAUCAACUUGCGGGUUCGUGACAUUGGGAACCUAUGCAUAGGGGUUGGCACACAUUUUGACUCUCCGGUAGAAACUUCGGGGCACUCUUUGAGGUUCUAUGUGUUGGUUGAAUAGAUGAUUCUGAGAUUGUGCGAUGCAUAUCGUAUAAUCAUGCCCAUGGAUACUUGAGGUGACAAUGGAGUAUCUAGGUGACAUUAGGGUCUUGGUUGAUAUGUAUCUUAAGGUGUUAUUCUAGUACGAACUCUUGAAUAGAUGGAUCAAAAAUAAUAACUUUAUGGUGGUUUCGUACCCGACAAUAAUCUAUUCGUUUGUUCUCCGCUAUUAGUGACUUUGGAGUGACUCUUUGUUGCAUGUUGAGGGCUAGUUAUACGAUCCAAUUAUGUUAUCAUUGUUGAGAGAACUUCCACUAGUGAAAGUAUGAACCCUAGGCCUUGUUUCCACGCAUUGCAAUACCGUUCAUGCUCACUUUUGUUACUAGUUACCUUGCUGUUUUUGUAAUUUCAGAUUACGAAAACCUAUAUAUCUACCAUCCAUUUUGCACUUGUUUCACCAUCUCUUCGACAAACUAGUGCACCUAUACAACUUAUCAUUGUAUUGGGUGUGUUGGGGACACAAGAGACUCUUUGUUAUUUGGUUGCAGGGUUGCUUGAGAGAGACCAUCUUCAUCCUAUGCCUCCCGCGGAUUGAUAAACCUUAGGUCACCCACUUGAGGGAAAAUUGCUAUUGUCCUACAAACCUCUGCACUUGGAGGCCCAACAAUGUCUACAAGGAAAAGGUUGCAUAGUAGACAUCAUAUAGCACCCUAUGACAUUGAAGAUAUUGAUGUCACUACUAAACUUGCGAACCGUGACACUAUUUCACCACUUGGGAUUGUUAGAUAUAUUGAAGUCUUGUGUGGAAAAGUCAAGUACCCCGUUGAUUUCCUAGUACUUGCUUCAGAACCAGAUAACUUUGCCUCACCAUAUUUGGUAGACCUUUCUUGAAUACUGUUAAUGUUGAAACUAAUUGUGCUACUAAGAAGGUUAGAGUGAGCUUUGGUGAUAUGUCUCAUGAGUUUUAUUUCUCCAAGUUUAGUAAACAACCACAUGAAAAAGAAUUGCCUAAUAAGGAUGAAAUAAUUGGUCUUGCUUCUAUUGUUGUACCUCCUAUUGAUCCAUUAGAACAAUAUUUGGUAGGUCAUGAGAAUGAAAUGCACAUCAAUGAAAGGAACGAAAUAGAUAAGAUAUUCUUUGACCAACAACCUAUCCUUAAGCACAACCUACCCGUUGACAUUUUAGGGGAUCCUCCUCCACCCAAGGUAGAUCACAUGUUUGAGCUUAAGACUUUACCUGAUACUUCGAAAUAUGCUUAUCUAGAUGGAAAGAAGAUAUAUCAUGUUAUUAUCCGUUCUAACCUUUCAGAGCAUGAAGAAAAGAGAUUACUCAAAACUUUGGGGAAGCACAUGGCUACUACUCUUGAUGAUCUUAAGGGCAUAAGCCUCACUCUCUGUUAGCACAAGAUUAAUAUGGAACCGGAUGUUAAACCAGUCGUUGAUCAUCAACACUGUCUCAACCCAAAGGUGAAAGAGGUGAUAAGAACUGAAAUACUAAAACUUCUGGAGGCAUGUAUAAUUUAUCUUAUUGCUGAUAGUAGAUGGGUAAGUCUUGUUCAUUGUGUUCCUAAGAAAGGUGGUAUUACUUUUGUCCCUAAUGAUAAAGAUGAACUUAUUCCACAGAGGACAUUGACUCGUUAUAGGAUGGUAAUUAAUUUCACAAAAUUGAAUAAAGUUACUAGAAAAUACCAUUACCCCUUGCCUUUUAUUGAUCAAAUGUUAUAAAGAUUGUCUAAGCACACACACUUUUGCUCUCAUGAUGGAUAUUCUCGAUUCUCUCAAAUACCUGUGUCAAAAGAAGACCAAGAGAAAACUACCUUUACUUGCCCUUUUGGAACUUAUGCUUAUAGGCGUAUGCCUUUUGGUAUAUUCAAUGCACGUGCUACCUUUCAAAGAUGUAUGACUACUUAUUAUUUGAAUUUUGUGAAAAGGUUGUUUGGUUUUCAUGGUUGUUUUUUUUCAUUUACGGAACUGCUUUUGAUGAUUGCUUGAACAACCUUGAUCGAUUUUAUGGUGAAAGAAGGUACAAUACUUGGGCAUAAAAUUUCUGAAUGAGGUAUUGAGGUAGAUAAGGCCAAAGUUGAUGCAAUACAGAAAAAUCCAUGCCCAAAAGAUAUCAAAGGUAUAAUAAGUUUCCUCGGUCAUGCUCGUUUCUAUAGGCGUUUCAUUAAAGAUUUCUCAAAGAUUUCUAGUCCAUUAACUAAUCUUCUUCAUAAAUUUGUUCCUUUUGUUUUGAUGAUGAUUGUGUAGAAGCCUUUGAAAUACUUUAUAAAGCCUUAAUUUCUGCACCUAUUGUUCAACCACCUGAUUGGAACUUACCCUUUGAAAUUAUGUGUGAUUCUAGUGAUUAUGUUGUUGGUGAUAUUCUAGGGCAAAGAGUAGACAACAAAUUGAAUGUUAUUCAUUAUGCUAGUAAGACCCUAGAUACUGCUCAAAGAAAUUAUGCUACUACUAAAAAAGAAUUUUUAGCAGUUGUGUUUGCAUGUGAUAAAUUUAGACCUUACACCGUUGAUUCUAAAGUAACUAUUCAUACCGAUCAUGUUGCUAUUAAAUACCUGAUGGAAAAGAAAGUUGCUAAACCUAGACUUAUCAGAUGGGUGCUAUUACUCCAAGAAUUUGACUUGCGUAUCAUUGAUAGGAAAGGAGCUGAAAACCCUGUAGCAGAUAACUUGUCUAGGAUAGAAAAUGUUCUUGAUGACCCAUGUAUCAAAUUAUCAAAGUAGCGAACACAAAUCAACUUAGUAUGAUGAAUAUGACUAGACAGAAAUUCUCAUGUGUACUCAGGGGCGUUUGCUUUAUAUAAGAGUACUUUCACGCAUGUCCUUUGCUACAAAAAGUAUUGGGCUACCUUGCUGCAUCUUUGCUACUAUUGUUACUUGUCACUUGUUACGAAUUAUCUUGCUACAAAAUUAUCUAUCACUCUUACUUACAACACUUGCAUAAAAUACCUUGCUGAAAACCGCAUAUCAUUUCCUUCUGCUCCUCGUUGGGUUUGACACUCUUACUUAUUGAAAGGACUAUGAUUUAUCCCCUAUAAUUGUGGGUCAUCACAUACUCGUGCACCAGGCAUGGUGGCACUAGUUGUAUCGGCAGCCGCUGUUGUAUCCCGAUGUCAACCUGUCCUAGGGUUGGCAUCUGGAUUCGUAGCGCAUCUCAGUGCAGGCGGUGUCGUGGUCACAGCUGGCUCACACCGAGGAGGUGUGACGGCUUUGCGAACUCCUUACAUCGGAGCAGCAACGGUCCACUGUCUAUGCCUCAGACUCUCCCAAUUGGGAGAUCUGGUUUGCCCUCGAGCAUGAGGAGGAGUGCCGACGCAGUGUCCAGCACCACCACACCAACCUCCCAUUGCCGCCUAAGGUCAAGACGGAGGAGGAGGAGGAGGAGGAGUGCAUUUAUCGGGCGGUGUUGGCGGCGGGCAUGUAGGUAUCCAAUGAGGAUACCCCGUGCAAAGAGGAGGAGGAGGAGGUUGUGUACCAGGCACGGUUGGCGGAGGCACACGCUCUGUCUGUGGCCGGGGACUGCAUGAUUCCCCGUCGCUACUGAGACUCUCCGCACCAAGCCCAAACCGCAGCCAACGGAGCCCCAGCCGCUGAUGAAGCGGUAUGUGUGGAAGGGUGGGCUGUGCGAGUGGGUGAGCGCGCCUUCCAUGUGUCUCGGUACGAUACCGGUGGAGGACGUGGCAUACCUCGAGCAUUAUAGGAAGCGCGCGUUGACGAAGGAGCAGGGGGACAAUAAGUGUCUGGUAGAGGCUGAGCGCAAGGCGGAAGAGNNNNNNNNNNNNNNNNNNNNNNNNNNNNNNNNNGAAGAGCGGCAUGCCCUGUGGGCACGAGAGGAAGAGGAGGCGCGUGAGGAGGAGGGGGAGGAGCGUUGUCCCACGACGAAGCAGUCCAGCCGGUGCAGGAUGCGGCCCGAGCCUGAGAUAGAUGGAUUUGUUGAGAAAUAUGAUGGUCGACCUAAUCGGCCCUAGCUCUGACGACGAGGAGGCCUAGGGCAGUGCGCGGGAACGACGAGGAUGCCUAAGACAGUGCGGGGGAGAUGCAUAUUUUUUUAAUUAUGUUUUUAAGGUAUAUGUGGACUUUAGCCGUCGGUUUACCGGUUUUUAAUGUUUAAUUAUGUUAAGUUUAAAUGCAUUGCAUGUUUUGUGUUUUAAAGCCGACCUAAAUGAAAAAAGAACAUGAACGUGUGCAUGGUCGAUCCAAACGGACAAAGCACACGUCCAUUUAGGGUCGGUGGUUCUAUGCAGCUCGCGAUCUAGCCCAGCUUGCAGGUAAAUGAAAUCACAGUGUUCCAGUGGUCUAGGACCACUUAAGUAACUUUUAGGUUAGUUUCGUAAAAAAAAAAAGGCUUCAAGGUUAGUGUUGUUGGUCGGUGUUCGUUGACAAGUUUUUACAUAAUAACUGUGAAGAUGACAUGCUUGAUACUACCGGCCAUACCACUUGUUUUUCGUCAACGUCCAAGAAAGCCAUCUCGUACGUUAGAAGAGAUAGAUGGAUUUGAUGCGAAAUAUGAUGGAUGUUGUAUUGAGCCUUAUGGACGAGUAUAUAUAGGAGUGGACACUUGGAGGGCAAGAAGCCUUUCCUAGAGAUAAGGUAGGAGAUGGUUUACAAAUCCUAGAGUAUCAAAUACAUGUACGCCAAAUAUAUCUCUAACAUCCCCCACAACCGUAGCGACAGUGUUGCGAACAACAGGAGCAUCGAGGACGGCCAGACUAGAGAGAAUACCUGUCGACGGGCUAACAACCCUCCCCCCUCCCCCUCCCNNNNNNNNNNNNNNNNNNNNNNNNNNNNNNNNNNNNNNNNNNNNNNNNNNNNNNNNNNNNNNNNNNNNNNNNNNNNNNNNNNNNNNNNNNNNNNNNNNNNNNNNNNNNNNNNNNNNNNNNNNNNNNNNNNNNNNNNNNNNNNNNNNNNNNNNNNNNNNNNNNNNNNNNNNNNNNNNNNNNNNNNNNNNNNNNNNNNNNNNNNNNNNNNNNNNNNNNNNNNNNNNNNNNNNNNNNNNNNNNNNNNNNNNNNNNNNNNNNNNNNNNNNNNNNNNNNNNNNNNNNNNNNNNNNNNNNNNNNNNNNNNNNNNNNNNNNNNNNNNNNNNNNNNNNNNNNNNNNNNNNNNNNNNNNNNNNNNNNNNNNNNNNNNNNNNNNNNNNNNNNNNNNNNNNNNNNNNNNNNNNNNNNNNNNNNNNNNNNNNNNNNNNNNNNNNNNNNNNNNNNNNNNNNNNNNNNNNNNNNNNNNNNNNNNNNNNNNNNNNNNNNNNNNNNNNNNNNNNNNNNNNNNNNNNNNNNNNNNNNNNNNNNNNNNNNNNNNNNNNNNNNNNNNNNNNNNNNNNNNNNNNNNNNNNNNNNNNNNNNNNNNNNNNNNNNNNNNNNNNNNNNNNNNNNNNNNNNNNNNNNNNNNNNNNNNNNNNNNNNNNNNNNNNNNNNNNNNNNNNNNNNNNNNNNNNNNNNNNNNNNNNNNNNNNNNNNNNNNNNNNNNNNNNNNNNNNNNNNNNNNNNNNNNNNNNNNNNNNNNNNNNNNNNNNNNNNNNNNNNNNNNNNNNNNNNNNNNNNNNNNNNNNNNNNNNNNNNNNNNNNNNNNNNNNNNNNNNNNNNNNNNNNNNNNNNNNNNNNNNNNNNNNNNNNNNNNNNNNNNNNNNNNNNNNNNNNNNNNNNNNNNNNNNNNNNNNNNNNNNNNNNNNNNNNNNNNNNNNNNNNNNNNNNNNNNNNNNNNNNNNNNNNNNNNNNNNNNNNNNNNNNNNNNNNNNNNNNNNNNNNNNNNNNNNNNNNNNNNNNNNNNNNNNNNNNNNNNNNNNNNNNNNNNNNNNNNNNNNNNNNNNNNNNNNNNNNNNNNNNNNNNNNNNNNNNNNNNNNNNNNNNNNNNNNNNNNNNNNNNNNNNNNNNNNNNNNNNNNNNNNNNNNNNNNNNNNNNNNNNNNNNNNNNNNNNNNNNNNNNNNNNNNNNNNNNNNNNNNNNNNNNNNNNNNNNNNNNNNNNNNNNNNNNNNNNNNNNNNNNNNNNNNNNNNNNNNNNNNNNNNNNNNNNNNNNNNNNNNNNNNNNNNNNNNNNNNNNNNNNNNNNNNNNNNNNNNNNNNNNNNNNNNNNNNNNNNNNNNNNNNNNNNNNNNNNNNNNNNNNNNNNNNNNNNNNNNNNNNNNNNNNNNNNNNNNNNNNNNNNNNNNNNNNNNNNNNNNNNNNNNNNNNNNNNNNNNNNNNNNNNNNNNNNNNNNNNNNNNNNNNNNNNNNNNNNNNNNNNNNNNNNNNNNNNNNNNNNNNNNNNNNNNNNNNNNNNNNNNNNNNNNNNNNNNNNNNNNNNNNNNNNNNNNNNNNNNNNNNNNNNNNNNNNNNNNNNNNNNNNNNNNNNNNNNAGUGAGUUAUAUGAUCUCAUGGUCAUAGGAAUAAAUACUUGACACGCAGAAAACAGUAGCAACAAAAUGACACGAUCAACAUGCUACGUCUAUUAGUUUGGGUCUAGUCCAUCACAUGAUUCUCCUAAUGAUGUGAUCCCGUUAUCAAGUGACAACACUUGCCUAUGGCCAGGAAACCUUGACCAUCUUUGAACAACGAGCUAGUCAACUAGAGGCUUACUAGGGAUAGUGUUUUGUCUAUGUAUCCACACAAGUAUUGUGUUUCCAAUCAAUACAAUUAUAGCAUGGAUAAUAAACGAUUAUCAUGAACUAAGAAAUAUAAUAAUAACUAAUUUAUUAUUGCCUCUAGGGCAUAUUUCCAACAGUCUCCCACUUGCACUAGAGUCAAUAAUCUAGUUCACAUCACCAUGUGAUUCCAACGAAUCCAACACCCAUAUAGUUAUGGGGUCUGAUCACGUCUUGCUCGUGAGAGAGGUUUUAGUCAACGGUUCUGAAACUUGCAGAUCCGUGUGUUCUUUACAAAUCUUUAUGUCAUCUUAUAGAUGCUGCUACUACGUGCUAUUCGGAAAUGCUCCAAAUAUCUACUCUACUAUAUGAAUCCGUUUCACUACUCAUAGUUAUUCGGAUUAGUGUCAAAGCUUGCAUCGACGUAACCCUUUACGACAAACUCUUUAACCACCUCCAUGAUCGAGAAAAAAUUCCUUAGUCCAUUAGUUACCAAGGAUAAAUUUUGACCGCUGCUAGUGAUUCAAUCAUGGAUCACUCUCUGUACCUCUCAACAGACUUUGAGUCAAGGCACACUUCAGGUGCGGUACACAGCAUGGCAUACUUUAGAUUCUACGGCUAAGGCAUAGAAGACGACCUUCGUCUAUUCUCUUUUAUUCUGCCGUGGUCGGGUUUUGAGUCUUACUCAAAUUCACACCUCACAACGCAACCAAGAACUCUUUCUUUGCUGGUCUAUUUUGAACUCUUUCAAAAACUUGUCAAGGCAUGUAUCUUGUUGAAACUUCCAUUAAGCGCUUUCGAUCUAUCUCCAUAGAUCUUUGAUGCUCAACGUUCAAGUAGCUCAAUCCAGGUAUUCCUUUGAAAAAACUCCUUUCAAACAACCUUGUAUGCUUUACAGAAAUUCUACAUUACUUCUGAUCCACAAUAUGUCAACCACAUAUACUUAUCAGAAAUUCUAUAGUGCUCCCACUCACUUCUUUGGAAAUACAAGUUUCUCAUAAACCUUGUACAAACCCAAAAUCCUUGAUCAUCUCAUCAAAGUGUAUAUUCCAACUCCGAGAUGCUUGCACCAGUCCAUUGAAGGAUCACUGGAGUUUGCGUACUUGCUAGUAUCUUUUAGGAUCGACAAAACCUUCUGGUUGUAUCACAUACAAUGUUUGCUCAAGGAAACCGUCGAGGAAACAAUGUUUUGACAUCCUACGUGCAAUAUUUCAUAAAUAAUGCAUCAACAACUAACAUAAUUCUAACAGACUUUUAGCAUCGCUACGAGUGAGAAAGUCUCAUCACAGUCAACUGUUUGAUCUUGUCGAAAACAUCUUUGCGACAAGUCGAGCUUUUCUUAAUAGUGACUUAUCACCAUCAUCGUCUGUCUUCCUUUAAAGAUCCAUUUUUACUCAAUAGUCCUAUGACCAUCAAGUAGUUCUACCAAAGUCUUCACUUUGUUUUCACACAUGGAUCCUCUCUCGGAUUUCAUGGCUUCCAGCCAUUUGUCGGAAUCUGGGCCCACCAUCGCUUUCUCCAUAACUCGUAGGUUCACUGUUGCUCAACAACAUGACCUCCAAGACAGGGUUACAGUACUACUCUGCAGCAGUAUGCGACCUUGUCGACCUACGAGGUUUGUAGUAACUUGAUUCGAAGCUCAAUGAUCACCAUCAUCAGCUUCUUCUUCAAUUGGUGUAGGCGCCACAGGAACAACUUCCUACGCCCUGCUACACACUAGUUGAAGUGAUGGUUCAAUAACCUCAUCAAGUUCUACUACCCUCCCACUCAAUUCUUUCGAGAGAAACCUUUCCUCGAGAAAGGAUCCGUUUCUAGAAACAAACACUUUGCUUUCGGAUCUGAGAUAGGAGAUGUACCCAACUGUUUUGGAUAUCCUAUGAAGAUGCAUUUAUCCGCUUUGGGUUCGAGCUUAUCAGACUGAAACCUUUUCACAUAAGUGUCGAAACCCCAAACUUUCAUGAAACGACAGUUUAGAUUUCUCUAAACCUCAGUCUAUACUGUGUCAUCUCAACGGAAAUACGCGGUGCCCUAUUUAAAGUGAGUGCGGUUGUCUCUAAUGCAUAACCCAUAAACGAUAGUGGUAAUUCGAUAAGAGACAUCACAGUAUGCACCAUACUAAAUAGUGCGUGGCUAUGAUGUUCAGACACAUCAUCACACUAUGAUGUUCCAGGUGGCAUGAACUGUGAAACAAUUUCCACAUUGUCUUAACUGUGUACCAAAAACUCGUAACUCAGAUAUUCAUUUCUAUGAUCACAUCGUAGACAGUUCAUCUUCUUGUUACGACGAACUUCACUCUGAAACAGAAUUGAACUUUUCAAUAUUUCAGAUUUGUGAUUCAUUAAGUAAAUACUUCUGUAUCUACUCAAGUCGUCAGUGAAGUAAGAACAUAAUGAUAUCCACUGCGUGCCUCAGCAUUCACUGGACUGCAUACAUCAAAAUGUAUCACUUUCCAACAAGUUACUAUCUUGUUUCAUCUCAACGAAAACAAGGCCUUGCUCAUGUGGUAUGAUUUGCAUGUCACUAGUGAUUCGAAAUCAGGUGAGUACAAAGAUCCAUCAGCAUGGAGCCUCUUCAUGCAAUUUAUACUAACAUGACUCAAGCGGCAGUGCCACAAGUAAGUGGUACUAUCAUCAUUAACUCGUAUCUUUUGGCACCAAUGUGUCACACUACAAUCGAGAUUCAAUAAACCAUUGAAGGUGAUUAUUCAAGCAAAUAGAGUAACCAUUAUUCUCUUUGAAUGAAUAAUCGUAUUGCAAUAAACACGAUCCAAUCAUGUUCACGCUUAACGCAAACACCAAAUAACAAUUAUUUAGGUUCAACACCAAUCCCGAUGGUAGAGGGAGCGUGCGACGUUUGAUUAUAUCAACCUUGGAAACAGUUCCAACACAUAUCGUCACCUCGCCUUUAGCUAGUCUCCGUUUAUGCCGUAGCUUUCAUUUCGCGUUACUAAUCACUUAGCAACCGAACCGGUAUCCAAUACCCUCGUGCUACUAGGAGUACUAGUAAAGUACACAUCAACAUUAUGUAUAUCACAUAUAUACUUCUCUCGACUUUUCCAGCCUUCUUAUCCACCAAGUAUCUAGAGUUGCUCCGCCUCAGUGACUGUUCCCCUUAUUAUAGAAGCACUUAGUCUCGGGUUUGGGUUUAAUCUUGGGUCUCUUCAUUAGUGCAGCAAUUGUUUUGCCGUUUCACGAAGUAUCCCUUCUAGCCCUUGCCUUUCUUGAAACUUAGUGGUUUUACUAACCAUCAACUAUUGAUGCUCCUUCUUGAUUUCUACUUUCGCAGUGUCAAACAUCGCGAAUCACUCAAAAGAUCAUAGUAUCUAUCCUUGAUAUGUUAUAGUUCAUCACGAAGCUCUCAUAGCUUGGUGGCAGUGACUUUGGAGAACCAUCAAUAUCUCAUUUGGAAGAUUAACUCCCACUUGAUUCAAGCGAUUGUCGUACUCAGACAAUCUGAGCACACGCUCAACGAUUGAGCUUUUCUCCUUUACUUUGUGGACAAAGAAUCUUGUUUGGAGGUCUCGAACCUCUUAACAAGGGCACAAGCAUGAAAUCACAAUUUCAUCUCUUCGGAACAUCACUUAUGUUCCGUGACGUUUUACAACGUUUUCGGCGCCUUUGCUUCUAAGCCAUCAAGUAUCUUGCACUGAACUAUCGUGUAGUCAUCAGUAACGUGUAUGUCGGAUGUUCAUAGCAUCCACAGACGACGCUCGAGGUGCAGCACACCGAGUGGUGCAUUAAGGACAUAAGCCUUCUGCGUAGCAACGAGGACAAUCCUCGGUUUUACAGACUCAGUCUGCAAAGGUUGCUACUAUCAAUUUUCAACUAAAUUUUCUCUAGGAACAUGUAAAAACAGUAGAGCUAUAGCGCAAGCUACAUCGUAAUUCGCAAAGACCAUUAGACUAUGUUCAUGACAAUUAGUUCAAUUAAUCAUAUUACUUAAGAACUCCUACUCAAAAAGUACAUCUCUCUAGUCAUUUGAGUGGUACACGAUCCAAAUCCGCUAUCUCAAGUCCGAUCAUCACGUGAGUCGAGAAUAGUUUCAGUGGUAAGCAUCCCUAUGCUAAUCAUAUCAACUAUACGAUUCAUGCUCGACCUUUUGGUCUCAUGUGUUCCGAGGCCAUGUCUGCACAUGCUAGGCUCGUCAAGCUUAACCCGAGUGUUCCGCGUGUGCAACUGUUUUGCACCCGUUGUAUGUGAACGUUGAGUCUAUCACACCCGAUCAUCACGUGGUGUCUCGAAACGAAGAACUGUCGCAACGGUGCACAGUCGGGGAGAACACAAUUUCGUCUUGAAAUUUUAGUGAGAGAUCACCUCAUAAUGCUACCGUCGUUCUAAGCAAAAUAAGGUGCAUAAAAGGAUUAACAUCACAUGCAAUUCAUAAGUGACAUGAUAUGGCCAUCAUCACGUGCUUCUUGAUCUCCAUCACCAAAGCACCGGCACGAUCUUCUUGUCACCGGCGCCACACCAUGAUCAUCCAUCAACGUGUCGCCAUCGGGGUUGUCGUGCUACUUAUGCUAUCACUACUAAAGCUACAUCCUAGCAAAAUAGUAAACGCAUCUGCAAGCACAUAUGUUAGUAUAAAGACAACCCUAUGGCUCCUGCCGGUUGCCGUACCAUCGACGUGCAAGUCGAUAUUUCUAUUACAACAUGAUCAUCUCAUACAUCCAAUAUAUCACAUCACAUCAUUGGCCAUAUCACAUCACAAUCAUACCCUGCAAAAACAAGUUAGACGUCCUCUAAUUUUGUUGUUGCAAGUUUUACGUGGUGACCAAGGGUAUCUAGUAGGAUCGCAUCUUACUUACGCAAACACCACAACGGAGAUGUAUGAGUUGCUAUUUAACCUCAUCCAAGGACCUCCUCGGUCAAAUCCGAUUCAACUAAAGUUGGAGAAACCGUCACUUGCCAGUCAUCUUUGAGCAAAGGGGGUUACUCGUAACGAUGAAACCAGUCUCUCGUAAGCGUACGAGUAAUGUCGGUCCAAGCCGCUUCAAUCCAACAAUGCCGCGGAAUCAAGAAAAGACUAAGGAGGGAAGCAAAACGCACAUCACCGCCCACAAAGCCUUUUGUGUUCUACUCGAGAAGACAUCUACGCAUGAACCUAGCUCAUGAUGCCACUGUUGGGGAACGUCGCAUGGGAAACAAAAAUUUUCCUACGCGCACGAAGACCUAUCAUGGUGAUGUCCAUCUACGAGAGGGGAUGAGUGAUCUACGUACCCUUGUAGAUCGUACAGCAGAAGCGUUAGAGAACGCGGUUGAUGUAGUGGAACGUCCUCACGUCCCUCGAUCCGCCCCGCGAACAAUCCCGCGAUCAGUCCCACGAUCUAGUACCGAACGGACGGCACCUCCGCGUUCAGCACACGUACAGCUCGACGAUGAUCUCGGCCUUCUUGAUCCAGCAAGAGAGACGGAGAGGUAGAAGAGUUCUCCGGCAGCGUGACGGCGCUCCGGAGGUUGGUGAUGAUCUUGUCUCAGCAGGGCUCCGCCCGAGCUCCGCAGAAACACGAUCUAGAGGAAAAACUAUGGAGGUAUGUGGUCGGGCAGCCGUGAGAAAGUCGUCUCAAAUCAGCCCUAAAACCUCCGUAUAUAUAGGUGGGAGGGGGAGGGAAGAGGCAGCCUCAAACCCUCAAGGGUUGGCCGAAAUUGGAGGUGGAGGAGUCCUACUCCAAUCCUACUUGGAGUAGGAUUCCACCUUCCCACUUGGAAACUCUUUCCACCUUGUGUUUUUUCCUUCUCAAACCUUAUGGGCCUUAGUGGGAACUUAUUCCAGCCCACUAGGGGCUGGUUUAUCUCUUCCCAUAGCCCAUGAGACCCCUUGGGGCGUGACACCCCUCCCGAUGGUCCCCGGCACCCCUCCCGGCACUCCCGGUACACUACCGAUGAGCCCGAAACUUUUCCGGUGACCAAAACAGGACUUCCUAUAUAUCAAUAUUUACCUCCGGACCAUUCCGGAGCUCCUCGUGACGUCCUGGAUCUCAUUCGGGACUCCGAACAACAUUCGGUAACCAACCAUAUAACUCAAAUACGCAUAAAACAACGUCGAACCUUAAGUGUGCAGACCCUGCGGGUUCGAGAACUAUGUAGACAUGACCCGAGAGACUCCUCGGUCAAUAUCCAAUAGCGGGACCUGGAUGCCCAUAUUGGAUCCUACAUAUUCUACGAAGAUCUUAUCGUUUGAACCUCAGUGCCAAGGAUUCAUAUAAUCCCGUAUGUCAUUCCCUUUGUCCUUCGGUAUGUUACUUGCCCGAGAUUCGAUCGUUAGUAUCCGCAUACCUAUUUCAAUCUCGUUUACCGGCAAGUCUCUUUACUCGUUCCGUAAUACAAGAUCCCGCAACUUACAUUAAGUUACAUUGCUUGCAAGGCUUGUGUGUGAUGUUGUAUUACCGAGUGGGCCCCGAGAUACCUCUCCGUCACACGGAGUGACAAAUCCCAGUCUUGAUCCAUACUAACUCAACUAACACCUUCGGAGAUACCUGUAGAGCAUAUUUAUAGUCACCCAGUUACGUUGCGACGUUUGAUACACACAAAGCAUUCCUCCGGUGUGAGUGAGUUAUAUGAUCUCAUGGUCAUAGGAAUAAAUACUUGACACGCAGAAAACAGUAGCAACAAAAUGACACGAUCAACAUGCUACGUCUAUUAGUUUGGGUCUAGUCCAUCACAUGAUUCUCCUAAUGAUGUGAUCCCGUUAUCAAGUGACAACACUUGCCUAUGGCCAGGAAACCUUGACCAUCUUUGAACAACGAGCUAGUCAACUAGAGGCUUACUAGGGAUAGUGUUUUGUCUAUGUAUCCACACAAGUAUUGUGUUUCCAAUCAAUACAAUUAUAGCAUGGAUAAUAAACGAUUAUCAUGAACUAAGAAAUAUAAUAAUAACUAAUUUAUUAUUGCCUCUAGGGCAUAUUUCCAACAGUCGCGCCACUGACCCAUGGACUGCAGUGGAAGCCAAUGAGUUGCUCAAGCGAGGUGAUAGCCCUUUGUGCCGUUGUCGAGGUAGUCGAGACCGUGGAUGGUGUAGCCGUGGUCGAGGUAGCUGUGAAAAGAAUAUUGUGGUCGAUGUCGAGUCAGGGUAGCCGGUGACGAGGAAGUCAUCGUGGAGUCGUGGGUGCAAGGAGGCGUCGAGUAAGUCAUAGGCGCGAUGUCGAAGUAGUGAUGCGCCAGAAAGAGGGCGUUGUUCACGAUGAGUCGCGUCGGGUUUGCCAAGCCCGGGGACACAUAAUGGACGAAGGCACACAUCGGUGUUGCCAGCACCGGGCAUGUGUAGACGAACGAAGUCGAUGUUGGCAAUGCACCGCUCGAGGCUUGCGAGGACUAGGAGCACAUCGGGGACGAAGGCACAUGUUGUUGCCAGCAUCGGGCAUGCGUAGACGGGGACCUGCACACAAUUUGUACGCCACGUUGAGGGGUCUAGGACAAAAGGACUCGGUGAUGGUUGUGACGCAAAUCAGCGGGAGGCCGAAGUCGCGUGCUGUUGUCGGAGUAGAUGACGAUGACACUUAGGAUGAGAUGGUGCUGGACAAACAUAAAUGGGGUGGAGUGGUGGGGCAGCUCGGGCGGGCGACUUGCCGCAGCGCCAAAGAAACGGGGCGACGCGGCUAGGGUGGGCGAGUCGUAGUGGCACCGAAGAGGAGGGGUGGAUGCGGCCUAAUGGCGGCCGCUAGUUAGGAGUGUGGCAUCGAUGCUCGAAGUUCGCGAGGAAGAACUUGACAGCAUGACGAAGACCGACGCGGACGGUGACUUUCCCGUGCUGAGGGAGUCGUCAUGGCGCAUGCCACAUAGAAGUUGACACACGCGGACGACGGAGUGGGCCACAUGUCGCGGCGCUAUAGCCCGAAGGGGCCACGCAGUGACAGCGCGCAGGUCGGGGAAACGACGGGAAGACUUCGGGGCGGCGGCAUGGACCGUGAGCCACGACGUGACAACCCAAAGGGGAGGCGCAACGGUUGAGGGCGGGUCGGUGCAGCCAUGGGGAUGGCCUCGGGCGAUGGCGGGGACCGCGUGUCGCGACACUACAGCCCGAAAGGCCGACACAAUGGCAACGCACGAGCCGGUGCAGCCGCGAGGAGAACCACGGGGCGGCGGUACUGCGGCUCGAUGGGGCGACGCACCGGCAACCCGUUGCUUGAUCGAUGGAGGGACGCGCUUUACUAGGGACAGUCUUCACGGGACAUGCGGAUGCGUGUGCAACCGACGGGCCAGGUCGGGUGCCCGACGUGGAUGAGGCUGAUCGCAGGUGAGCGGGUGAUCAAUCCAAUCGCGAACGUGGGCGGGAACGUCGCUCGGUGGAGGCGGGGUGGCGGAUAAGUCUGAGAUGAAACCGGAGCGAGCAACGACCUUCGCCGUGAGAUGACGUGUGUACGAGCCCAACGCGGUCGGAGCCAGCAGCCGAUCCGAUGCAUCCGAUGAGGCUGAUGAAGCCAACAGCCAGCAGACGACGUUCCCUACGCGGACGGAGCCGGCAGCCGACGAGGCGAUGAAGCCGGCCCCGGCAGCCGGCCCAAGGCAGUCGGUUGGGCAACUGUACGAUGCGACGAAGGAGGGUGGUGAUGAAAAGGUCCCGGUCGGAGUAGGGCGACAUGAAAGAAGGAGCACAAGCGACAGCCGUAAGGGGAAGCCACGUAGCCCGAGGCCGACCGAUUGGAGAAGAGACCGGGUGGUUGCACCGAUGUCGAAGUAGAGGCGCGCGGUCGACAACGGCGACAGAUGACGCAAAUCGAUCUUAGAUUGCAAAACCAAAAUGAAGAUGUCGAUCAAAGUGACCAGCGGGAGAGAGAAGACCCGGAUCAAAAGAUUGGGGAAAAGACUCUCGAGGGCAGCCGGUAAACACGACCGACGGACGAAUCCUAGGUACGGGCGACAGGACCCCUGGUGACGGUCAUGGAGGAUGACCGCCCCGGGGGCGGCGUGGAGCGGAAGCAGCGGACGGCGGCUAGGGUUGAAUCGGUUAGGUUGAUACCAUGUUAGAAGAGAUAGAGGGAUUGGUGCGGAAUAUGAUAGAUGUUGUAUUGAGACUAAUGGAUGAGUAUAUAUAGAAAUACAGACUUGAAGGACAAGAAGCGUGUCCUACCUAGAGAUAAGGUAAGAAUGGGAUUACAAAUCUGAAAGUACCAAAUACAUAUACAUCAAAUAUAUCUCUAAGAGCAUCUAUAACCGGACGCCUCAAAUGACCCUCAUUGCCCACGGACGUGUCCGAUCAGUGACCGGACAGGAGAGAGAAGAAAAAGAAGUGACCCAACCGGAACCCUCGUAUCAUUCAUAUACGCCCGGGUUGUCCUUGAUCCCUCGUAUACAUCUCAAAUAUAGGGAGUAUAUGAGGGCUCGCGGGCGCGUCCGGGCAUUCCGUCACGUAGGAUGCGAUUCCAUCUUGAACCACAUUUUUCUUUUCUUUAUUCAUUUUUUUCUCUUCCUCUUCGUCAAUCACAUGUAAGUGAUCGAACACAUGAAAAAAAAGAGUAAAAAGUGUGAAGAACAUGUCCGAUCACUAACUAGGAGGGUCCGCAGACAUUUAGAAAGUCAUAUUUGUUAUAUCUGUUUGUAGAUGCUCUAACAUGAUAGUACCAUGGUAGAACCAUACGUUGAUGAGACAUUCUGAUGUGGACCGUAUAGUUGUGAGACAUGAGUCAGCCAUGACUCCAUUCCCUGAAGUCUGUGUCCGCGUAUGUUUAUGCUUUCGUAAUUAGAAGCAUAUAGUAACAACAGGUGCAUCAAAAGAUAACGUAUAUAUUUUAUUUUAUUUUGAAACAACUAGGCUGCUCGUCGGUUUCUAUUAUAGAAACCGCCAUAAAGUAUGUGGGUUUGCAUGCAUUGACCGAGUCACACAUCACGGGCACGCCGGUGUAAUAUUGACAUCAUAUUCGGGUGGCGACUGGUGCCGCUGAACAGCCAAGCAAAACCUAAGUGUCAUCCCACCACGGGCGGUGAAAAAGUCGAAAACUUUGGGCUGAAAUCAAUUUGAUACUGCCUCCAAUUAUGUGAUCCCUCCAGUCCAGGCGUACGUGCGAAGAAGUCUAAGAGCAAUUCUAGCACACCCCGCAAAACGACCGGUUCAUAAAAAAUCCGACGACUAUACAGAUUUAAACUCAUUUUCCUGCCAAAGCAAACACUGCAAAAGCGGCCUGACCUGGAUUUUUUUGCAGUGGUCCAUAAACGCGACCCUCGACCGAUAUAACUGCGGGUUCGACCGUUGGAUCCGGGUCGAAACUCUAUCCCUCCGCCGCCGCGAAAAGCCCCCCCCCCUCCCGUCCGCCUCAUCGUCGGCGCCUCCAAUCCGCCGCUGCGCGCCUCCAUUACGCCGCGUAGCCGCUCCAAUCCACCGCCGCGCAUGGCCAGCUCCGGUAGUCGUAGGGACGACGACCCCGAGAGGGCUCGUCGCGUCAUAUCCGACGCCGCCCGUAAGCGUGCCGCCCGCCGGUACACGCGAUGGGCCUGACGCCGCCGCCGUCGCUCCUCCGUCGUGAGACAGAGGAGUACGACCGCGCGCGCGGCCGCCUCUUCUCCAGCAGCAGCUCAAUCGAGGCGUCGAGCUCCCGCUCGUCCUCCUCCAUCCCACCGGUGAAGAGGGAGCUCAAAAAGCUCCCAUCGGUGAAGAUGGAGCCGGAAGCCGAGGCGGUGCCGGAGCGACGUGCCGGGGCCGUCGUUGGACCGGAGGACUUCCUCCCUCCGGAGGAGGCGGAUAGCCUCCUGCCCGUGCUGCUGGCGCCGAGUGCACGAGAGACGGAAGAGGACCAGCAGCGCCGCCGGAGGGAGGAGGAGAUCGACACCGUGCUCUACGAGCAGGGUGUCGCGUCGGCCAUCGUCUUCGGCCACAAGGUGGAGGAGUGGCGCCGCGAAGCUACUGCGCAGAAGCGCAUCUACGUCGAGCUCUCCUCCGACGAGGACGACGAGGACGACGACUGAAUGUAGGCUAUCUACUAUUGCACGAGCUCGACUCCGGAGAGCUCCAUUUUGCGUAGUGCGGUAGUAUAGGUAGUAGCUCGAGUAGGUGAUGCCCCCUCUAGUACUGAAUGUAGUGUUGUAUGAUCAUGAAUGUAGUGUCGUAUGAUCAUGACUGUGGUCCUGAACAUGCCCGCGAAUGUUUAUUUUUUAAAUUAUGCAGUUUUAUUAUGCGAAUUCUGUUCUGCAGCGCAACUUUUCGUCCCUCAAAACCCCACUUCGUCGAACUGCAAAACGCGUUUGCAGGUCGUGAUUAUACAGGGUCUGCUAGAGUUGCUCUAACUAGACCAUCCGCAUCCACCCGUACGUACUCCGAGUGCCGAAUCUAGCAGGGGGCUUCGAUAGGCUCGCCUCCCCCCCCCCCCCCCCCCCCCCCCCCCCCCCCCCCCCCCCCCCCCCCCCCCCCCCUCUUUCAAAAAUAGGAAAAGAAAAAUUACUUUUAUUUUAUAUAUUUUUUGUUUUUAUUUGGAUCAAAGAAUUAAGAAUUAUUAACUUUUUAUACACACAUUGUAACUUUGAGCUUCCCCUUCAUGUUCUUCCAAGAUUCGCCAUUGCGUACUCCGUGGGCUCGACAGGUAACAGGAGAGAUUGACUUGUAAAUCACUCGAAAAUGAUGACCGAACAAGCAAAUUUAAUUUAUUAACGAACCACCUAACCGGUUUGGCCACCACUCUAUCUCCCACCAUUGCCAUUCCCACGCUAAGCAUCCAGCAAGUACGUACGUCGUCCUCAACGCUUUCGGUCGCACCGUCACCUUCUUCUAGCUCUAGCUAAAGCUUCCUCGCCCCUGCCGGCCGGUGCGCGAACCACAUCAUCCUCCACAACUUAUCUCCAUCCAUCACUAUCACCAUCCACAGUUUAUCGCUCCAUCUCCGUACCGCAAAGAACCCGGCCUACUCGAGCACUAUACAGAUCAUCUUGAUCGAUAAGUAAUCCAUCUCAUCUUGAUCGAUAAGUAAGUAAGUAAGUUACCACCAGACAUGACACAACAGCUUUUCAUCUACCUUUGAUGUACAAUCGUGUUUGUUGUUUUCUCGUGUAAGAAAAUGUGAUGGAACGAACGAACGAACACCUCGCAAGUUCAGAGACCGGGACAAGGUACGUAGGUAAGCUUCUCAUCCUGCUUGGGACAUGUCAUCCUGCUUUGGACGUGGACACGUAUGGUGAGAUUAAUUCCGCGGUUUCCACUGGAUGGCUGGCGAGAGUGCGUGUCCGG
rnacentral:lncRNA from 1 species